rnacentral:lncRNA from 1 species
CAGAUGAAGGGUAAGAAUAUUAACCCCGAUGCGGUUACUUAUACCUCUUUGAUUCGCGGUUUUUGUUAUGCUAAUGAUUGGAAUAAGGCCAAGCAUUUGUUUAUUGAGAUGAUGGAUCAAGGGGUACAGCCGGAUGUUGUGACUUUCAAUGUGAUCAUGGAUGAGCUCUGCAAGAAUGGGAAGAUGGAAGAAGCAAGUAGGCUGUUAGAAUUGAUGAUUUUGAGAGGAUUGAAUCCCAACACAUCUACUUAUAACACAUUAAUUGAUGGUUAUUGCUUAAGUGGUAAAAUAGAUCGUGCGAGGGAAUUAUUUGUUUCUAUGGAGAGUAACGGGUGCAUGCAUGAUGUUGUUAGUUACAACACAUUAAUAAAUGGGUACUGCAAGACUAAGGAUGUAGAGGAAUCUUUAAAUCUAUAUAGCGAAAUGCUUUCUAAAGGAAUUAGGCCAACAGUUGUUACAUAUAACACCUUGUUUCAUGGCCUUUUUGAAAUACACCAGGUUGAGCAUGCUUUAAAACUGUUUGAUGAGAUGCAGCAUAAUUAUGUGGCAGCUGAUACCGUUACGUAUAAUAACUUUAUUGACGGGCUCUGCAAGAAUGGUUAUAUUGUAGAGGCAGUUGAACUAUUUCGUACUUUGAGAAUUCUCAAGUACGAACUUAAUAUCGUAUCCUACAACUGCCUCAUUGAUGGAUUGUGUAAAAUAGGCAAACUGGAAACUGCUUGGGAACUGUUUAGUAGUUUGCCUCAUGUAGGCCUAAUGGCAAAUGUUGUAACAUAUAACAUCAUGAUCCAUGGGCUUUGUAAUGAUGGGCAAAUGGACAAGGCACGUGGUUUAUUUCUUGAUAUGGAAGCAAAGGGUUUGGAACCCAAUUUUGUCAUAUUUAAUACGCUUAUGCUGGGUUUCAUCCGCAAUAAUGAGACAUCAAAAGUUAUUGAACUCCUUCACAGAAUGGAUAAGAGAAAUGUAAUGCCAGACGCAUCUAUACUUUCAAUUGUUGUGGACUUGCUUGUAAAGAAUGAAAUUGGUUUAAACUCGAUUCCACAAUUCAAGAGACAAGUAAGUAGACGGGUUGAAUCUUGAUUUAGUAGUGUGUCUCUUCUGCUUUAAAACCAGAUCUGGGGAAUCCCAUUCUUAUUACAACGUGUGAAGGAGUGUUGUGUAUUGUUGGCAUGUUCCCAGGUUCUGUUCAUGGAUUCUGUUUACAGACAUGGCCGACUCUUUGUCUCAUCGGAUAAGUUUCAAAUAAUUCUGGCAACUUUUUGUUGUAAAAUUACUUUUUUAUCAUUUAAUUCAUAUGUUUUCCUUCUAUAAUGCCUCUUUCUCAUUACCUGCAAGUGCAAAAUUUUUAGGCUCUUCCUCUUAGACCUCUUUUUCUUCUGUAAAAAGAUAAUUUUUUUUUUUCAUUUUUUCUUGCAAGGGUACAGGUUUAUGUUGAAACUUUCGGUUAGUUAAAUUGAUUGUCUUUGAUAUUGGAACUUCUAGUUGAACUAGUUUGCAUUUUGAAUACAUGAGAUUACCAACUGUAACGGGAAUUGGUGCCGAAUUGAUUUUGUUAUAAGGUUUUUCAGUCUGUGUUCAUCUUUUAUUUCUGUUAAUAAUUAAUAGCACAGCUUGUCUUCUCUGCUUCUUUGGUUCCUGUCAAUUGUCAAAUAUAAACUUGUAAAGACAUUUUGUUUUGGCAUGGCACAUGCUAGAUUUUGUUUUUGGUUUGAAUGAUACUACACAUCUAAGUAAUUGUCCAGAUUUUUUUCAUUCCUAGUGACAUGGCACUCAAUUGAAUGGUGACUCGUGAAUCAUGAUUGUGUGUGUUGGUAUUUUUUAUACUACGUGUUGGCAAGAGAAAGUUAAUCCUUUUUUUUUUUUUGGCUUUUGGAUUUUGUUUCCUUAUAUAUAUAUAUAUAUAUAUAUAUAUAUAUAUAUGUAUACAGUUAUUAGCUUCGACAACUUGAGCUUGCAGUCUUGUGAGUUUAGAACCUGCCAAAGUAAGCAUACACAUGACAAUGAAGAAUUGAAGAUUGUAAACGGUUAUUAGCUAUUGUUGUGAGUUUAGAACCUAUAUAUUGUAUACAGUUAUUAGCUAUUGUUGUGAGUUUAGAACCUAUAUUUUGUAUACAGUUAUUAGCUAUUGUUGGAGCCUUGAAGUGUGAACUUAUCAUCGUUGCCUACAGUUGCCUCAUUGAUGAAUUGCGUAAAAUAGGCAAACUGAAAAUUGCUUGGGAACUGUUUCAAAGUUUGCCCCGUACAGGCCUAAUGCCAAAUGUUGUAACAUAUAACAUCAUGAUUCAUGGGCUUUGUGACGAUGGGGCAAAUGGAUAAGACACAUGAUUUAUUUCUUAAUAGACCAUUCUCGGGGCACAAAGGGCGUGAUGCCCAAUUGUGCCAUAUUUACUAUGCUUAUGCGAAAGAAUGAGACAUCAAAAGUUUCUUCACUCAAUGGAUAAAAGAAACGUAAUGCCAGAUGCAUCGAUAGUUUCAAUUGGUGUGCGCUAACUGGUUAAGAAUGAAAUUAGUUUAAACUCGAUGCCAAAAUUCAAGAGACAAAAGUUAAUUAGAUGAGUUGAAUGUUGAUUUAGUAGCCUUGAAGUUUUCAAAAUGUUUCCUGCUGGAUAAAUUGAACUUGUAUGCACACAUGUGAACUAAAAGAAAAAUGAUAUACCAUUGUGGAAUCGAAAUUCUUUUAAAUGGAAAAAAGUUUGUCAGGAUCGCCUGAUUUCGAAUUGAUUUUAAUAGAAAACGUGCUUUAAGCAUGUCCUUCGGCAUGAGGUAAUACUAUAAAGUUUUUUUAAGCAAGGUUAUAAAUUCUAGCAAUUGAGUCUCAAUUUGAUAUUUAUAUUCAUCUGGUAUAGGGUAGAAUAUUAAUUUUAUCAGUUAUAAAAAUUUAUUAUCUAAAGGAUGAACAACACUUAACAAUUGAGAAUGAAGUGGUGACUCAAUUGUCAGGAGUCCAAUCACUUUUUUCUCUUUUAACUUGCUAUUUCUUUUGUCCGAAAUUAUCUGAAGUUCCAUGCAUGCUCCAAUAGAACAAAUAAUACAGGUUAUGAUCAACUUUUUUUUUUUCAAAUAAAGGAACCACCUGCAUCGAUACUCCAUAAGCAAGUUUUUCUUUUGGCUGCCCCUUAUAUUUGUCACACCCCUUGUACUAGUGCCCAAUGAAACCACAACAAAAGCAAAAAUCUGACAAUCUCUCAUAUACUACUGUAAUUAGAACAUUAUGAAGUUGUACCCAAAGGCAGCAUGAGUAAAUGAUUGUUUUGUUAUUUCCCCAAUUCCACUUGCCUCUUUUAGAACUAUCAGAGCUCGUUCAAAAAGGCACGGCCCACCUGAUAAAAUUCUCAUCUUAUCAACUUCAAAGGCAAAUUUAACAUAAAAAUCUUACUCCCAAAAUUUUCAAUUUCACCUAUUCUGCUAUUCUGCAUACUUAUUGUAAUGCUCACUUGAGACCCUCUCUAGUAACUCCUCUUAGAUGUAAGAUUUUGCCCAGCAGAGAGCCCUCAACUAGCUCUCUCCCAUUCCCUUUCAUGACAUUACCAACAACUACAUUACUUUUUUUUCCUUCUUCUAAUGUAAUAACUUUACACUUGCAGAUUAGUUCUUCUGUUUCCAUGAGGCACUAAAAUAUAAAUCCAUUAUGAUAACUCGAGUAUCUACCACUUCCUCUGUAAUUAAGACUCAACAACUCAAAUGAAAAACUUAAAACUAAAAGAGACACCCAACUUGUGAGCAACUUUCGCAGUCUUAUGGGCUACUACCCUUUCAUUCUAGAUUCUCGCUCAGAGAGAGAGAACCUGUGAAGAAAGACUUCUAUAGGUAGGAGAGCGCUUACACAGUAGAUUAUUUAUAUUUCUUUGGACUGACUUUUUUACUUUAUCAAAGACAAAAACAACAUAAACAAAGACAGAAGAUUAACAAAAGCAUCAAUUGCCAAAGAGUAGAGAGUAUUAUUAUAUUUUAAGAACAUAGGUUAUGGCCAACUUAAAAGAAGCAGUUAGGGCUUGUUGGGUACUGUUUUAGAAGCCUUAUUUUCAUUUUUGUUUUGGGAGUAUAAAUAUAAUACAUAUUCAGUGGGUUGAAUCCAAAAAAUAAGUUAUAAAACAAAGAAUUGAUAUUCACUUUUACAGUUAUAAAAUUAAGAACCGGUUGAACAUGUUCUCAAACAAAUUACAAAUUAAAUUAAAAAAUAAACCCAAAAACAAAAUCUAAAAAGUUAUCUUCCUCUUCCAAAAUCUUAUUCUCUCCCUCUCGUUAUCUGUUCACAACUCUUCCUUCUUCAUGGUUGAUACUUCUCUUUUAACCACAACCACAACCCUUCUUCAUGGUUGCAUCGAUCUCUCUCUCUCCCCUUUCCCUUUAUCUAGGUAAUCUAGUCCUUUUGGCACCAAAUUACAUAUUAAAUUAUUUUAAAUAUUAUAAAUUAUUUUUAAAUUGAGUGAGGAACCCUGGUCAUUUUAACAAUCAUGGCCAUUUAAUGUGAUCAUGAUGAAGAUGUUGCUGACAAUCCGAAUUCGCGGGCGAAUUCUCUCCACCCUGGGGGGAAUGAUGAAGAGUAGGAAUCCAUAUUAUACUAGGAUUAGUUUCCUUAUUAACUAAAGUUUAAGACUUUUAAAUUCCUUUCUAAUUUAGAAUUUUGUUUCCCUUUCAAUUUAGGAUUUUGUUUUUCCUUCAUGAAUUAGGAUAAUUACUACUACUAUAAAUAGCUCCCUCUUGUAACCUUUGAAGGAGAGAAUUUUGAGUUUAAUAAUAUUUCAAUUUUCAAAUCUCUUUGUGAGUAUUUGAACAGUUAAUUCUUGGUAUUCUACGGAAUCAACGAGUCUUAACCCCUAAAUUCACGGUAUUCUUUUGAAUCAACGUGAAUUUAGUUGUUCUUUUGUUCCGGUAUUCUCUAGAAUCAACGGAAUAUUUUGAACAUUAAACUUCCGCUGCAUCAGUUUGGUAUCAGAGCAAAACCUGGUAUCACCAAUCUAACUUCAUCUACCACAAAACCUUUCCUUUUUCCCUUUUUGAUUUUUUUCGUUUAGCUUAAAAAAAAAAAAACAUAACUUUUUCAGACAAACCACCACCACCAUCAUACUUACCAACCCAAAAUCUUUCAGAUCCACCCAUCCUUACUCGAUUUCUGACCACUGUCAUCGGAAAUCUAAAACUUUUGCUUAAUUACAGUUUCGGCCUAAAAUUUUUAUUUACUUUCAGUUUAGCCCCACUACCUUUUUAAACCCGAAUUUAAAAAAAAUGCCUCCAAGAAAAGCUCGUGAUGCUCAUACUACAACUUACAAUCAAGAAGAUGUUUCGAAAGAUGAAUCCCUGGCUAGUAUGACAGCCAAAAUUGAUAUGUUAGCUGCACAAAUGGCACGAAUGGCAGAGUUACUUGACGAACGCCAUCGUACUCCAGAACGUGAAGACAAAUCAAGUGGAAGCUUUGCUAACCCAUUCUCUGGGCGUCGACCUAGAACUGAGUCUACUGAUGACAGAAGAUGGGAAUCUGGGUUGAGAAUUGACAUUCCCGAAUUUCAAGGAAGUGGUCGACCUGAAGAAUUAUUGGAUUGGAUUAACGCCAUUGAGGAAGUUUUCGAAUACAAAGAAGUUCCUGAAAAUAAACUAGUUUCGCUUGCUGCAACUCGAUUUCGUGGAAGAGCAGCAGCUUGGUGGCAACAAACUAAGCUCACAAGGAUUAGGCAAGGCAAAAAGAAGAUUGAUUCUUGGGAAAAGUUCAAGAAGCACUUGCGUGGAGCAUUCUUGCCUCAUAAUUACGCCAAACUGUUAUACCAACAGCUACAGAAUUUAAGGCAAGGUAAUCGAUCAGUGGAUGAUUACACUACAGAAUUCCAUUGGUUGGUGGCACGCAAUGACUUGACAGAGACAGAAGAGCAACAGGUUUCCCGCUAUAUUGGAGGCCUACGAUCUCAAUUUCAAGACCAAUUAAAUUUACUUGACCCAUACUCUGUUUCAGAGGCACACCAACAAGCCUUGCAGUUGGAGAAGCAAUUUAGUCGACGUACUAAUGACUCAAGCUUUCGGGGUGCUCGAAGUGUUGUUCGUGAUAAUUCAAACCCGACUUCCCAAUUUCGUACUUUCACUCCUCCAAAUCCUCCAAAUAAAACUAGUAAGCCUAGUGAAAUCGGUCAAAGCAGCAAAACCCAAUCCUCGGGUUCGGGAUUACGCUGUUUUAAUUGCGGAGAAAAUGGGCACCGAAUGACAGAAUGUAAAAAGGGAGGAAAAUAUGGUAAAGGCUUAUUCGUAGGCACAGAGGAAAGCGAAGACUAUCAGGAGGAAGAAACUGAAGAGUUUGCUGUAGAACCAACUUUUGAUAGUAGUGGUAGCGCUCAAUCUGUUGAAGAACAUGGUGAUAGCGGACCAAUGUUGAUCGUGAACCGUGCAUUCUUCACUCUUAAAGGUCAAGACAAAGACAAGUGGCUACGACAAAAUAUCUUUCAGACUACUUGCACAAUUGGGGGUAAAGUAUGUCGUAUGGUCAUAGACUCCGGCAGUUGCGAGAAUGUCAUUUCAGAAGAAGCCAUAACAAAGCUAAAUUUAAAGACAGAACCUCAUCAAACUCCAUACAAGCUCACAUGGCUGAAGAAGGGGAAUCAAGUGACAGUAUCGAAAUGUUGUUUAGUUUCCUUAUCCAUUGGUUCAAUUUAUAAAGACAAAAUUUGGUGUGAUGUUGUGGCUAUGGAUGCUUGUCAUCUAUUACUGGGUAGACCUUGGCAAUAUGAUCGAAACGUAGUGCAUGAUGGGAAGAGAAACACCUACAGCUUUAUGUUUAACAACACCAAGAUCGUUCUCCUACCUAACAAGGAGUUUACUCUCCAGCAAGACUUGGGUAAUUAUUUGUUAAGCAAGAAGCAAUUUAUAGAUGUUGUAGCAGAGACAAAGAGAAUCUACAUUUUAUUGGGAAAAAAGAGUAACGGUAAUUCAAAGAUUCCUGAAGCUGUGACACCUAUUCUGGCGGAAUUUCAAGAUUUGUUCCCCAAGGAGCUACCACAAGGUUUACCACCUCUUCGGGAUAUACAACACCAAAUUGAUUUGGUACCAGGUUCUACACUACCAAAUCGACCUCAUUAUCGUAUGAGUCCUACAGAACAUGAGGAAUUAAGGCGCCAAGUAGAAGAGUUACUAGAAAAGGGAUUUAUCCGUGAAAGUCUUAGUCCCUGUGCAGUCCCUGCUUUAUUGACUCCAAAGAAAGAUGGUUCUUGGAGGAUGUGCGUGGACAGCCGAGCUAUCAAUAAAAUUACAGUUCGAUAUCGUUUUCCAAUCCCUCGAUUAGAUGACUUGUUAGAUCAACUCAGUGGAGCAACAAUUUUUACCAAACUUGAUUUGAAAAGUGGCUGCCAUCAAAUUCGAAUACGACCUGGAGAUGAAUGGAAAACAGCUUUUAAAAUUCACGAAGGGUUAUACGAGUGGUUGGUAAUGCCGUUUGGCUUAUCCAAUGCUCCGAGUACUUUUAUGCAAGUCAUGAAUCAAGUUCUUCGCCCUUUCAUUGGAAAGUUUGUGGUUGUUUACUUCGAUGAUAUACUUAUAUAUAGCACCAGCCACGAGUUACAUCUACAACAUUUGAGAGAAGUGCUUUCAGCCUUAAGAGCAGCAAGUUUAUACACAGCAGUAAACAAGUGUAUUUUCUUAACAGAGAAAGUAUUAUUUUUGGGAUAUGUGGUGUCGAAAGAUGGUAUAUCUGUUGACCAAUCAAAAAUGGAUGCUAUUCGAGAUUGGCCUCCGCCAACUACUUUAUCCGCCACCAGAAGUUUCCAUGGAUUGGCCUCUUUUUACAGGCGAUUCAUUCCUCAUUUCAGUACUAUUAUGGCACCAAUCACGGAUUGCAUGAAAGGAGGAAAAUUCUCUUGGACAGAGGCAGCUACUAAGGCAUUUGAGAUUAUCAAAGAAAAGUUGAUUACUGCCCCAGUACUUGCUCUACCAGAUUUUUCGCUCACUUUUGAGGUACAUUGUGAUGCUUCUAAGGUCGGCAUUGGAGCUGUUCUUAGCCAACAAGGUAAGCCUAUAGCUUAUUUUAGUGAGAAGUUGAAUGGAGCAAAGGCACACUAUAGCACUUACGACGUGGAAUUUUACGCAGUAGUCCAAGCGUUAAAACAUUGGCGACAUUAUCUAAUUCAUAAAGACUUUGUUUUAUACACUGACCAUGCCGCGUUAAAAUACCUCAAUAGUCAAGACAAACUCUCUCACAGACAUGCCACGUGGACAGCAUUCCUUCAACAAUUUACUUUUGUGGUGAAGCAUACCUCUGGUGAAUCCAACCGGGUAGCAGAUGCACUUAGUCGACGAACUUCUUUAUUGACACAGAUGCAUAAUCAAGUUCUCGGAUUUGACACAUUUCGAGAGUUAUAUGCUUCUGAUCCUUACUUUGCUCCUAUACUAGAAGACGUUGUUGCAGGAUUUCGCUCAGAUUAUCAUUUACAUGACAAAUUCCUUUUCAAGAGUAAUCAGUUGUGUGUUCCUGACUCAAGUUUGAGAUUGAAAAUCAUUGCAGAGUUACAUAAUGAAGGGCACAUGGGUCGUGACAAAACUCUGGCUCUAAUAGCCAACACUUAUUUUUGGCCUACUAUGAGGCGUGAAAUCUAUCACUAUGUCGAGACUUGUCGCAUUUGUCAAGUUUCCAAGGGCGCAGCAACUAAUGCUGGGUUAUAUAUGCCGCUACCGAUUCCAACACAACCUUGGGCUGACAUUAGCAUGGAUUUUGUUUUAGGAUUACCCCGCACUCAGAGGGGUAUGGAUUCAAUAUUUGUUGUUGUUGAUCGAUUCUCGAAAAUGGCUCACUUCAUUGCUUGCAAGAAGACUACAGACGCUUUGACUGUUGCUCGCCUAUUCUUCAAGGAAGUCUAUAGAUUGCAUGGUUUACCAAGUUCUAUAGUAUCUGACCGGGAUACACGAUUUCUUAGCCAUUUUUGGAAGACAUUAUGGAAAUUGACUAACACUCGCCUGAAUUUUAGUAGUGCUUACCACCCACAAACAGAUGGUCAAACUGAAGUUGUCAACCGCUCUUUAGGAAACCAUCUACGUAGUCUAGUUGGCGAUAACUUGAAGAUGUGGGAUCAAAAGUUAUAUCAAGUCGAGUUUACUUAUAACCGUGCAGUUAAGCGUAGUACUGGUUUAAGCCCUUUUCAGGUAAAUUACGGAUAUAAUCCACGAGCUCCCAUUGACCUGGCUCCAGUUCCAAAUUUAGUUCGCAAAAGCGGUAAAGCAAAAGACUUUAUUGAGCAGCUUCAGAAGAUUCAUGAAACUACGCAAGAGUCUUUGAAGCAGACGACCGAAGGUUAUAAAAUUAUGGCAGACAAAAAACGUCGAGCUUUGGAAUUUCAAGUGGGAGAUUUUGUUUGGGUUAUCCUAACUAAAGAUAGAUUCUAAGUUGGUGAGUAUAAUAAACUUUCUGCCAGGAAAAUCGGCCCUUUAGAGAUUAUAGAGAAGAUAAAUCCUAAUGCCUACAGAUUAAAGCUUCCUAGUCAUAUCCGCACUGCAGAUGUAUUUAAUGUUAAGCAUCUUAUUCCUUACAGAGGUGAUCAUGAUGAAGAUGUUGCUGACAAUCCGAAUUCGCGGGCGAAUUCUCUCCACCCUGGGGGGAAUGAUGAAGAGUAGGAAUCCAUAUUAUACUAGGAUUAGUUUCCUUAUUAACUAAAGUUUAAGACUUUUAAAUUCCUUUCUAAUUUAGAAUUUUGUUUCCCUUUCAAUUUAGGAUUUUGUUUUUCCUUCAUGAAUUAGGAUAAUUACUACUACUAUAAAUAGCUCCCUCUUGUAACCUUUGAAGGAGAGAAUUUUGAGUUUAAUAAUAUUUCAAUUUUCAAAUCUCUUUGUGAGUAUUUGAACAGUUAAUUCUUGGUAUUCUACGGAAUCAACGAGUCUUAACCCCUAAAUUCACGGUAUUCUUUUGAAUCAACGUGAAUUUAGUUGUUCUUUUGUUCCGGUAUUCUCUAGAAUCAACGGAAUAUUUUGAACAUUAAACUUCCGCUGCAUCAGUUUGGUAUCAGAGCAAAACCUGGUAUCACCAAUCUAACUUCAUCUACCACAAAACCUUUCCUUUUUCCCUUUUUGAUUUUUUUCGUUUAGCUUAAAAAAAAAAAACAUAACUUUUUCAGACAAACCACCACCACCAUCAUACUUACCAACCCAAAAUCUUUCAGAUCCACCCAUCCUUACUCGAUUUCUGACCACUGUCAUCGGAAAUCUAAAACUUUUGCUUAAUUACAGUUUCGGCCUAAAAUUUUUAUUUACUUUCAGUUUAGCCCCACUACCUUUUUAAACCCGAAUUUAAAAAAAAAUGCCUCCAAGAAAAGCUCGUGAUGCUCAUACUACAACUUACAAUCAAGAAGAUGUUUCGAAAGAUGAAUCCCUGGCUAGUAUGACAGCCAAAAUUGAUAUGUUAGCUGCACAAAUGGCACGAAUGGCAGAGUUACUUGACGAACGCCAUCGUACUCCAGAACGUGAAGACAAAUCAAGUGGAAGCUUUGCUAACCCAUUCUCUGGGCGUCGACCUAGAACUGAGUCUACUGAUGACAGAAGAUGGGAAUCUGGGUUGAGAAUUGACAUUCCCGAAUUUCAAGGAAGUGGUCGACCUGAAGAAUUAUUGGAUUGGAUUAACGCCAUUGAGGAAGUUUUCGAAUACAAAGAAGUUCCUGAAAAUAAACUAGUUUCGCUUGCUGCAACUCGAUUUCGUGGAAGAGCAGCAGCUUGGUGGCAACAAACUAAGCUCACAAGGAUUAGGCAAGGCAAAAAGAAGAUUGAUUCUUGGGAAAAGUUCAAGAAGCACUUGCGUGGAGCAUUCUUGCCUCAUAAUUACGCCAAACUGUUAUACCAACAGCUACAGAAUUUAAGGCAAGGUAAUCGAUCAGUGGAUGAUUACACUACAGAAUUCCAUUGGUUGGUGGCACGCAAUGACUUGACAGAGACAGAAGAGCAACAGGUUUCCCGCUAUAUUGGAGGCCUACGAUCUCAAUUUCAAGACCAAUUAAAUUUACUUGACCCAUACUCUGUUUCAGAGGCACACCAACAAGCCUUGCAGUUGGAGAAGCAAUUUAGUCGACGUACUAAUGACUCAAGCUUUCGGGGUGCUCGAAGUGUUGUUCGUGAUAAUUCAAACCCGACUUCCCAAUUUCGUACUUUCACUCCUCCAAAUCCUCCAAAUAAAACUAGUAAGCCUAGUGAAAUCGGUCAAAGCAGCAAAACCCAAUCCUCGGGUUCGGGAUUACGCUGUUUUAAUUGCGGAGAAAAUGGGCACCGAAUGACAGAAUGUAAAAAGGGAGGAAAAUAUGGUAAAGGCUUAUUCGUAGGCACAGAGGAAAGCGAAGACUAUCAGGAGGAAGAAACUGAAGAGUUUGCUGUAGAACCAACUUUUGAUAGUAGUGGUAGCGCUCAAUCUGUUGAAGAACAUGGUGAUAGCGGACCAAUGUUGAUCGUGAACCGUGCAUUCUUCACUCUUAAAGGUCAAGACAAAGACAAGUGGCUACGACAAAAUAUCUUUCAGACUACUUGCACAAUUGGGGGUAAAGUAUGUCGUAUGGUCAUAGACUCCGGCAGUUGCGAGAAUGUCAUUUCAGAAGAAGCCAUAACAAAGCUAAAUUUAAAGACAGAACCUCAUCAAACUCCAUACAAGCUCACAUGGCUGAAGAAGGGGAAUCAAGUGACAGUAUCGAAAUGUUGUUUAGUUUCCUUAUCCAUUGGUUCAAUUUAUAAAGACAAAAUUUGGUGUGAUGUUGUGGCUAUGGAUGCUUGUCAUCUAUUACUGGGUAGACCUUGGCAAUAUGAUCGAAACGUAGUGCAUGAUGGGAAGAGAAACACCUACAGCUUUAUGUUUAACAACACCAAGAUCGUUCUCCUACCUAACAAGGAGUUUACUCUCCAGCAAGACUUGGGUAAUUAUUUGUUAAGCAAGAAGCAAUUUAUAGAUGUUGUAGCAGAGACAAAGAGAAUCUACAUUUUAUUGGGAAAAAAGAGUAACGGUAAUUCAAAGAUUCCUGAAGCUGUGACACCUAUUCUGGCGGAAUUUCAAGAUUUGUUCCCCAAGGAGCUACCACAGGGUUUACCACCUCUUCGGGAUAUACAACACCAAAUUGAUUUGGUACCAGGUUCUACACUACCAAAUCGACCUCAUUAUCGUAUGAGUCCUACAGAACAUGAGGAAUUAAGGCGCCAAGUAGAAGAGUUACUAGAAAAGGGAUUUAUCCGUGAAAGUCUUAGUCCCUGUGCAGUCCCUGCUUUAUUGACUCCAAAGAAAGAUGGUUCUUGGAGGAUGUGCGUGGACAGCCGAGCUAUCAAUAAAAUUACAGUUCGAUAUCGUUUUCCAAUCCCUCGAUUAGAUGACUUGUUAGAUCAACUCAGUGGAGCAACAAUUUUUACCAAACUUGAUUUGAAAAGUGGCUGCCAUCAAAUUCGAAUACGACCUGGAGAUGAAUGGAAAACAGCUUUUAAAAUUCACGAAGGGUUAUACGAGUGGUUGGUAAUGCCGUUUGGCUUAUCCAAUGCUCCGAGUACUUUUAUGCAAGUCAUGAAUCAAGUUCUUCGCCCUUUCAUUGGAAAGUUUGUGGUUGUUUACUUCGAUGAUAUACUUAUAUAUAGCACCAGCCACGAGUUACAUCUACAACAUUUGAGAGAAGUGCUUUCAGCCUUAAGAGCAGCAAGUUUAUACACAGCAGUAAACAAGUGUAUUUUCUUAACAGAGAAAGUAUUAUUUUUGGGAUAUGUGGUGUCGAAAGAUGGUAUAUCUGUUGACCAAUCAAAAAUGGAUGCUAUUCGAGAUUGGCCUCCGCCAACUACUUUAUCCGCCACCAGAAGUUUCCAUGGAUUGGCCUCUUUUUACAGGCGAUUCAUUCCUCAUUUCAGUACUAUUAUGGCACCAAUCACGGAUUGCAUGAAAGGAGGAAAAUUCUCUUGGACAGAGGCAGCUACUAAGGCAUUUGAGAUUAUCAAAGAAAAGUUGAUUACUGCCCCAGUACUUGCUCUACCAGAUUUUUCGCUCACUUUUGAGGUACAUUGUGAUGCUUCUAAGGUCGGCAUUGGAGCUGUUCUUAGCCAACAAGGUAAGCCUAUAGCUUAUUUUAGUGAGAAGUUGAAUGGAGCAAAGGCACACUAUAGCACUUACGACGUGGAAUUUUACGCAGUAGUCCAAGCGUUAAAACAUUGGCGACAUUAUCUAAUUCAUAAAGACUUUGUUUUAUACACUGACCAUGCCGCGUUAAAAUACCUCAAUAGUCAAGACAAACUCUCUCACAGACAUGCCACGUGGACAGCAUUCCUUCCACAAUUUACUUUUGUGGUGAAGCAUACCUCUGGUGAAUCCAACCGGGUAGCAGAUGCACUUAGUCGACGAACUUCUUUAUUGACACAGAUGCAUAAUCAAGUUCUCGGAUUUGACACAUUUCGAGAGUUAUAUGCUUCUGAUCCUUACUUUGCUCCUAUACUAGAAGACGUUGUUGCAGGAUUUCGCUCAGAUUAUCAUUUACAUGACAAAUUCCUUUUCAAGAGUAAUCAGUUGUGUGUUCCUGACUCAAGUUUGAGAUUGAAAAUCAUUGCAGAGUUACAUAAUGAAGGGCACAUGGGUCGUGACAAAACUCUGGCUCUAAUAGCCAACACUUAUUUUUGGCCUACUAUGAGGCGUGAAAUCUAUCACUAUGUCGAGACUUGUCGCAUUUGUCAAGUUUCCAAGGGCGCAGCAACUAAUGCUGGGUUAUAUAUGCCGCUACCGAUUCCAACACAACCUUGGGCUGACAUUAGCAUGGAUUUUGUUUUAGGAUUACCCCGCACUCAGAGGGGUAUGGAUUCAAUAUUUGUUGUUGUUGAUCGAUUCUCGAAAAUGGCUCACUUCAUUGCUUGCAAGAAGACUACAGACGCUUUGACUGUUGCUCGCCUAUUCUUCAAGGAAGUCUAUAGAUUGCAUGGUUUACCAAGUUCUAUAGUAUCUGACCGGGAUACACGAUUUCUUAGCCAUUUUUGGAAGACAUUAUGGAAAUUGACUAACACUCGCCUGAAUUUUAGUAGUGCUUACCACCCACAAACAGAUGGUCAAACUGAAGUUGUCAACCGCUCUUUAGGAAACCAUCUACGUAGUCUAGUUGGCGAUAACUUGAAGAUGUGGGAUCAAAAGUUAUAUCAAGUCGAGUUUACUUAUAACCGUGCAGUUAAGCGUAGUACUGGUUUAAGCCCUUUUCAGGUAAAUUACGGAUAUAAUCCACGAGCUCCCAUUGACCUGGCUCCAGUUCCAAAUUUAGUUCGCAAAAGCGGUAAAGCAAAAGACUUUAUUGAGCAGCUUCAGAAGAUUCAUGAAACUACGCAAGAGUCUUUGAAGCAGACGACCGAAGGUUAUAAAAUUAUGGCAGACAAAAAACGUCGAGCUUUGGAAUUUCAAGUGGGAGAUUUUGUUUGGGUUAUCCUAACUAAAGAUAGAUUCUCAGUUGGUGAGUAUAAUAAACUUUCUGCCAGGAAAAUCGGCCCUUUAGAGAUUAUAGAGAAGAUAAAUCCUAAUGCCUACAGAUUAAAGCUUCCUAGUCAUAUCCGCACUGCAGAUGUAUUUAAUGUUAAGCAUCUUAUUCCUUACAGAGGUGAUCAUGAUGAAGAUGUUGCUGACAAUCCGAAUUCGCGGGCGAAUUCUCUCCACCCUGGGGGGAAUGAUGAAGAGUAGGAAUCCAUAUUAUACUAGGAUUAGUUUCCUUAUUAACUAAAGUUUAAGACUUUUAAAUUCCUUUCUAAUUUAGAAUUUUGUUUCCCUUUCAAUUUAGGAUUUUGUUUUUCCUUCAUGAAUUAGGAUAAUUACUACUACUAUAAAUAGCUCCCUCUUGUAACCUUUGAAGGAGAGAAUUUUGAGUUUAAUAAUAUUUCAAUUUUCAAAUCUCUUUGUGAGUAUUUGAACAGUUAAUUCUUGGUAUUCUACGGAAUCAACGAGUCUUAACCCCUAAAUUCACGGUAUUCUUUUGAAUCAACGUGAAUUUAGUUGUUCUUUUGUUCCGGUAUUCUCUAGAAUCAACGGAAUAUUUUGAACAUUAAACUUCCGCUGCAUCACUUUUAUUCUACUGAAUAAAUUUCACAAUUUAAAUUAGAAAAGGAUACAAUUUAAUAAUUAACUAUUUUCUGAACUAUUUGAAUUAUCAUUUGUAUCGGUCCCAAAAGCAUAACAUUAUUGUGAGUAAUGUAUCCUACUUGCAAAAUAAACGGCGAAAUGCGGUUUGGGGACGGAUUAUCGAGGUAUUUGUUAAUAUUCGGAAAUGAGAAGAAAAGGUCAAAUAAAAUUUUAACUUAUUAUUAUUAUUAUUUUUAAAGAUUGUAACUCAGAUGAUUAGACAAAUAAAGGAGCUAAAGGCCACUUGGCGGCUUCACUAGGAGCUGUUUGAGUUUAAACCGUACCCAUCGCAAGUACUAGGGCCUAAACUCUCCAAUUGAUCACCAACCCAGCAAUGCAUGUGCACAUAAAAUUCUAUUUUGGUAAUUCUUUUCUUCUUCUUUAACCCCAAAUAAUCAAAAGCUCUCCAAUGGCUUUCGUAUCCACAACUCGUUCACUUCAUUUUACUUCAAUUUCAAUAUCAGCUCUUAGAUUUAAUUUCUCAUCUUCGUUCCCUCAUACCGGAAAACCCAAAUCUUCAAUUUCGGAAAAUGAACCCUCGUAUCCGACCACAACAGCUAAACUGAAGGAGUCGCUACGACUGACGGUCAAAGACCGAGCCUCACUCAAAAAAUUCCUCAGAGAAAGGUUCAAAUCAUCCGGUGAAGGUGAUAUUACUACUAUUACUCCUAAUGAAGCCUUUUGUAUCUUUGAUUACAUGCUCAAUAUGCGCCCUUCUCCGCCUCCUCUCACUUCCUUCAAUAGUUUGUUUGGUUGUCUUGCUAAGACUAAACAUUAUGAUACUCUCGUUUCACUCUUCAAGAGACUCAAUUCAACUGGGUUGUUUCCAGAUCGUUAUACUUACAAUAUCUUGAUUAACUGCUUUUGCAAAAUGGGUCGAGUUUCUCAUGGUUUUGUUGUUCUUGGGAGGAUCCUCAGGUCUUGUUUUACUCCAGAUGCUGUGACCUUUAAUUCUUUGAUUAAAGGUUUGUGUGCGGAGAGUAGAAUAAUGGAGGCUGCCGCAUUGUUUACGAAACUUAGAGUGUUUGGUUGUGAGCCUAAUGUUUUUACAUACAAUACUUUGAUUGAUGGAUUGUGUCGAACUGGCCAUACAAUUGUUGCUCUAAAUUUAUUUGAAGAGAUGACUAAUGGAAAUGGGGAAUUUGGUGUUGUUUGUGAGCCAAACACUGUUACAUGCACUACUAUUAUAGAUGUUAGAAUUGAUGAUUCAGAUUGGUGUGCGUCCAGAUGCUUCUGUCUAUAACACAUUAAUGGACGGGUUUUGCUUGACAGGUAGAGUUAAUCGUGCGAAGGAACUAUUUGUUUCUAUGGAGAGUAUGGGUUGCAAACAUACUGUUUUUAGUUACAGUAUUUUGAUAAAUGGUUACUGCAAGAAUAAGGAAAUAGAGGGAGCGUUAACCCUUUAUAGUGAAAUGCUCUCUAAAGGAAUUAAGCCAGAUGUUGUUAUAUAUAACACCUUGUUUAUUGGCCUUUUUGAAAUACACCUGGUUGAGCGUGCUUUCAAGCUGUUUGAUGAGAUGCAAUGUGAUGGCGUGGCAGCUGAUACCUGGGCAUAUAGAACCUUUAUUGAUGGGCUCUGCAAGAAUGGUUAUAUUGUAGAGGCAGUUGAACUAUUUCGUACUUUGAGAAUUCUCAAGUGUGAACUUGAUAUUCGAGCCUACAACUGCCUCAUUGAUGGAUUAUGUAAAUCCGGCAGACUCGAAAUUGCAUGGGAACUAUUUCGUAGUUUGCCUCGUGUAGGCCUAAUGGCAGAUGUUGUAACAUAUAACAUCAUGAUCCAUGGGCUUUGUAAUGAUGGGCAAAUGGACAAGGCACAUGGUUUAUUUCUUGAUGUGGAAGCAAAGGGUUUGGAACCCAAUUUUGUCAUAUUUAAUACACUUAUGCUGGGUUUCAUCCGCUGUAAUGAGACAUCAAAAGUUAUUGAACUCCUUCACAGAAUGGAUAAGAGAAAUAUAAUGCCAGACGCAUCUAUACUCUCAAUUGUUGUGGACUUGCUUGUUAAGAAUGAAAUUAGUUUAAACUCGAUUCCACAAUUCCAGAGACACAAGUAAGUCAAUGAGCUGAAUGCUGAUUUACUUGCAUGUAUUUUCUGCCUAAAAUCUGGAUCUGGAGAAUCCCAUUCUUAUUACAACACGUGAAGUAUUGUUGCGUAGUGAUGGCAUGUCCCAGGUUCUGUUCAUAGAUUCUGUUUGCAGAUAUGGAUGACUCAUCAGAUAAGUUUCAAAGUCUGGCAACUUUUUGUUGUAAAAUUACUUUUUAUUAUUCAGGUCAUAUGUUUUCCGUCUAUAAUGCAUCUUUUUCAUUAGCUGGAAGUGCAAAGUUUUUAUGCUCUUUCUGUGUGACCACUUUUUCUUCUCUAAAUAGAUAAAAUGGCAUCUAGUUUUUCAUUUGUGAGGCUACUAGGUCUAUGCUGAAACUUUCUGUUAGUUAAAUUGAUUGUCUUUGAUAUCUAGAACUUCUAGUUGAACUAAUUUGUACUUUGAGUAUAUGAGAUUGCUGGCUGUAAUGGGAAUUGAUGCCAAAUUAAUUAUGCAUCAAGUUUUUCAACGUGUUCAUCUUUUAUUUCUGUUCACAUUUUGGCUCUGGACAUGCUGGAUUGUUUUUGGUUUCAGUGAUACAAAACAUCUAACUAAUUGUCCAAAGUUUUUCAUUCCUUGUGACAUAGCAUUCAAUUGAAUGGUGACUCAUGAAUCAUGAUUGUGUGUUUUGGUAUUUGUAUACUAUGUAUUGGCAAGACAAAGUUUGUUGAAACUGAGAAACUUUUUUCCGCCUUCCAUUCUUGUUUCAUAUUCUUAUGCUAACAAAUCUUGAUCCUGAUGAGUCUCCUCUUUUCUUUACAACCCCCAUAUAAAGUCUUGGCCAUAAGCCUCAAGGCCUAUUGGCUAUUGCAGCAGUGAGUUCACUCUCUGGAAUCAAAUCUUUCAAAUACGAGGAAAUUUGAAAAAAUUGCAAAUGUCUACAAAGCAAAUGAUCGAAAGGUCCUUUUUGUUAUCACUCACACAACAUUACUCAGACUUUGUCAGAGUAUCCAUGUUUUACAGUUGGUCCUGUUGUGCAAACAGCAUUUCUGAUUAUUCCAGAAGACAAUUCUUCGGAGCAUGUAUUUGAGAUGCAUGUAGAGCGUUGGAAUUAUAUGAUUAAUUCUCUUUAAUUUCCAGCCAUAGUUCUAUGCAGGCCAGUUAAUCCCCUUUUUUGUACCCCCCCCCCCCCCCUUCCUUUUUUGCUAUGGACUGUAUUUCCUUUUUUUUCUAGUUUUUACUUGCGUUGACAAUUUGAGCUUGCUGUCUUGUGGUUUUAGAACCUGCUAAAGUAAGCGUACUAGUGACAAUGAAGAAGGGGAAGGGUUUACUCGUCAUUUUCUUUUUGAAAGCAAAGCGUUUAAUGUGGUGAUUUUUUUUUUAUCUACGUUGUGAAAAAAUUUGACUGAUUUUGAAGAUCCUUAAAGAUCGUCCAUCUUGGUUCUGGCAUUGUUGCAGCCUUGAAGUUUGCAAAACGAUUCCUGCUGGAUAAAUUGAACAGCUGCCUCUUUGAUGGAUUAUGUAAAUCUGGCAGACUUGAGUUUGCAUGUGAAUUGUUUCGUAGUUUGCCUCGUCCAGUCCUAAUGGCAGAUGCUGUAACAUAUAACAUCAUGAUCCAUGGGCAUUGUGACGACGGCCGAAUGGAUAAGGCACAUGAUUUAUUUAUUGAAAUGGAAGAAAAUGCUGUGGCACCCAAUGUGAUCACAUUUGGUACGUUUAUCCAUGGUUUUAGCCAAAUCAAUGAGCCAUCAAAAGUUAUUGACCUUCUUCACAAGAUGAGGGAGAAAAAAGUGAUGCCAGAUGCAUCUUUAGUUUCAAUUGAUGUGGACUUACUUGUAAAGAAUGAAAUUAGUCUGAACCCGCUUCCGUCAUUUCCUGUCCAAGAGCGACAGGGGGAAAUUGAUGGGUCAAAUGUCAAGUUGUAGCAGCAUGUGCUUUCAGCCCAAACUCCUGAUCUGCAGCAUCUCAUUCAUGUUACAAAAUGACAUGUCGCCUGGUGACAGCAUGUUCUCUACGGUGCUGUUAAUGGAUUCUGAUUGUUCUUGUGAUCUGGAGAGUUUCAUUCAUAUUACAGAUCCUGAUCAGGACGAGCUAGCAUAUGUGAUCACCAACUGUACAUGGUUGUUAAUCCCCUUUUUUGUAACCAACCCCCCCUCCCUCUUCAUCAUUUAUUUCUGUUAACAAUUAAUAGCACAGCUUGUCUUCGCAGCUUCAUUGGUUCCUCUCAAAAAUAAUCUUGUAAAGGCAAUUUUUUUUUGGCAUGGUAAAUGCUAGAUUGUUUGUGGUCUGAAUGAUACUACACAUCUAAGUAAUUGCCCAAAUUUUUUGUUCCUUGUUACAUGGCAUUCAAUUGAAUGAGGACUCGUGAUUGUGUGUAUUGGUAUUUCCGUAUUUGUUAUACUAUGUAUUGGCAAGACAAAGUUUCUUGAAACUGACAAACUUUUCUCUAUGAAGAUUGAAGACAAUAUGGUAAGAUAAAAUUUAUCAAAAGCAUAUAUGCUUGCCAGGGAUGGACCUUUGAUUAUUAGUCCUCGCCUUUCGUUCUUGUUUCAUAUUCUUCUGCUAACAAAUCUUGAUCACGAUGAGUCUUCUUUUUUUAUAAAAAUAAAAACCCACACGUAAAGUCUUGGCCAUAAGCCUCUAGACCUAUUGGCUGUUGCAGUGGUGAGUUCACUCUCAGGAAUCAUAUCUUUCAAAUUCGAGCGAAUUUGAAGAAGCUCGAAUUUGAAGAAAUUUCAAAUGCCUACAAAGCAAAUUGCGUAAAGGUCCUUUCACUUAUUAUUGGAGAAGACCAUUUGUUGAAGCAUGUAUUUGAGAUGCGCGGAGAACCUUUGGAAUUAUAUGAUUAAUUCACUUUAAUCUCCAGCCAUAGUUCCAUACAGCCCAGUUAAUCUUUUUUUUUUUUUUUUUGGCUUUUGGAUUUUGUUUCCUUUAUAUAUAAAGGAAAUCGGGACUCAAUUGUUGGGAGUCCAAUCACUUUUUUCUCUUUUAACUUGCUAUUUUUGUUGUCCGAAAUUAUCUGAAGUUCCAUGCAUGCUCCAAUAGAACAAAUAAUACAGGUUAUGAUCGACUUUUUUUUUUUUUUAUUUUCCAAAUAAAGGAACCACCUGCAUCAAUACUCCAUAAGCAAGUUUUUUUUUUGGCUGCACCUUAUAUUUGUCACACUCCUUGUACUAGUGCCCAAUGAAACCACAAUAGAAGCAAAAAUCUGACAAUCACUCAUAUACUACUGUAAUUGGAACAUCAUCUUCACCUUCAAGUUCUAAAUAAAUAAUUUUCUUCAGUGGUUGUGUGAUAUCAAUUGAGAUGCUUACUCUGGCAUACUGACCAAUGCACUCUUCUUCCUCGUCCGCAUCAACUUCUUCAACUAUACCAAUUGCCUCUCCCAACGCUCUGAUUAUUUGCUGGUCUAUACACCCAACUGGGAUACUAUGAAGUUGUACCCAAAGGCAGCAUGAGUAAAUGAUUGUUUUGUUAUUUCCCCAAUUCCAUUUGCCUUUUUUAGAUAGGGCUGGGCAAAUAACCCGACCCGAUCCGAUCCGAAAACAAUCGGGUUCGGAUCGGAUCGAGUUUUUAACAUAACCCGAUCGGAUUUAAUUUCGUCAACCCGAUCCGAUUCGAAAAUCCGAUCGGAUUUGGCUAUUGAAAAAAAAAAUAAAAUAAAACACCCACACACAAAGGGGUGAAAAACACAACACUGACACUCAAACUCACUGACACACACCCACCCCUCAUCCACACACACACACUGACACACCCACCACCCACCCCCCACCCCCCAUCCACAAAAAAUCGCAAUAGAUAGCCUUUUACUCACAUUUCAGAUUUCACAGCCUCACGCUUCACUCUUUUCUUUGGUUCUUCUCCAGUUUUCACCCUUAAAUCUUCACAGCCUCGCUUUCUUCUUUUUAAGUCUUCACUCUUCAGUUUUCACAAAUCGAUUUCUCACACAAUCGGGUUUCACAGAUCGGGUUUCAGUCACAAAAGCAAACCGAUGGUCACUCAAAGACGCAGCGCAAGAACCGAAGAUCAUUUGCAGACACAGCCACCGGAUCUGUGGUUCCGUCCGUCACCAAGUUUCUCGCCUCCAAGCUCCACUUUAACCCAGCAACCUGACUUCUCCAACCCGCAACCCGAGCCUUGUGUUUUGAAAUUUUGAUGGUUUUUCUUGAUGUUGUGAUUAUUAUCAUAUAUAAAUUGUAAAAUUUUAAUGUUCACCAGCCAAUGAUAAAGAAAAUCAGUUAUAAAGAAAGCUGUAAUGUAUUUUUUUUCCAAUGAUGGGCAUAAAUUUUUUCACUUUCUAGUCCAAACUAAUUUUAAUCCGAAUCCGAUCCGAACUGAACUCAACCCGAUUUUUUGACCCGAUCCAAAUAUAUAUUCGGAUCGGAUCGGAUCGGAUUACAAGUUCGGAUUGAAUUCGAAUGAAUUUCUGCCCAACCCGAAAUUCGAUCGGGUCGAACCGAACCCAAUCCGAAUUCGAUUUUGCCCAGCGCUACUUUUAGAACUAUCAGAGGUCGUUCAAAAUGUCAUGGCCCACUUGAUAAAUUUCUCAUCUUAUCAACUUCAAAGGCAAAUUUAACUUAUUCUGCUAUUCUGCAUACUUGUUGUAAUGCUCACUUAAGACCCUCUCUAGUAACUCCUCUUAGAUGUAAGACUUUGCCCAGCAGACAACCCUCAACUAGCUCUCUCGCAUUCCCUUCCAUGACAUUACCAACAACUACUUUGCUCUCUUUUCCUUCUUCUAAUGUAAUAACUUUACACUUGCGGAUUAGUUCUUCUGUUUCCAUGAGGCACUAAAAUAUAAAUCCACUGUGAUAACUCUUGAGUAUCUACCACUUCCUCUGUAAUUAAGACUCAACAACUUAGAUGAAAAACUUAAAACUAAAAGAGACACCCAACACGUGAGCGACUUUUGCAAUCUUAUAGGCUACUACCCUUUCAUUCUAGAUUCUCACUCAAAGAGAGAGAACCUGUGAAGAAAGACUUCUACAGGUAGGAGAGCACUUACACAGUAGAUUAUUUAUAUUUCUUUGGACUGACUUUUUUACUUUAUUAAAGACAAAAACAACAUAAACAAAGACAAAAGAUUAACAAAAGCAUCAAUUGCCAAAGAGUUGAGAGUAUUAUUAUAUUUUAGGAACUUAGGUUAUGACCAACUUAAAAGAAGCAGUUAGGGCUUGUUCGGUACCGUUUUAAAAGCCUUAUUUUCAUUUUUGUUUUGGGAGUAUAAAUAUAAUACAUAUUCAGCAGGUUGAAUCCAAAAAAAUAAAUUAUAAAACAAAUAAUUGAUAUUCACUUUUACAGUUAUAAAAUUAAGAACCUGUUGAACAUGUUCUCAAACAAAUUACAAAUUAAAUUAAAAAAAUAAACCCCAAAACAAAAUCUAAAAAGUUAUCUUUCUCUCCCAAAAUCUUAUCCCCUCCCUCUCGUUAUCUCUUCACAACACUUCCUUCUUCAUGGUUGAUACUUCUCCUUUAACCACAACCCACAUGAACUGUGCACCGAUCUCUCUCUCCCCUUCCUAUUUAUCUAGGUCUACUUCAAUGCUCUCUUCCUCUCGGUGGAUGUUACUUGUUCAUCAACUGCAAUCCAUUGUCGCAAGGUACUACGUCUGAAUAUUUGACCAAAAACAUGUCAGGACAAAGUGAUGUCUAUCAUGGUUUAUUGCUGCAAGUGCAUUAUUUUCUUUGUACUAAAGUGAAUCUUUGAUGUAUUUAUUAAAUUUGGUGGAGCAAUCUUAGUUAAUUUUGAUUAUUUAUAUAUGCAUUUAAUUUCAUUUUUAAUAAUUCAUGUGCAGGAAAUAUGGAUUCUUGGCUUUGCUUGGACUGAUGGUUUGCGCAAUUUCAUUUGGAAUCAAUCAGCUUCGAGGAUAAACUCUUGAAGUUCAUCCUUUCUUGUGCAUGGGACUUGCUUUUCUUCCAUCCAACUUUUUUGUUCUCUUUUUCUAUGGUAGCAGUUUUUUGUUUUGUGUUGGUGGGAAACUUCAUGCUGCAUUUUUGUCAAACUCUGUUGACAUACCCUAAUCAGUACUGACUUUGCUGCAUGGCGAAAGCAUAAGCUCAUAGUUGACAUUGUUGUUAUUAGAGCUUGUUUCCAUAAAAUAAGUGUAAUUUGAAAGUACAUUGUACCCUAUUGAAUUUGAAUUAUCCCCAACAAGUGUUGAUGCAUGAUGUCUAUCAUGUAAUUUUUUUUAUAAUUAUUUUGUUUAAAUUAUAUGUGUUGUAAUAUAUAACUUAAUUAUAGUGUAAAAACAAUGGCAAUGUAAUUUUUUGUAUUAAUGCUAAUACUAAAACUUUAUCAUCAUGAAAUUUUUUAUAAUUAUUUUAUUUAAAUUAUUUAUGAUAUGUUUGCGUAUUAAUUAAAUAAACAAUUAGUUUUUACUAAAAACUAUGACUUACAUGUUUAGUAAAAAUUGUUCAUGAAAAUAGUACUACAAAACACAUUUUCUCUGAUUUUAUCUUUUUCAAUUGUGUUUAUCAAACACAUGUUACUGUUUUCAAUUUUAAAAUACAAGCUAUAGAAAAUGAUAUCAGAUGCCUAUUUAAUUCAAAAUGAUGCAACUGCAAAACACUAUUUUUAUUCUCAUUUUUGUUUUCAGAAAAUACUAAUUCAGAAACGAUAACAAACAAGAACUUAGUUUUAGUACGAAUAAUGUUGUGUUAGUUUUACAUGCUUACAUGCACCCUUAGAUUUAUUAGAAGUAUCAACCCAACCCCCUAGUUACCGUUGACUGAUAUUUAACCCGUUGACUGAUGUUAACUCUUGAAAGUAACUAUAACAUUUAUAUUGUAAUCUCACUUUAUUAACUAAUAAAUUUUAAAAAUAUAAACAGAUCAAUAACAACAAAAUAAUUAAAGUUGAAAUCCAAGAAAUUACCUAAAAACCAUACAUGAAAACCAAAAUGCAUAAAAUUUCAUUAAUUUAAGUUGUGACAAUGAGUAGUCCACAUUAUAUGCAAAAACUUGUUGUGAAAAUUUUAAUAUACUCGCAAGCGCACGAAUCUAGAGAUAGAAAAGUGGUAACGAGGUCGAUCCUACAGGGAUUGUUAUAAAUUGAAAAGUCUAAUUUAAAUCUAAAAUUAAUAUUAAUUCUAACCUAGUUGAGCAAAUUGAGUUUUAAGAGAAAUUAAACUAAUUAAACUAAGAAAACAAUUAAAGUAAAUGAGAAUUUAAUGAGAUAAAAAUUACCAAGGUUUCGGAAUCCACCACUAUUCAAUUAGUAAUUAUCUAAAUAUUAAUUAAUCCCCAAUUUUAGAGUGACAACUCGAAAUCAAUCUAUGUCAUCUCAUGGAUAUAACAAUUAAGCCCAAGUAAUUAAAUCUAAUGUAGGUUCUUUUUCUACUUAAUAAUACGAUAUCUAAGUAUCCCAUGUAAACAUAUUGAAUAACAAAGAGUCAAAGUUUACUAAGCACUCUAUGUAAACAAUUUAAUGAAAGACAUAGAGUCAAAAAUAAUCAUGUAUAAACUUUAUAGAUCCAAGCAUAGAAUUAAUCGAAUAUUAAUCCUAACAAUCAAUAAUGCAUGACAGAAUUGAUGAAAAGAUUUUAUUAACAUCCAAUUAAUCAUGUGAAAUAAAAACCAUAAUCAUCAAAGAACAUAUAUAGGGAAUUAAUUAAAUAAAAAGAUAAUUAUUUCAUUGAAUAGGGUUUCAUCCUUAACCUCAGUAUAAGAAAAUUAGCUAGACAUACUUGAAUUGUGAGCAACAAAAAAAAUAAAAUCAGCCAUGGAAGCCGAAAUAUUGCUACUGCCGAUUGCUCUCUUCCAGCCUUUUGUUUCUGUCCUCUGGCCGCCUCGCUCUCCAAAAGCCAAAACUCCCUUUUAUAAUCUUUGAAAUGGGCCCCAUCUCUUAAAUCCUAAAGCCAAAAGGCUUGCCUUUUAUUUCCUUUAGCUCUCACACGUGACCACCUUUGGAAUUGCUUUAAGAUUCCUUUUCCAAUUAUGAAAGCCAAGUGCGGGUCCCAUUUAAAUUGCUUUCCAAAUAUUACAAAGCCAUGCACGUGUAACUUAACUAAGCUAAAGCCAAUGUUAUGCUUAAAUUCUUCUUCAUGUGCUAGAUCAAUUAAUUUACUAGCUUCGGUUUCCUCGGCUUCACUUCCACAUGCAUGUAUGUCUAAUUGCUUCUAAAAUCAAUUAAUUAACGCUUCCAAAAUUGAGCUCCCUUAUAUCCUUUUUUAUCCAUAAUCUUCAAUUAAUCCCCUAUUCAAUAAAAUAAUUUAAUUAAUUAAAAAUAACAAAUAAAAAUAACUAGUAAUUAUAUAAUUAAGGGUAAAAUAUGUAUAUAAAUUAUGCUCAUCAAAUACCCCCAAACUUAGAUUUUGCUAGUCCUCGAGCAAAACUAAAAUUUAAAACAAAAAUAAAAAUAACAACACAAAAAGUAAAUCCUAACUAAACCACUUUCGCAGGUAAUCGAGAUUGCAUUUAGCACAUGCAACAAGCCUUUAAACCCCUAGGCGGCCCUAGUGGACGAGUUAUAGUCUCGUGAGGGCUUCAGUGAUGAUACCCACAAACAUCAUUUUAAAAAAAUAAAUAAAUUAAAUUAAAUCAAAAGAACGAAAAACUUUAAAUAAACCAUGAAAAAUAGCCCCAAAGAUUGCAAAAAUUAUAUAGCUCAAAGAAAAUUUCAAAUAUUAGCAAAGUUCUAACUUUAAUUCAAUAGUCAAUCCCACCUCUCUUUCAAUUCUUGUAGUGUGUGUGUGAAAUCAAUUCAAUCAAAUCCAUUCCCAAAAUCCUCAACAUCAACAGCCUUCGCCUCAAACAAAGAACAGAGUAGGUCAAACUAAUCUUAUCAUCUUGAUCUCCAAUUUUUUUCUCUCACAGGCUUUUAUGUGCAUUUUCUUUUGAUUUUUUUUUCAGCACAUGCACUUGAUUUUUUUUUUUCUUCUCUUUUUUUUUUUCAACCAUAGCCAGGAGCUUUCACUCUACCCCUUAAGGUAGCCUUCUUCUCAUGGUAGAUUAUCUUCUACAUACUUGUGGUACAUAGGCCCAAAUUACUCAAGGAUAGCUUCACUCUUAAGGGUUAUAGGUAGCUAUUUCUGACUUUGGUGCCCGUGUAUACUAUUUUGUAUUGUGGAGAUAAGAAUCAAGACAAACAGUCAUUUACUCUAUCUAAAAUUCUCAACUCAGGCUGCGUCAAUAUCAAAUUUCAAGUCAAAAUUACGAAAGAAUUGAUAUUAGUGCUCAUGGUUUAAAGAAUCUCAAUCAAGAGGAACUAACACAAGAAUCAAGUAUAAACUAAGACAAUAUUCAACCCUUUCUAAAAACCAUAUUCAUUGUCAAUCAAAUUUUUAUCAUUGGCUUUUCACAUAAAAACAAAAAACAACAAAUUUUUUUUUUAAUUUUUAUUUAAAAUUUUCAAUUUUUUUUUGUUUUUUUUUUUUAACAAACAAAACACACACUAUUCCCACCCCCAAACUUAUUUGGAAAAUUGUCCUCAAUGUUGCACAAACAAAAGAUAUGCAUGCAAACAAAUGAAAGAAAUAAUAAUAAUAAUAAUAAUAAUAAUAAUAAACAUAAAUAAUAAAAAGAAAGUUGGAGAGAACACACCUGGAUGGGCUGGGAAAGCUUUAAAAAAAAAGAACAACUAAAAAGAAAACAUUAGAAAAGAAAAAUACUAGAAAAGAAGAAAACAUUAGAAAAGAAAAAUACUAGAAAAGAAAAACAAACAAAGAGAAGAAAACCUACUAUUAAAAUAAAACAAGAGUGCAUCUAAAAGUAUCUCCUCAACUUCUGGUGUUCUUAACUCUAAAAAUGAUUUCAAUCUUUGCCCAUUGACCUUAAAUAAAUCACCGCCCAUUGACCUUAAAUAAAUCACCAUUUUUAGGGUUUUCAAUCUCAAUUGCUCCAUAAGGGAAAACAGUACGAACUAUAAAAGGACCAGACCAUCGAGAACGUAACUUACCUGGAAAGAGAUGCAAUCGGGAAUUAUAUAAAAGUACUUUCUGACCUGGUGUAAAGGCUUUUCUCAAAAUGUGUUUGUCAUGAAAGACUUUCAUUCGCUGUUUAUAAAUCUUGGCAUUCUCAUAUGCAUCAUUCCUGAUCUCUUCAAGUUCUGCUAGUUGUAAUCUUCUCUUGGAACCAGCCUGCUGCAUGUCAAAAUUGAAUUUCUUGAUCGCCCAAUAUGCACGAUGCUCCAACUCUACUGGCAGAUGACAUGCUUUUCCAUACACAAGUCGAUAAGGUGACAUCCCAAUUGGUGUUUUAAAAGUAGUCCUAUAUGCCCACAAUGCAUCAUCAAGUCUCAAAGACCAAUCCUUUCUAUCUAGCCUAACUGUUUUCUCUAGAAUCUGCUUGAUCUCUCUAUUAGAAAUCUCUACUUGGCCACUGGUUUGAGGAUGAUAUGGGGUGGCAACCUUAUGUGUAAUGGAAUAUUUGUCCAAAAGAGUUUUGAAAGGUUUAUUGCAAAAAUGGGUGCCACCAUCACUAAUGAUUGUUCUAGGGAAACCAAAACGAGACAGAAUAUUACUCUUCAAGAAUUUCACUACAACCCUAUGAUCAUUGGUUUUGCAUGGAAUAGCUUCAACCCACUUCGACACAUAGUCCACUGCAACCAAUAUAUACUGAUAACCAAAAGAUGGAGGAAAAGGUCCCAUGAAAUCAAUACCCCAUACAUCGAAGAUCUCAACCACAAGAAUAGGAUUGAGUGGCAUCAUGUUCCGCUUUGAAAUGCUACCCAUACGUUGGCACCUAUCACACAAAGAACAGAAAAUAUAAGCGUCAUGAAAAAGAGUAGGCCAAUAAAAACCACACUGUAAAAUUUUUGUUGCUGUCUUUUUAGCACUAAAGUGGCCUCCACAAGCUUGUUCAUGGCAAAAUGAGAUAACACUUUGAAUUUCAUUAUCGGGAACACAUCGCCUAAUAAUCUGAUCAGCACAAUAUUUAAAUAAAUAGGGAUCAUCCCAAAAGAAAUCUUUCACUUUAGAUAAGAACUUUGUUCUAUCUUGCUUAGUCCAGUGCUCUGGGAUUUGACCUGUAGCAAGGUAAUUAACUAUAUCAGCAAACCAUGGUACGACAUUUACACUCAUAAGUUGCUCAUCUGGGAAAGACUCAUUCAAAGGUAAAGAUUCUGGAAUAAAUUUAAGAUCAAGGCGAGAUAAAUGAUCUGCUACAACAUUUUCAGAACCUUUUUUAUCUCUAAAUUCAAUGUCAAAUUCUUGUAAAAGCAACACCCAACGAAUCAAUCUUGCCUUGGCAUCUUUCUUAGUAAACAAAUAUUUUAAAGCAGCAUGAUCAGUAAAAAUAAUCACUUUACAACCUAUAAGAUAAGAUCUGAAUUUAUCAAGUGCAAACACCACAGCUAGCAUUUCUUUUUCUGUAGUUGAAUAGUUCAACUGUGCAUCAUUGAGUGUCAUACUAGCAUAAUAAAUCACAUAAGGCACACGAUCUAAUCUUUGUCCUAAAACUGCUCCUACAGCAUAAUCAGAUGCAUCACACAUAAUUUCAAACGGCAAAUCCCAAUUAGGUGGCUGAAUGAUAGGUGAAGAAGUCAACAAUUUCUUAAGCUUUGCAAAACCAUCAAGACAAGAUUCAUCAAAGAUAAAAGGUGCAUCCUUAACAAGUAAAUUGCAUAAAGGUCUAGAAAUUUUACUAAAAUCUUUAAUGAAUCUUCUAUAAAAACCAGCAUGUCCAAGGAAAGAUCUUACUUCUUUUACAGAUUUGGGAUGUGGAAGAUUAGAAAUUAAAUCCACCUUAGCUUUGUCGACUUCUAUUCCUUUGCUGGAAAUUAUAUGACCAAGAACAAUACCUUGUUUUACCAUGAAGUGACAUUUUUUCCAAUUUAGAACCAAGUUCUUUUCUUUACAUCUCUGCAAAACUAAUGUUAGAUGCUGCAAACAUUCAUCAAAAGAAUCUCCAUAAACAGAAAAAUCAUCCAUGAAUAUUUCAAGAAAUCUCUCAACCAUAUCAGAAAAAAUACUAAGCAUGCAUCUUUGAAAGGUAACAGGUGCAUUGCAUAAACCAAAUGGCAUUCUCCUAUAUGCAAAAGUUCCAAAUGGACAAGUAAAAGUAGUUUUCUCCUGGUCCUCUGGAGCUAUAGGGAUCUGAUUAUAACCUGAAUAUCCAUCUAGAAAACAAUAAAAAUCAUGACCUGCAAGUCUAUCAAGCAUUUGAUCAAUAAAUGGAAGAGGAAAAUGAUCUUUUCUUGUAAAUGAAUUCAAUUUUCUAUAAUCAAUACAAACACGCCAACCUGUAGUUACUCUAGUGGGAAUUAAUUCAUUAUUAGCAUUAGUAACUACUGUAAUACCAGAUUUCUUAGGAACUACUUGCACAGGGCUAACCCAAGAGCUAUCUGAAAUAGGAUAAAUAAUUCCUGCAUCUAAUAAUUUGAUUACUUCAGCUCUUACCACUUCUUUCAUGUUAGGAUUUAGCCUACGUUGCAUCUCCCUAAUAGGUUUAGCAUUUUCUUCAAGAUGAAUACGAUGCAUGCAAUCUACUGGAUUAAUACCUUUAAUAUCAGCAAUGGUCCAUCCUAUUGCCUCCUUAUGCUCUUUUAGAAUACCUAACAACUGACCUUUUUGCUCAAGAUCGAGGGAAGAAGAAAUAAUAACAGGUAGAGUGUCAGAUUCUCCCAAGAAUGCAUAUUCCAAAGUGUCGGGCAGUGCUUUGAGUUCCAAUUUUGGUGGUGCCUCCGCAGGUGGGCCAAUUUUCUUCUCAGAAUGAGGCAGUAAUUCUAACCUUGCCUUCCAUUUAGUUGUGUCCGUAAUUAGAGGUGCAUCAAGUAAAGCGCUGACUUCUGCAAUUGCACUGUCAUCAUUAAAAGAUAAAUCAGGAUGAGUUAGACAUGCCUCUAAUGGAUCAUCAUUAUGAUUUGAAAUGAAUGAAUCUUCUACUAAUUCCUCUAUCAUAUUCGCGUCAACAAAUUCAUCUUCUUCUUGUGGCUGCUUGGUAACAUUAAAAAUAUUCAAUUCCAUGGUCAUAUUACCAAAAGAUAGCUGCAUGUUUCCAUUCCUGCAAUUAAUAAGAGCAUCAGCUGUAGCUAAGAAAGGACGACCUAGAAUAACUGGAGUGUGUUUCUUAGGAUCAUGUACAUGCUGAGUAUCAAUAACGAUAAAAUCAACAGGAUAAUAAAAUUUAUCAAUCUGUAUCAACACAUCCUCUAUAAUACCACGAGGUAUUUUCAUUGACCUAUCAGCAAGUUGCAAAAUAAUAGAAGUUGGCUUUAAUUCCCCUAGUCCAAGUUGCAUGUAAACAGAGUAAGGCAAGAGAUUAACACUAGCGCCUAAAUCCAAUAAUGCUUUAUCAAAACAUUGGUUCCCUAUAACACAUGAGAUAGUAGGAGAACCAGGGUCCUUAAAUUUUGGUGGCAUUUUACAUUGAAGUAAAUUGCUAGUUUGUUCAGUUAAAAACGCCUUUUUAGUGACAUGCAAAUUUCUCUUUUUAGUGCAUAAAUCUUUCAAAAACUUUGCAUAUGAAGGAACUUGCUUAAUAGCAUCGAGUAAAGGGAUGUUUAUACUUACCUGUCUGAAGAUUUCCAUAAUCUCACCUGUUGAAGUCCCUUUCUUUACCUUUGUUAACCUUUGAGGAAAAGGAGCCUUGGGAAUGUAAGCUGGCGGGCCACUCUCUUCAGGAUCAUUUGGUGAUGAGUCUUGUGAUGGAACUGAAUCUGAAGAAGUAGGCUCAGAUAUCUUCCUUAUUUGAACCUCUACUUUGUUGUCAAAUAAUUUUCCUCUUCUCAAGGUCAUAACAGAUUUUGCUUCUUCAUGUUGAUGGCUUGAACUCGAUCCAACUUCGUGCACUCCUUUGAGAUUAGGAAUUGGUUGACUUGGAAAUUUUCCUUUUUCUCUCUCAGCUACAGUAGUUGCUAAUUGACCCAAUUGAUGUUCAAGCUUUAGAAUAGCUUGAGUGUUUGACUGAAAAGCUUGUUGGGUUGACUGAAUGAAACUUUGAAGUGUAUCCUCUAAAGAAGGCUUUCUUUGUUGGGGUGCAACAAAUUGAGACAUAGGUUGUUGGGCAGGAGGAUAUACUUGGUUAGGAUGGACAAAUUGUUGAUUGGGCAUGUUAAAUUGUUGUCCUCCUUGGUUUGACAAAGGUUGAUUUUGUUUCCAAGAAAAAUUAGGGUGAUUCCUCCAAUUAGGAUUAUAUGUGGAUGAAUAUGGAUUAUUGGAGGUUUUCUCAUAUGAUUGUAAGGCAUGUACCUGCUCAGAAUAAGCCUCUUGAUAGGCUGGUAAUGAUGGACAAUUCUGUGCUGUAUGAGACACGUUAGAACAAAUAGCACAAACCUCAUUAGCUACACUAGGAUGAUGAUUCAUUGAUUGGUUCAGAGCUAAGGCAUCUACUUUCCUAAAAAGUGUAGCUAGAGUGGAUUUCACAUCAAAAUCAUCCUUAACUUCAUAUAACCCCUUUCUAGAAACUUGAGAUGAUUUUUCUCUUUGAUUUGAAAAAUCCCACUGUUGAGAAUUCUCAGAAAGUGAAUUAAAGAAAUCCCAUGCAGCCCCUUCAUGUAAGUUCAAAAAUCUCCCACCAUUCAUAGACUCUACCAUAUGACGAUUUGACAUGGUUAAACCGUUAUAAAAGCAUUGUAUAAGUCUCCAUUUUUCAAAACCAUGGUGGGGACACUUGAGGAGUAAAUCAUUGAAUCUUUCCCAACACUCGUAAAAUUGCUCACCCUCUCUUUGAUAAAAAUCACUUAUCUCUCUCCUAAGGGCAUUUGUUUUAGACAUAGGGAAAAACUUGGUGAGAAACUUAUUACUCAAUUCAUCCCAUGUACUAAUAGAUCCAGCAGGAAGUGAAUUCAACCAAGCUUUUGCUUUGUCUUUUAAUGAGAAAGGGAACAUACGAAGCUUAAUUGACUCAUCAUUAAAAUUUUGAAAACGGAAUGUAGAGCAUAUGUCAAGAAAUUCCUUAAUGUGCAAAUAUGGAUCCUCUCUCUCUAACCCAUGGAAAGAUGGUAAAAGUUGAAUGACAGAGGGCUUGAGUUCAAAGUGUGUUGCUGUGGUUUGUGGCAACACAAUACAAGAUGGUUGGUUGGCUGCAAGUGGUGAAAAAUAUUCUCUAAGGGUUUUCUCUGCUUGCAUUGGUGGAAGUAUUGGCAAUAGUCUAUUUGGGUCAUCCAUCACUUCUAAAGAACUAGUUUGACUACUAUCAAUUUUUGACUCUCUUUUAACCAAACGAUUUGUUAAAUCACGUUCCCAAACACUCAUAAACUAACUAGACAAGGAAAGAAAGAAAAAAAAAAUAAAAUAAAACAAAUCAACAAUAAUAAAAAUUAAAUAAAAGAAAUCAAACAACCAAACAAUGAAUUUAAAGACAAAUAAAUUUUAUUUUUUUUUUUAAUUAAAAAAUAAAAAAUAAAAAAUAAAAGACAACCUAAAUUAUAACUAGUGGAAGAAUCAAAUCAACCUAGAUUAAACUGACUUUCUAGCACAAUCCCCGGCAACGGCGCCAAAAACUUGUUGUGAAAAUUUUAAUAUACUCGCAAGCGCACGAAUCUAGAGAUAGAAAAGUGGUAACGAGGUCGAUCCACAGGGAUUGUUAUAAAUUGAAAAGUCUAAUUUAAAUCUAAAAUUAAUAUUAAUUCUAACCUAGUUGAGCAAAUUGAGUUUUAAGAGAAAUUAAACUAAUUAAACUAAGAAAACAAUUAAAGUAAAUGAGAAUUUAAUGAGAUAAAAAUUACCAAGGUUUCGGAAUCCACCACUAUUCAAUUAGUAAUUAUCUAAAUAUUAAUUAAUCCCCAAUUUUAGAGUGACAACUCGAAAUCAAUCUAUGUCAUCUCAUGGAUAUAACAAUUAAGCCCAAGUAAUUAAAUCUAAUGUAGGUUCUUUUUCUACUUAAUAAUACGAUAUCUAAGUAUCCCAUGUAAACAUAUUGAAUAACAAAGAGUCAAAGUUUACUAAGCACUCUAUGUAAACAAUUUAAUGAAAGACAUAGAGUCAAAGAUAAUCAUGUAUAAACUUUAUAGAUCCAAGCAUAGAAUUAAUCGAAUAUUAAUCCUAACAAUCAAUAAUGCAUGACAGAAUUGAUGAAAAGAUUUUAUUAACAUCCAAUUAAUCAUGUGAAAUAAAAACCAUAAUCAUCAAAGAACAUAUAUAGGGAAUUAAUUAAAUAAAAAGAUAAUUAUUUCAUUGAAUAGGGUUUCAUCCUUAACCUCAGUAUAAGAAAAUUAGCUAGACAUACUUGAAUUGUGAGCAACAAAAAAAAUAAAAUCAGCCAUGGAAGCCGAAAUAUUGCUACUGCCGAUUGCUCUCUUCCAGCCUUUUGUUUCUGUCCUCUGGCCGCCUCGCUCUCCAAAAGCCAAAACUCCCUUUUAUAAUCUUUGAAAUGGGCCCCAUCUCUUAAAUCCUAAAGCCAAAAGGCUUGCCUUUUAUUUCCUUUAGCUCUCACACGUGACCACCUUUGGAAUUGCUUUAAGAUUCCUUUUCCAAUUAUGAAAGCCAAGUGCGGGUCCCAUUUAAAUUGCUUUCCAAAUAUUACAAAGCCAUGCACGUGUAACUUAACUAAGCUAAAGCCAAUGUUAUGCUUAAAUUCUUCUUCAUGUGCUAGAUCAAUUAAUUUACUAGCUUCGGUUUCCUCGGCUUCACUUCCACAUGCAUGUAUGUCUAAUUGCUUCUAAAAUCAAUUAAUUAACGCUUCCAAAAUUGAGCUCCCUUAUAUCCUUUUUUAUCCAUAAUCUUCAAUUAAUCCCCUAUUCAAUAAAAUAAUUUAAUUAAUUAAAAAUAACAAAUAAAAAUAACUAGUAAUUAUAUAAUUAAGGGUAAAAUAUGUAUAUAAAUUAUGCUCAUCAAUGAAGGAACAACUUCUAUCAUUUUACCAAGUUAUUAAUGUUAUGUUUACUUACUGGAGUGGCCGUGAGAAGUAUAGAUUCCUCCCACUCUAAAGUUUACUUGCAUAUUCUAAGAGGUGUGGGAAUCCCACUCCGUUGAUCCCACCCAAUUUUGAAGUAGGGAGUGUGAUUCCCACUCCCACGAGGGAAGGUCCACUCCCACAACUUUCUUUUUUUACCUUUCUUUUAUUAAAUUUAAUACAAUCAUAUUUAGUAAAAUAAAACAAAUAACAUCAUAUUUAUUUAAUAAAUAUUAUUAUUUUAUUUUAUAAAAUUCUAUUUAUUAAAAAGAAUAAUAUUAAUCUUAUUUAGAUAAAAUUAUUAUUAUAUUUAUUUAAAAAUAAUAGUAUUAUAUUUAUUUAAUAUUAAUAAUAAAUAGUUUAUUCUAAGAAACUAUUAAUUUUGCACUAUAUUAUUAAUAAUAAUGUUUCAUUUGUAUUGCUCUUAUCAAUAAUUUUUAUUUUACAUAAUUAAAAUUAAAACUAAUACAAAAUUUUGAUUUACAUAAUUAAUAAUAUUAAUAAUUAUUGUUAAUUUACAAAUAUAGUGAAAUAAAUAUUUUAUUUCAAAUAUAUUUUUUAUUAAUUUUGUAAUUAAAAGCUACAAUUCUUUAAAUAAGGGUAAAACCGUAAUUUGAAACCAUUUACUCCCCUUCUCAUUCUAGUGAGCAAAAACAACUUGCUCCCACUCCACACUCUCAAUCACAAGGUUCCCACUUCUCAAGAUUUCCACUAUAAUCUAAAAUGUAAACACCAUCUAAAACGUCAAAUAAAAUUCUUAAUUAAGUAAACCAUAAGGUGAUUGCGUAUAAAAAAAAUUAAUAAUCUUAAUUUUCAUAAGAAUUUAUGCUUGUAGUAUUACUUUACUUUUUUAUUAACCGUUGCUUCAACUUAUGGUAGAUAUUAAGAGAACAAUAAUAAUAGAGCUAUAAAUGUUUGCGUACUAUCAAUCAACUUAACAGUAUAAUUACCAACAAAUCCUUAAUACCAUAAAUAAUUAAAUUAUUGGGGUUUUAAAAUGACUCUCUAGACUUUGCAUGAUUUCUUUAUAUGUAGGUGCCAUGGUUCCUAUAAGUAAUAUCAGCCACACUUUUUGUUAUUGUUAAAAAAAUUUUAUAGGUACAAUUUGUGAAUUUGUACAAAAUGUGGUAUUAUACAUUUGAAACAUGAACCGACAAGACAAUGUUGUGUCAAUAAUAAAGAAACAAAAAAAAAUUGUAUAAAAUACAGAUGUUGUAGUGUAACUUGGAUUCUUUUUCUUUAUAAUUGCACCUAUCAUGUGAUUAUCAAAAAAAAAAAAAAGAACUCCUGAGAUUUUAAAAUUUUGUAAUUGCACUAUUUUUGGAUUAUCAGAAGACUUCCUCUCCUUAAAGAUGCUCUUAAUCCAUAAAUGGUGGAAAACAUAAUUCAUGAAAUGAAUUUAUUAUUUUAGAUAAGUUUCAAGUAUGCAUACCUUUUAUAGCUCCAUAUUGCAUAACUCCUCAUUUCAAUCAAUGGAUGCAUUUGUUUACUUUUUCUUUCUUGUAAAUUUUUGAAUGGCCGUAAUUCUAUAAAUAAUUAAUUAAGUGUUAUUGUUAUCAUUAUUUUGUAGAUGCAUAUGUGGGGUGGGGACGUUGGGGGGCAUGGAUCUCAAUAUAGCAGAGGGCUAGAAUAUUUAUUCUUUAAGAGGAACCAGAACCAACAACAAUGCUUUAAGUUCCAUUCCAUUUUACUUUUGUGCACCAGAUUGCAUAAACAACAUUGAUUAUCCAAGGUCAAAGUCUCUCAAAUACUCUAGUUACAAGACAAAGCAUGGGUUAGUAGCGGCCAAAAUUUUCUUGCAACGAAAGGCUGGUAAACUGAUGACAGCUGCUGGAUUGUUUUGGGCCUUAAUGGUUUUAAUAUUAUUCUCUUAAAAACAUAUAUGUUGAUUAGAGACGAGAGGAAGAAGAUGAUCUGAUUCAGCCAGUUGCAGAAGAAAGAGCACACAGUGGAGUUCAGAUUUUGAAUUCUCUUGUUAAAUUGUUUUUAAUUUACUACAAGGUAGAAUAUGUUGCAUUGUUAAAAAAUACUUUGAACAUCCUAUUUUUGUAUUACAAAUAUACCAAAAAUUAAAUUAAUUUUUUUUUCUUUAUUAGUAUAAACUAAAUUUUGCAUGAAUCCUCAUCCUUGUAAGUGGAAUUCUAUUGUGAAACUAAUAGUCCUUCCUAGUUGAACUAACCAUCACUUGGAACAUAUGUGUCAUCUCUAACAACACCUUCCAAACCUGCAGCUACCUGCUUCUUAGCAUUAGAAGCAGUAUAUGCAUUGGCUUUCAACCAGCCAUAAUUAGGAGGAGGGCACCAUUGUUUCUGUUUGUCAAUUUCCUUUCUUGAAUCAUAAGCCAUAAUUAGGAGGAGGGCAAACUUCCACAUAACAUUCCAAAUGGUAUUGUGAAAAAUUUUCACCCUUUUGGUAAUAAAAAAGAACCUUAUUUCUAGUUCUCUAUUAACAAUCUUACUAGGGAUGGCAAUUUGGUCCAUUUAAAUUGGAUAUCCAUACAUCCAAUCUAAUUGGAUUGGAUAAUAUCCAUCAAAAAUUUUUUGGACAUGGAUAUGGAUAUUUUAAAAAAAUAUCCAAGUAAAAGUUGGAUGGGUAUGGAUUCCCGAUGGAUAUCCAAUAUCCAAUUAAUAUCUUAUUUGAAAUUAAAAAAUUAAAAUCGUAAAACUAAAAUGAAAAAAACAAAAACAAAUGUCUAGAAUCUAGAUAGCAAAAACCUAAGAUUAUCACAUCACUUGCCGGCCGGUCUUCGCUUACCGACGCUCUUCCCCGACUCCGACGCCGCUGUCCAGGGGUUCCAUUUAGGUGCACCGGCGCUGUACCAAUGGUUGAUCAGCCGUAACUGCAGCUUCCAGCUGUUCUUGACCGCUUUUCUGCCUCGUUCCAGCUGCCAUCGUCUCUGUCGUCGCUGCCACCACCGUCGUCCGUCCGCCUGUUCGUUGUCUCCCGCGCAAGGUAAGUUUUGAUUGCUGAAGCUUAAUAGUGUAAUAAGCUGGAUUUAAAGUUAUGGCUGCGUCUGCUUUUCCUUUGCAAGGUAGUAGUAACAAAAACUUGUCUCAACUUAGCCGUCAUUCUAGUCCGCGUGAAGUCAUUGUUGGGUUAAAUUUUCAGCACCAAAUGUACUGCCACCUUCUUUACGGUCUAAGGAAUUAUGAAUUUAUCGAUGGAAUUAUUUCUCCUUAUGCUAUAGGAUUAAUUAGAGCAUUUAGUUUUUUUGAAUCUAAGUGGAAGUAGCUAUGUGAUGAUCUUGAAAAUGGGUACCCGUGUUUGGAUAUUACUGAGGUUGCAAUGCGAGAUUUUGUUACUGAACCAGAUUUGAAAAUGGGUACCCGUGUUGCAACCAGAUUUAUCAAAAAGGAUCCAAUCAAUUUGUGGAGAAAGUAAUUUGACCCUAGGUUCCUAGAGCGUAGAGACAAUCCAUCUGCUUGAUUAAAUAAUGUAACUUGGCAGCACCCUAUAUCAGAUGUGUAAUUGAUCUCUAUAUGGUUCAUGUUAAGCACUACUACUACUUCCAAACAAACGAGCUAGCUAGUUCUAGAAGUUUAGGGAUUGUUAAUAAUUGCUCUGUAAUGUCUUUUUUUCAGGUUAAUUAUGUCUAAUUUUGAUUCCGAUCCUGCUGUUCAAUUAAACCCUCAAGCCUCAAGUAAUGUUAAUGCUGAAAAUCCACAAACUCAUUCAAUUAGUGGAGGUACAAAACGAGACUCGGAAGGACAACCUAGAAGCUCAUUGAGACAAACAUCUAGAGCUUGGGACCACUUCACAAGGAGAACAAUUAAUGGAGAAAUGAAGGCAGUGUGUAAUCAUUGUGGCAAAGGUUUUGCUGGACAGCAAUCAAGUGGAACUUCACAUUUGUUAAACCAUAUUGAUAGGUGUCCCAAACGGAUACAAGAAUCAGCUCUAGCUCCAGCUUCUAGCCCUAGUCAAGCAUCUAAGGUCUACAAGAAAAAAGAUGCUGAAACUUCAACAAUUUCAGCAUUUGAUUCCACUGCAUUUGAUAAAGCACUUGCUAGACAGAAAAUAGCAAGAAUGAUAAUCAUGCAUGAGCUUCCUUUGAGAUUUGUUGAGUAUGAAGGGUUUAGGGAUUUGAUGAGUUUUGUUCAGCCUUUGCUUGGUAAAAUUUGUAGGAACACUGUGAAAAGAGAAGUUUUUAAGCUGUUUGAUUUUUAAAAGGCUAAGACAAUGGCUUUGUUGGAGGAUAUUACUAGUAAAGUUUCCAUUACUACGGAUAUGUGGACAUCUAGCCAUCAAAAAAAGGGAUAUAUGGUCGUGACAGUGCAUUUUAUUGACAAUUCGUGGACUCUACGAAAUCGAAUCUUAAGGUAUCAGUUUAAAAGUUUAAUAAAUUUAUUUAUAUUUUAUUAUAUGAACUUUAUUUUUAUUUAUUCUCAUAGCUGUAAUUCUGUUUUAUUUUUUAUGAAUUGUGUAGAUUUAUAUAUGUGCCUUCUCCACAUACUGCUGAAGCACUUUCUAAUGAGUUGGCUAAGUGUAUGUUGGAUUGGAAUGUAGAUCGAAGGUUAUCUACAAUAACAAUUGAUAAUUGUUCUACUAAUGAUGCUAUGAUUCCGCUUUUGUUGGCUAAGUUUCCUCCUGGUUCAUUCUUAUUAAAUGGAAAAUUAUUGCAUGUGAGAUGUUGUGCUCACAUUUUAAAUUUAAUUGUUAAGGAUGGGUUAGAUGCGAUAGGAGAUGGGAUUGAAAAAGUUAGAAACAGUGUUAAUUACUGGACAUCAUCACCUAAAAGGAUAGAGCUGUUUGAGGAUACGGCUAAUCGCCAAUUGAAGUUAAAUUGUUCUAAGAGUUUAGUGCUUGAUUGUAAAACUAGGUGGAAUUCGACAUAUUUAAUGCUUGAAGUUGCUUUGAUUUAUAAAGAUGUUUUUACUCGUUUGAAGCAUCGUGAUAACCAAUAUAAGCACUUGCCUACUGAAGUAGAGUGGGAGUUGGCGAGAGUAGUAUGUGAGCAUUUGAAACCCUUCUAUACUAUGGCUGAGAUGUUUUUUGGCACUAAAUACCCAACAGCUAACUUAUUUUUUCCAAUAAUUUGUGAAAUUAGAUUAUCAUUGAAUGCUUGGCUUAAUUCUUCAUGUGAUGUGAUAAAAAAUAUGGCGAAAAGUAUGUUAGAAAAGUUUGGAAAAUAUUGGGAUGAAAUCCAUGGUGUAAUGGUUGUUGCUGUUGUAUUGGAUCCUAGAUACAAAAUGGUUCUAGUGGAUUAUUUCUUUCCUCAGAUUUAUGGUAGUGAUGCAUCAACUCAUAUUGAUAGAAUCCGUACUCUCUGUUCUGACUUAUAUUCAGAAUAUAAAAAAAAGAGUAUGGUUGGAUCGAAUUUGGCUGAAGGAUUUGGUGAGUCUAGUGUUGUUUGUAAUUCUAAUUCUAGUUCAGUUGUGAUGGGUAUGUGGGAUGUGAAAAAAUUUAAUGCAUUCAAAAGCCAACAUAUUCAUAAACGAGUUAAGUCGAAGUUAGAUACUUACUUGGAAGAAGAGGAUAAGACUACUCCAGACUUCGAUAUUUUAAUGUGGUGGAAGGUGAAUAGAAGUAGAUAUCCGAUAUUAUCUGAGAUUGCUAGAGAUUUGCUGGCUGUUCCGGUCUCCACAGUUGCUUCCGAAUCUGCUUUUAGUGCGGGAGGUCGAUGUUUAAGCCCACAUCGUAGUAGACUUCAUCCGAGUACAGUAGAUGCCUUAAUGUGUACUCAGAAUUGGAUAUGGGCUCAAUUAAAAGGUAUCAAAUUCAGCUCACUUCUGCACUUAUUUGAUUUUGAUAGUAUUUGUUUUUUUUUUAUUUUACAAUUUUUUUAAAAUUAGGUGAGAUUCCUAAAGAUAAAGUGAUGAAUGGGGAAAAAAUAAAUGGAGAAGUGACUGAUAAUGAUGAUGAAGAGGAGACCCAACCAUGUUCUGAAUAGUGUUUAUUUUUCUUUUUUUGGUAUGUGCUUGAUGCUUAUUGUGAUGCUCAAUUAUUAAUAUCAAAUUCAGCUCACUUCUGCACUUAUUUGAUUUUGAUAGUAUUUGUUUUUUUUAUAUUUUACAAUUUUUUUUUAAAUUAGGUGAGAUUCCUAAAGAUAAAGUGAUGAAUGGGGAAAAAAUAAAUGGAGAAGUGACUGAUAAUGAUGAUGAAGAGGAGACCCAACCAUGUUCUGAAUAGUGUUUAUUUUUCUUUUUUUGGUAUGUGCUUGAUGCUUAUUGUGAUGCUCAAUUAUUAAUAUCAUGGUUAUACUUAUUUAUUUAUUGCAUCAGUGGAAGCAGCUAGUAAUAUUUUCAAUUUUUUUUCUAUUAUUGUUGUGCCUAAUUGAAGAGUAUAUUUUUAGGAAAGGACCUCAAUGUUACAGAUCCCUGGUGUUCUGUUCUGUGGCCCUGUCUUCUAUUACCUAAUCUUUUGUCCUGUGUUAUUCAUCUUAAGUUUCACUUGAUUUGAAAAUCUAUCCGGCUGCCAAAGAUAUUUCAUUUGUUAUGGCCAUGGUGGCAAAUUAUAUGGUUUAAGCUGAAUAUUACAGAAAAUGUAACUGCCUUGGUUGAUGCUUAAAAUACUUUGAUCACUUCUGAGAUUAAGAAAUAAUAAGCAUGUGAGCCCUUUGCACAAUAGACUGCCUACUAUCUAUAUUAUAUAUUUAUUUAGUUAGGAAGUAAAGUGCUGAGAAACAUACAAUUGGAGGCUCUGUUUCAGAAUUUCCUGUUUAGUUCAUAUCUGCUCUAUUCAUGCAUCAAAUGGCAGGUCUGGCUUUUUUCUGUCAUUUUCUCAUUCACUUCUUGUUAUCAGUUGGUUGCAGUUCGAAAAAUUCCUUGGGCAAACGCAAACCUGAAUUAUACUGGUCAAGCACUCAUCAUAUCCGUAGGUAACUGUCACAACUGGCAUUUCUAAUUUUUUGUAAUGUGGAAAGAAGAUAUACUGACUAGUAUACUAUUUUUGGUAUCAAAAAUUCAUACGACAUGGCCUCGAGGCUUUCUGUAAAAUUUGUUCAUGAUAUUGCUUAUUUAUUCUUGAAUACAGACUUUUUGUAAUGCGGAAAAAAAUCUAGUGUAAUACUCUCGUAUCAGUACAAAAAAUUAUGAUAUCACCACUGCUUUCAAAUACUUUUUUUUUUUUUCUGUGAGACUACCUCUGUUCAACACCUAUCUUUAAGUCAUAAAUAUUUAGUUUUGCUCAGGGGCGGACCUAAGAAUUUAUAUUAUCCCGGGCUAAAUGUGUAAUCAAUAUUUUUUGUAAUACAAAUGUGUAUUACAAAAAAUUAGUGUACUAAAUUUACACUAUGGGACCUAAGAAUUUAGAAUUAAACUCAAACAGCUCCUAGUGAAGCCGUCAAGUGGCUUUUAGCGUCUUUAUUUGUCUAAUCAUCUGAGUUACAAUCUUUAAAAAUAAUAAUAAUAAUAAGUUAAAAUUUUAUUUGACCUUUUCUUCUCAUUUCCGAAUAUUAACAAAUACCUCGAUAAUCGGUCCCCAAACCGCAUUCUGCCGUGUAUUUUGUAAGUAGGAUACAUUACUCACAAUAAUGUUAUGCUUUUGGGACCGCUACAGCCUACAAAUAAUGGCUCCCGAUUGAAUUAGUUCAAAAAAUAGUUAAUUAUUAAAUUUUAUCCUUUUCUAAUUUAAAUUGUGAAAUAUAUUCAGUUGUGAAAAAAAGAAUUACCGAUACAGAAGGUAUUAACAAUACCUUGAUAAUCCCGUUAAUUUUACGAGUAGGUAUUAACAAUAUGAUGUCUCACUGUUUGUCUGAUGGGCUCAUAAUUAUUAGAUUUUAUUGUUUCUAAUUUGGGUGGGGAAAUUUAUUCAGUUGGCUAAAAACCUAAGCUCUUGCGAGGCUUGUUUUAUUAUCAAAAACAAAAAAACAAACAAAAAUUAUUCAGUUGGCCUACAAAUUGUAAAUUAAUGUGUCAAUUUUCUCACGUUAUCCUCCUGCUUAAACAUAAGUCUACACAAGAUUUCAUGUUUAAAUAGGUUAAAUGUGCCAUGAUUAUUAAAUAAUUUUAAAUCAUAAACAUUUAGGUGGCAUAUGUUUCUUGUCUAAAAUCUAAAUAUGUGUGAAUUAGUCUGAAUUUUGAGUAGAGCUGAAUGUCUAAAUCUUAAUUAUAUGUUUGUUUUUUUAUCUGAAUCGUUAAAAAUAAAUAUUAAGUUGUUUAUCUUUUAACUUAAAAAAAAUCUAAAAAUUAGUAUUUCUACAUUUGUGCCCUAAUAUAUUGUAAAUGUUAAUCAAAUAAUCAACAUUUCAAAGAACAUAUAAAAGAUAAUAUAUCAUCAUAAAAUAAAUCAUUUUCAAUUGAACACAACCUUUUAAUAUUCUAAAUUAGUAUAUGUCAAUCAAUUUUAUUAUAAUUUAUGAUGUUUUUAUACUAAGAAUAGUCAUUAAAAAAUUAUGAAGAUAAAUAAUUCUAAUAUGAAGAAAAUAAGAUGGUAAAAAUAGUAAUAGUCUACCACUAUAUUAUCAUAAGUUAUAGAGAUGAGUAAUAAUACUAAUUAUUAAAUUUUAUUCGGGUAACGAUGAAAAUUAAUUAAUUAGAUAGAGAUAUUUUGGAAAAUAUCUUUUAAUGAUAUUAUUCAUACUUUUUAGAUUAAGUAAAAAGCUAAAAAGUUUGGGAUAAUAAUUUAAUGAAUGAAAAUUUUUCGUUAAGUUGAAAAAACAAACAUCUACUUAGUUUUUAUUUAUAUUAACAACAAAUUAAUAUAUAUGACGUUCUACUUAAUAAAGAGAGAACCUGAGGUAAUAAAACUGUUAAGAGAGAACUAUAAAUAAGGUGCUUUUGGAUUAUCAAAAAAGGUGAAAAACCAUCACCAAACCAUUUGGAUGUUAUUUGGAAGCUUGCCUUAUCAAAAAAAGUUUUAGAUGAAAAUUUUCUCUUGGUGAGCAGCUAAAGACCUAUUUUCAACAGCUGAAGAUUUGAAAAUUAAAAAAAAAAAUGUUUCAGUAUCCUAGAUGUUAAAUUUGCUAUAGUAACGUGGAUGACAUAUUUCAGAGAGUAAGAUGGGGUGGAAAUUUUGGCGAAAUUCCCAGUUCGCAGUCAAAUUUAAAGAGGAAAUUUAGUAGACAAGGCCAUUCUAAAAUUUAGAGAAAGGAAACAAAUGUAUUUAAGUAGGGAAUUAUGCAAUACGGAGUUAUAAGAGGUAUGCAUAUUUGAGACUUGUCUAAAGUAAUAAAUUCAUUUUAUGAACUAAUUAUUGGACCAUUUACGGAUUAAAGGCAUCAUUAAGAAGAAGAACAUUAUCAAGAGUCUUUUGAUAAUUCAAGGAUAGUGCAAUUACAAAAUUUAAAAAUCUCAAGAAGUUUUUUGAUAAUCACAUGAUAUGGAAUUAUAAAGAAAAGGAUCCGAGUUGCCUACGACAUAUGUAUUUUAUACAAUUUUUUUUAAUUAUUGAUUAGAUUACUGUCUGUGCAUGUUUCAAAUGUUUAAUACCGCACGUUAUACAAAUUCACAAAUUGUACCCAAAAAGUUUUUUUUCACCAAUAACAAAAAGUGCAGCUGAUGGUACCUAUAGGAACCAACAUGAUCACCCAGCACCUACACAUAAAGAAAUCAUGCAAAGUCCGGAGAGUCCUUUUAAAACCCCAUUAAUUUAGUUAUUUAUGAUUUUAAGAAUUUAUUUGGAGAUGUAGUAGAGGAGCUAUGAUUUUAAAAUGUUUGGUAAAUACAUAGUUUAAAAUUUUAUUUAUUUGAUAAAGAACUUAUAUUAUUUUAAGUACUUAAAAUAGUUUAAUAUGCAAUUCGAUGCUAAAAAGAUAGAAUUACCCUUACAAAAUGACCAUAGUUUUUAUUUGUAUUUGUUUCUAUGUUGUCAUUUAGUAAGGAUAAUUCUAUCUUUUUAGUAGACAACUAAUACAAAUUAUAAAAUUAAAGUAAAAAACUAAACAAAUUAAAUCUUCCUAGUAUUUUUUAAUAUAAAAUAAACUUAGGGUAGAUGGCUGAUAAUUGACUACACUAUAAUAAAAAAAAAACCUUGUUUUCAUAUAGGACCCACUCACUAUAAAAUUUAUAAUUGGUCGAUUUAGAUCUCAUUUCUAAUUUUUGUAAUGUGGAAAGAAGAUCUAGUAGAGACUUUCUUAUAUAACAAAUUUGUAUGACAUGUCCCAGAAGCUUUUUGUAAAACUUGUUCCUAAUAUUGCUAAUUUAUUCUUGAAAUUACUUAGAUCUUAUUUUCAAUUUUUUGUAAUGCAAAAAAAAAAAAACUAGUGUGAUACUCUUAUAUCACUACAAAAAAUUAUUUAAUAUUACAAUACCACAUUCUUUUUAAAUACUUUUUUGUGUGAAACGAUCUCCAUUCAACAACUAUCUUUCAGGUCAUAAAUAUUUAGUGUUUGUUAUAUUAACAAAAAUAUAAUUUAUACAAGGAUUUUACUUAAAAAUCAUCCUAAAGUGAUAGAACUCUUAAGAGAGAAUCGAAUUAAAGUGCUUCUAAGUUACUGGAAUAGAUGAAAGCUUUUUCACCAAAUCAUUUGCAAUGUUAUUUGGAAGCUUGCCUUGCCCCAAAAGUAUUGGGUGAUUUCUUUCUCUUUUUUUUUUGGAGAGCAACCAAAACGUACUUCGGUGAAAAUCUAUGGAAUAAACAGAACGCUGACUGCAAGUAGAUAAGGGUGUAGAACCCAAGUCGCGUUGGGAAAUUAGAAGAUAAGGUGCGUAGGUGAAAUUUAAUCUAUCUAAAUUUCGAGUAGACUUGUGUUUGAGUAGGAGGAUAAUGUAAGAAAAUUUGGCACUUUUAUUCAACUGAAGAAAUUUUACAAUUUAAAUUAGAAACGAUAAAAUUUAAUAAUUAAUUAUUAUUUGAACUAAUUGAAUCGUGCGCCAUCAUUUGUGUAAUGUAUCCUAUUUGCAAAAUAAACGGCAGGAUGCGGUUUGCGGACAGAUUAUCCUAUUUUGGUAAUUCUCUUCUUCUUCUUCAACCCCAAAUAAUCAAAAGCUCUCCAAUGGCUUUCGUAUCCUCAACUCGUUCAUUUAAUUUUACUUCAAUUUUAGUAUCAGCUCUUAGAUGUAAUUUCUCAUCUUCGUUCCCUCAUACCGGAAAACCCACAUCUUCAAUUUCGGAAAAUGAACCCUCGUAUCCGACCACAACAGCUAAACUGAAGGAGUCGCUACGACUGACGGUCAAAGACUGAGCCUCACUCGAAAAAUUCCUCAAAGAAAGGUGCAAAUCAUCAGGUCAAGGUGAUAUUAAUCUUAUUACUCCUAAUGAAGCCUUGUGUAUCUUUGAUUACAUGUUCCGUAUGCACCCUUCUCCGCCUCCUGUCUCUUCCUUCAAUAUUUUGUUUGGUUGUCUUGCUAAGAAUAAACAUUAUAUACUGUCCUUUCACUCUUCAAGCGACUCAAUUCAACUGGGUUGUUUCCAGAUCUUUAUACUUACAAUAUCUUGAUUAACUGCUUUUGCAAAAUGGGUCGAGUUUCUCAUGGUUUUGUUGUUCUUGGGAGAAUCCUCAGGUCUUGUUUUACUCCAGAUGCUGUGACCUUUACUUCUUUGAUUAAAGGUUUGUGUGCGGAGAGUAGAAUCAUGGAGGCCGCCGCAUUGUUAACGAAACUUAAAGCGUUUGGUUGUGAGCCUAAUGUCAUCACAUACACCACUUUGAUUAAUGGAUUGUGUCGAACAGGCCAUACAAUUGUUGCUCUAAAUUUAUUUGAAGAGAUGGCUAAUGGAAAUGGGGAAUUUGCUGUUGUUUGUAAGCCAGACACUGCUACAUACAGUACUAUUAUCGAUGGUCUUUGUAAGGAAGGUUUUGUGGACAAGGCCAAGGAACUGUUUCCGAAGAUGAAGGAUGAGAAUAUUAACCCCAAUGUGGUUACUUAUACUUCUUUGAUUCACGGUUUUUGUUACGCUAAUGAUUGGAAUGAGGCGAAGUGUUUGUUUAUUGAGAUGAUGGACCAAGGGGUACAACCUAAUGUUGUGACUUUCAAUGUGAUCAUGGAUGAGCUCUGCAAGAAUGGAAAGAUGGAUAAAGCAAGUCGGUUGCUGGACCUGAUGAUUCAGAUUGGUGUGCGUCCAGAUGCUUCUGUCUAUAACACAUUAAUGGAUGGGUUUUGCUUGACGAGUAGAGUUAACCGUGCGAAGGAACUAUUUGUUUCUAUGGAGAGUAUGGGUUGCAAACAUAAUGUUUUUAGUUACAGUAUUUUGAUAAAUGGUUACUGCAAGAAUAAGGAAAUAGAGGAAGCGUUAAGCCUUUAUAGCGAAAUGCUCUCUAAAGGAAUUAAGCCAACAGUUGUUACAUAUAGCACCUUGUUUCUUGGACUUUUUGAAAUACACCAGGUUCAGCAUGCUUUAAAACUGUUUGAUGAUAUGCAGCGUAAUCAUGUGGCAGCUAAUACAUAUAGAUACACUACCUUUAUUGACGGGCUCUGCAAGAAUGGUUUUGUUCUAGAGGCACUGGAAUUAUUCCGUGCUAUAAGAAAUAGCAAGUAUGAGCUUAAUAUCGUAUCCUACAACUGCCUCAUUGAUGGAUUGUGUAAAAUAGGCAAACUGGAAACUGCUUGGGAAAUGUUUCAAAGUUUGCCUCGUGUAGGCCUAAUGGCAGAUGUUGUAACUUACAACAUCAUGAUCCAUGGGCUUUGUAAUGAUGGGCAAAUGGACAAGGCACAUGAUUUGUUUCUUGAUAUGGAAGCAAAAGCUGUGGAACCCGAUUGUGUCAUAUUUAAUACGAUUAUGCUGGGUUUCAUCCGCAAUAAUGAGACAUCAAAAGUUAUUGAACUCCUUCACAGAAUGGAUAAGAGAAAUGUAAUGCCAGACGCAUCUAUACUUUCAAUUGUUGUGGACUUGCUUGUAAAGAAUGAAAUUAGCUUAAAAUCGAUUCCACAAUUCAAGAGUCAAAGGUAAGUGAGUUUAAUACUGAUUUAGCCACAUGUUUCUUCUGCCUGAAAACCCAACCUGGAGGAUCCCAUUCUUAUUACAACAUGUAAAGGAGUGUUGUCUAAUAUAGGCAUGUUCCUAGGUUCUGUCCAUGGAUUCUGUUUGCACACAUGGCUAACUUCCUGUUCAACAGAAAGUUUUAAAGUCUUUCAACUUUAUGUUGUAAAAUAACUUUUUUAUUAUUCAAUUCAUGAGUUUUUCUUCUAUAACACAUCCUUCUCAUUAGCUGGAAGUGCAAAUUUUUUAGGCUUUUCCCGUAUGGCCUCUUUUUCUGCUCUAAAUAAAAUGGCAUUUUAUUUCCCUCUUGUGAGGGUACAAGGUUUAUGUUUAAACUUUCUGUUAGUUAAAUUGGUUGUCUUUGAUAUAGGGAACUUCCAGUUGAACUGAUUUGUAAUUCGACUAUAUGAGAUUACCAACUGUAUUGGGAAUCGAUGCCAAAUUAAUAAUGUCAUCAGGUUUUUCAAUCAGUGUUCAUCAUUUAUUUCUGUUAACAAUUAAUAGCACAGUUUGUCUUCUCAGCUUCAUUGGUUCCUCUCAAAAAUAAUCUUGUAAAGACAAUCUUUCUUGGGCAUGGAAAAUGCUAGAUUGUUUGUGGUCUGAAUGAUACUACACAUCUAAGUAAUUGCCCAAAGUUUUUGUUCCUAGUUACAUGGCAUUCAAUUGAAUGAGGACUCAUGUUUGUGUGUAUUGGUAUUUGUUAUACUAUGUAUUGGCAAGACAAAGUUUCUUGAAAUUGACAAACUUUUCUCUAUGAAGAUUGAAGACAAUAUGAUAAGAUAAAAUUUAUCAAAAGCCUAUAUAUGCUUGCCAGGGCCGGACCUUUGAUUAUUAGUCCUCGCCUUUCGUUCUUGUUUCAUAUUCUUCUGCUAACAAAUCUUGAUCAUGAAUCUCAUCACAUUUGGUACGCUUAUCCAUGGUUUUAUCCGAACCAAUGAGCCAUCAAAAGUUAUUGACCUUCUUCACAAGAUGAGGGAGAAAAAAGUAAUGCCGGAUGCAUCUAUAGUUUCAAUCGUCGUGGACUUGUAAAGAAUGAAAUUAGUCUGAACUCACUUCCGUCAUUUCCUGUUCAAGAGCAACAGGGGGAAGUUGAUGAGUCAAAUGUCAAGUUGUAGCAGCAUGUGCUUUCAGCCUAAAAACCUGAUCUGCAGCAUCUCAAUCAUGUUACAAAGUGACACGUCGCCUAGUGACAGCAAGUUCUCUACGGUGCUGUUAAUGGAUCCUGAUUGUUCUUGUGAUCUGGAGAGUCUUAUUCACAUUACAGAUCCUGGUCUGGACGAGCUAGCUUAUGUGAUCACCAACUCUACAUUGCCGUUGAUGCCAAAUUAAAUAUGGUAUCAUGUUUUUCAACUUGUUACUUACUACAGUCCUUCCAUUGAAUGGCCACAAGAAACUGUAAAAUCACCCUUUGUCUUGUUCCCUCUUAAUGAUCCAUCACUUUGGGAGCUAAUGAAUUAGUUACACCUUGUCACUUUAUUGGUACUUGAUUGUCAUUUGUGCUUUGAAUUCACAGCAUAUUUUAUCCUUGCUGUACUCUUUGCAUAAUCACCUUUGAGGGCUGCUAGUAUGUAUAAUUGAAAAACCUUAUAUAAAUUAUAAGCAUUUAUAUUUAACUUCUUGUAAACGUCCAGUAUAUGUCUCUUCUGUGAAAUGAUUCAUUCUCCAUGCUGCUAGGACCUGGGCUUAUGACUCUUCUGUGAAAUGAUUUACCCUCACCUGCAGACAGAAAUUUAUCACAUUCGAGAAAUCUUCAAACAAAGUGAAAAAAAUGCCACAAACACGACAUAAACUUAACUGUUUACAUGAAAAGUGGCAGCAACUUGGUGAAAUUACCGAUUAAAAUGUCCCUACUGUGAGGAAGGAUGCUAUACAACUGACUCGGAAAAUGUAAAAUGGAUAACUUACGUCCAAAAUGUCCCUGUAUUGUUGGCAUGUUCCCAGGUUCUGUUCAUGGAUUCUGUUUGCAGACAUGGCCGACUCUCUGUUUCAUUGGAUAAGUUUCAAAUAAUUCUGGCAACUUUUUGUUGUAAAAUUACUUUUUUAUCAUUUAAUCCAUAUGCCUCUUUCUCAUUACCUGCAAGUGCAAAAUUUUUAGGCUCGUCCUCUUAGACCUCUUUUUCUUCUCUAAAUAGAUAAAAUGGCAUUUCAUUUUUCUCUUGCGAGGGUGCAGGUUUAUGCUGAAACUUUCGGUUAGUUAAAUUGAUUGUCUUUGAAAUUGGAACUUGUACUUGAACUAGUUUGCAUUUUGAAUAUAUGAGAUUACCAACUGUAACGGGGAAUUGGUGCCGAAUUGAUUAUGUUAUCAGGUUUUUCAGUCUGUGUUCAUCUUUUAUUUCUGUUAAUAAUUAACAGCACAGCUUGUCUUCUCUACUUCUUUGGUUCCUGUCAAUUGUCAAAUAUAAACUUGUAGAGACAUUUUGUUUUGGCAUGGCACAUGCUAGAUUUUGUUUUUUGUUUGAAUGAUACUACACAUCUAAGUGAUUGUCCAGAAUUUUUUUCAUUCCUAGUGACAUGGCACUCAAUUGAAUGGUGACUCGUGAAUCAUGAUUGUGUGUGUUGGUCUUUGUUAUACUACGUGUUGGCAAGACAAAGUCUUUUGAAACUGACAAACUUUUCUCUAUGAAUAUUGAAGACAAUAUGAUAAGAUAAAAUUAAUCAAAAACAUCUAUUCUUGACAGGGCUGGAACGUCUGUUAUUAGUCCUCGCCUUCCAUUCUUGUUUCAUAUUCUUCUGCUAACAAAUCUUGAUCAUGAUAGUCUUCUCUUUUCUUUUGCAAUGGUGAGUUCACUCUCAGGAAUCAGAUCGAAUUUGAAGAAACUGCAAGGGACUCCAAAGCAAAUGGUGUAGAGCAACCUUCACUUAUCACGGGCACAGGAUUACUCUGACUUUCUGCAUUUUACUGUUGGCUAUGGUUUGAUGCAUUAUUUAUUGUUCUAAAAUACCAUCCUCGUUGGAAGUUCAAUCAUUACUGUUUUUAUUCCCCCUCUUUUUACUUGCUCUUGCUAUUUUUGUUGUCUGAAAUUAUCAGAAGUUCCAUGCAUGCUCCAAUAGAACGAGUAAUGUAAUGUAGGUGCUGACCAACUCCAAAUAAGUAGUUAGUUGCCUAGUAGUUGCUUUCCAUGAAAUUUGUUUUUGGUAUGAAUAAUGUUGUCUUAAUUUUACAAGCUUCCGUGCAACCCCUAAUUUAUUGGAUGUAUUAACCCAACCCCUCAUUUAAUAUUAGAUUUACCCAUUGAUUGAUGUUGACUCUUGAAAGUAAUGUACUAUUUAUUUAUUUGAUAUUAAUGAUUAUAUCAUUUAAAUAGUCUAUUCUAAGAUAUUAUUAAUUUUCUCAUUUAAAUAAAAUAUUAUUAUAUUUAUUUGAUAUUAAUGAUUAAUUAUAAUGAAUAGUCUAUUCUAAGAAAAUAUUAAUUUUCUACUAUGUUAUUAAUAAUAAUGUUUCAUUUCUAUUACUUUCAUCAAUAAUUUUUAAUUUAGAUAACUAAAAUUAAAACUAACAAAAAAUUAUGAUUUACAUAAUUAAUAAUAUUAAUAAUUAUUGUUAAUUUACAAAUAUAAUGAAAUAAAUAUUUCUUUUUUCAAAUAUAUUUUUUUAUUAAAUUUUUAAUUAAAAACUAUAUUUUUUAAAUAAGGAUAAAAUUAUAAUUUGAAACUAUUUACUCCCGCUCCGAGACAAAGUAAACACAUAAAUUGAAUUUUAAUUCUAAUUCCAUACUCCUAUUAUAGUGUAAGUAAAUAAUCUACUCUCACUCCACAUUCUCAAUCUCAGGAUUCUUACUUCUUAGGAUACCUCUCUAUUCCAAAAUGUAAACGCUAACAAAAUAUAAACCAUAUAGAGGCAUAUAUAUAUAGAAUCAUAUCAUAUCUCAAACGUCAAAUAAAAUUCUUAAUUAAGUAAACCAUAAGGUGAUUGCGUAUAAAAAAAAUUAAUAAUAUUAAUUUUCAUAAGCAUUUAUGCUUGUAGUAUUACUUUACUUUUUAUUAACCGUUGCUUCAACUUAUGGUGGAUAUUAAGAGAACAAUAAUAAUAGAGCUAUACACGUUUGCAUACUACCAAUUAAAUUAACACUAUAAUUUGGUUUACCAAACAGAUCCUUAAUAUCAUAAAUAAUUAAAUUAUUGGGGUUUUAAAAUGUAGACUUUGCAUGAUUUCUUUAUAUUUAGGUGCCAUGGCUCCUAUAAGUAAUGGCAGCCACACCUUUUGUUAUUGGUAAAAAACUUUUCUAGGUACAAUUUGUGAAUUUGUACAACGAGUGGUAUUAAACAUUUGAAGAAUGAACCGACAAUGUCAUAUCAAUAAUAAAGAAAAGAAAACGAAUUGUAUAAUACCCAGGUGUUCUAGUGUAACUUGGAUUCUUUUUCUUUAUAGGUGCACCUAUCAUGUGAUUUUUUUUUUUGAAAAAAGAAAACAAAAAAAAAAAGAACUCUUGAGAUUUUAAAAUUUUGUAAUUGCACUAUCUUUAAAUUACUAGGAGACUUCCUCUCCUCGAAGACACCUUUAAUCCAUAAAAGGUCCAAAAAAUAAUUCAUGAAAUGAAUUGAUUGUUUUAGAUAAGUUUCAAGUAUGCAUACCUUUUAUAACUCCAUAUUGCAUAACUCCUCAUUUCACUCAAUGGGUGCAUUUGUUCACUUUUUCUUUCUUGUAAAAUUUUGAAUGGCCCUAAUUCUAUAGAUUAUUAAUUAAGUGUUAUUAUUAUCAUUAUUGGCCGUAGAUGCAUAUGUGGGGUGGGGCCGUUUGGGGGGCAUGGAUCUCAAUACACCAGAGGGCCAUAAUAUUUAUUCUUUAAGAGGAACCACAACCAACAACAAUACUUUAAGUUCCAUUCCAUUUCACUUCUAUGCACUAGAUUGCAUAAACAACAUUGAUCAUCCAAGGUCAAAGCCUCUCAAAGACGUUAGUUGCAAGAAAAAGCAUGGGAUUGUGGUCAAAAUUUUCUUGCGGUGAAAGGCUCAUACAUUGAUGACAAUUACUAGAUUGUUUUGGGCCUCAAUGGUUUUAAUAUUAUUCUCUUAAAAACAUAUGUUGAUUAGAGACGAGAGGAAGAAGAUGAUCUGAUUCAGCCAACUGCAGAAGAUAGAGCACGCGGUGGAGUUCAGAUUUUGAAUUCUCUUGUUAAGUUGUUUUUAAUUUAUUGCAAGGUAGAAUACGUUGCUUUCUUAAAAAAAUACUUUGAACAUCAUAUUUUUGUAUUACAAAUAUACCAAAAUUAAACUAUUUUUUUCUUUAUUAGUAUAAACUAAAUUUUGCCAGAAUGGUUGUCCUUGUAGGUGGAAUUCUAUUAUGAAACUAAUAGUCCUUCCUAGUGCUAACUAUCACUUUGAACAAAUGUGGCAUCUCUAACAACAACUUCCAAACUUGCAACUACCUGCUUCUCAGCAUUAGAAGCGAUAUCCACCUUGGCUUUCAACUAGCUGUAAUUAGGAGGAGGGUACCAUUGUUUCUGUUUGUCAAUUUCCUUCCUUGAAGCAUAAGCCUUAAUUAGGAGGAGGGCAAGCUUCCAAAUAACAUUCCAAAUAGUAUUGUGAAAAUUUUUCACCCUUUUGGUCAUAAAAAAGAACCUUAUUUCUAGUUCUCUAUUAACAAUUUUAUCACUUUAAGAUCUCUCUUUACUAGAAAUAUCAUAUAUAUUAAUUUGUUGUUAAUAUAAAUACGACUAAAUAUUUAUAAUUUAAAGAUAACUGUUGAAUGGAGGUUGUCUCACACACACACACACACACAAAAGUAUUUAAAAGCAACGGUGAUAUCAUAAUUUUUUGUACUGAUAUGAGAAUAUCAGUAUUACAAUAUCAAAAGUAUUACAAUAGAUUUUUUUUCCGCAUCACAAAAAGUUUGAAUUCAAGAAUAAAUAAGCAAUAUCGGGAGCAAAUUUUACAAAAAGUCUCCGGGACAUGUCAUAUGAAUUUGUGAUACGAAAAAUAGUAUACUAGUCAAUAGAUCUUCUUUCCACAUUACAAAAAAUUAGAAAUGCGAUCUAAAUCGAUAUCAAUUACUAAUUUUAUAGUGAAUGGGUCCUUCAUGAAAACAAUGAAUAUUUUUAUAAUUUAAGAAAUUAUUAGCCAUUUACCCUAAGUUUACUUUGUGUCCAAAAAUACUACGGAAACUUUAACUUGUUUAGUUUUUUACCUUAAUUUAUAAUUUAUAUUAGUCGCUCAUUAAAAAAAAUAGAAUUACCUCAUAAAAUGAUAAAAUAAAAACAAACACAAAUGACAAUACUAGUUGCUUUAUAAGGAUAAUCCAGUCCUUUCGGCACCAAAUUACUGGUUAAAUUAUUUUAAAUAUUAUAAAUUAUUUUUAGAUUGAGUGACGAAGGAUCAUUUUAAUACUCAUGGCCAUUUAAUCUAUCUAAACAUGAUAUUUUGAGUAGACUUAUGUUUGCUUAGGAGGCUGAUGUAAAAAAAGUGGCACUUUUAUUCAACUGAAUAAAUUUCACAAUUUAAAUUAGAAAACGAUAAAAUUCCAUAAUUAACUAUUAUUUGAACUAAUUGAAUCGGGAGCCAUCAUUUGUAGCGGCCCCAAAAGCAUAACAUUAUUGUGAGUAAUGUAUCCUACUUGCAAAAUAAACGGCAGAAGGCGGUUUGGGGACGGAUUAUCGAGGUAUUUGUUAAUAUCCGGAAAUGGAAAGAAAAGGGCAAAUAAAAUUUUAACUUAUUAUUAUUAUUAAAGAUUAGACAAAUAAAGGAGCUGUUUGAGUGUAAAUCUCAAAUCAAACCGUACCCAUCGCAAGUAAUGCAUGUGCACAUAAAAUUCUAUUUUGGUAAUUCUUUUCUUCUUCUUUAACCCCAAAUAAUCAAAAGCUCUCCAAUGGCUUUCGUAUCCACAACUCGUUCACUUCAUUUUACUUCAAUUUCAAUAUCAGCUCUUAGAUUUAAUUUCUCAUCUUCGUUCCCUCAUACCGGAAAACCCAAAUCUUCAAUUUCGGAAAAUGAACCCUCGUAUCCGACCACAACAGCUAAACUGAAGGAGUCGCUACGACGGACGGUCAAAGACCGAGCCUCACUCGAAAAAUUCCUCAGAGAAAGGUUCAAAUCAUCCGGUGAAGGUGAUAUUACUACUAUUACUCCUAAUGAAGCCUUUUGUAUCUUUGAUUACUUGCUCAAUAUGCGCCCUUCUCCCCCUCCUCUCACUUCCUUCAAUAUUUUGUUUGGUUGUCUUGCUAAGACUAAACAUUAUGAUACUCUCCUUUCACUCUUCAAGAGACUCAAUUCAACUGGGUUGUUUCCAGAUCUUUAUACUUAUAAUAUCUUGAUUAACUGCUUUUGCAAAAUGGGUCGAGUUUCUCAUGGUUUUGUUGUUCUUGGGAGGAUCCUCAGGUCUUGUUUUACUCCAGAUGCUGUGACCUUUAAUUCUUUGAUUAAAGGUUUGUGUGCGGAGAGUAGCAUAAUGGAGGCUGCCGCAUUGUUUACGAAACUUAGAGUGUUUGGUUGUGAGCCUAAUGUCAUUACGUACAGUACUUUAAUUAAUGGAUUGUGUCGAACUGGCCAUACAAUUGUUGCUCUAAAUUUAUUUGAAGAGAUGGCUAAUGGAAAUGGGGAAUUUGGUGUUGUUUGUGAGCCAAACACUGUUACAUACACUACUAUUAUAGAUGGUCUUUGUAAGGAAGGUUUUGUGGACAAGGCCAAGGAACUGUUUCUGCAGAUGAAGGAUAACAAUAUUAACCCUAACGUGGUUACCUAUACCUCUGUGAUUCGUGGUUUUUGUUAUGCUAAUGAUUGGAAUGAGACCAAGUGUUUGCUAAUUGAGAUGAUGGACCAAGGGGUACAGCCUAAUGUUGUGACUUUCAAUGUCAUCAUGGAUGAGCUCUGCAAGAAUGGAAAGAUGGAUGAGGCAAGUCGGUUGUUGGACCUGAUGAUUCAGUUUGGUGUGCGUCCAAAUGCUUUUGUCUAUAACACAUUAAUGGACGGGUUUUGCUUGACAGGUAGAGUUAAUCGUGCGGAGGAACUAUUUGUUUCUAUGGAGAGUAUGGGUUGCAAACAUACUGUUUUUAGUUACAGUAUUUUGAUAAAUGGUUACUGCAAGAAUAAGGAAAUAGAGGGAGCGUUAACCCUUUAUAGCGAAAUGCUCUCUAAAGGAAUUAAGCCAGAUGUUGUUAUAUAUAACACCUUGUUUAUUGGCCUUUUUGAAAUACACCAGGUUGAGCGUGCUUUCAAGCUGUUUGAUGAGAUGCAAUGUGAUGGCGUGGCAGCUGAUACCUGGGCAUAUAGAACCUUUAUUGAUGGGCUCUGCAAGAAUGGUUAUAUUGUAGAGGCAGUUGAACUAUUUCGUACUUUGAGAAUUCUCAAGUGUGAACUUGAUAUUCGAGCCUACAACUGCCUCAUUGAUGGAUUAUGUAAAUCCGGCAGACUCGAAAUUGCAUGGGAACUAUUUCGUAGUUUGCCUCGUGUAGGCCUAAUGGCAGAUGUUGUAACAUAUAACAUCAUGAUCCAUGGGCUUUGUAAUGAUGGGCAAAUGGACAAGGCACGUGGUUUAUUUCUUGAUAUGGAAGCAAAGGGUUUGGAACCCAAUUUUGUCAUAUUUAAUACGCUUAUGCUGGGUUUCAUCCGCUGUAAUGAGACAUCAAAAGUUAUUGAACUCCUUCACAGAAUGGAUAAGAGAAAUGUAAUGCCAGACGCAUCUAUACUCUCAAUUGUUGUGGACUUGCUUGUUAAGAAUGAAAUUAGUUUAAACUCGAUUCCACAAUUCCAGAGACACAAGUCAAUGAGCUGAAUGCUGAUUUACUUGCAUGUUUUUUCUGCCUAAAAUCUGGAUCUGGAGAAUCCCAUUCUUAUUACAACACGUGAAGUAUUGUUGCGUAGUGAUGGCAUGUCCCAGGUUCUGUUCAUGGAUUCUGUUUGCAGAUAUGGAUGACUCAUCAGUUAAGUUUCAAAGUCUGGCAACUUUUUGUUGUAAAAUUGCUUUUUAUUAUUCAGGUCAUAUGUUUUCCUUCUAUAAUGCAUCUUUUUCAUUAGCUGGAAGUGCAAAGUUUUUAUGCUCUUUCUGUAUGACCACUUUUUCUUCUCUAAAUAGAUAAAAUGGCAUUUAGUUUUUCGUUUGUGAGGCUACUAGGUUUAUGCUCAAACUUUCUGUUAGUUAAAUUGAUUGUCUUUGAUAUCUAGCACUUCUAGUUGUACUAAUUUGUACUUCUGAGUAUAUGGGAUUGCCGACUGUAAUGGGAAUUGAUGCCAAAUUAAUUAUGCAUCAAGUUUUUCAGCGUGUUCAUCUUUUAUUUCUGUUAACAUUUUGGCUUUGGACAUGCUGGAUUGUUUUUGGUUUCAGUGAUACAAAACAUCUAACUAAUUGUCCAAAGUUCUUCAUUCCUUGUGACAUAGCAUUCAAUUGAAUGGUGACUCAUGAAUCAUGAUUGUGUGUUUUGGUAUUUGUAUACUAUGUAUUGGCAAGACAAAGUUUGUUGAAACUGAGAAACUUUUCUCCGCCUUCCAUUCUUGUUUCAUAUUCUUAUGCUAACAAAUCUUGAUCAUGAUGAGUCUCCUCUUUUCUUUACAACCCACAUAUAAAGUCUUGGCCAUAAGCCUCAAGGCCUAUUGGCUAUUACAGCAGUGAGUUCACUCUCAGGAAUCAGAUCUUUCAAAUUCGAGGAAAUUUGAAAAAAUUGCAAAUGUCUACAAAGCAAAUGGUCUAAAGGUCCUUUUUGUUAUCACUCACACAACAUUACUCGAGUAUCUACGUUUUACAGUUGGUUCUGUUGUGAAACAGCAUUUCUGAUUAUUAUAGAAGACAAUUCUUCGAAGCAUGUAUUUGAGAUGCGUGUAGAGCCUUUGGAAUUAAAUGAUUAAUUCGCUUUAAUUUCCAGCCAUAGUUCUAUGCAGGCUAGUUAAUCCCCUUUUUUGUUACCCCCCUCUUUUUCCUUUUUGCUAUGGAUUGUGUUUCCUUGUUUUUCUACUUUUACUUGCGUUGACAACUUGAGCUUGCUGUCUUGUGGUUUUAGAACCUUCCUAAGUAAGCGUGCAAAUGACAAUGAAGAAUUGAAGAUGGUGAAGGGUUUACUAGUCAUUUUCUUUUUUAAAGCAAUGCGUUUUAUGCGGCAAUCUUAUUGAUCUACGUUGGGAAAAAAUUUAACUGAUUUUGAAGGUCCUUAAAGAUCGUCCAUCUUGGUUCUGGCAUUGUUACAGCCUUGAAGUUUGCAAAACGUUUCCUGCUGGAUAAAUUGAACUUGUACACACACAUGUGAACCAAAAGAAAAAUGAUAUAUGUAUCGAAACACUUUUAAAUAGAGAAAAGUUUGUCUGGAUAGCCUGGUUUUGAAUCGAUUUUAACAGAAAACGAGCUUCAAGCAUGUGCUCCAACUACUCUGGCAUGACAUUGGCGAUUGCCCUACAUUUUUUUUAACUACUUUUGGUAAUCUUUUUUGGUUUAUGCUUUGCAGUAAUAAAAUGUUAAUCCUUUCUUCUCAUGAAUGUUUUCUUGAACUGAAAUGUUAAUCAUUUCUUCACGUUGAAGCAUAAAACUACCAUAGGCCCAGGGCCGCAAUAUAUGGAAGAAAAUGCUUGUUUAGUAGGACCCUUUAAUUAGGAUAUUAGCCACUCAAUUUGGAGAUCUUAUGGACCAACAAUCUAUCUGAAACGUCACAUUCACAUGUUUGAUUGAAAGGGGAAUUAAGGAAUUCAAGUGGCUCAGAAAGGCAACCGACUCUACCCAACAAUGGCAGAAAGAACAUGAAAGAAAGAAGAUCACAUGAAUCAAUCAAAACCAAAUGAUAAAAUUACUGAUGCCCCUCCAUGUCAUUCAAGAAAUGGAUAAAAUAGGAAUACAAGUUCAUGUUAGGAUUAUGUAUUAAAAAUAAAAAUAAGAAUGCAUCAUUAUAUAUAUGUGUAAGUAGACAAAGCAUUGAUCUCUGGGGAUUAGCUAGCCUUUAACAAUCAGUGGUGUUCCCAGUACCGGGGUGACAGAUUGUGUAUUUGUCUCUGAAUCUGGGGCAUAUCUAAAAAGCUAAAAGAUUUACUUUCUAUCUUCAAGAACAAGAGCAUACCAUUAUGAUCUGAUUUAAUCUAGUCCACUAACUUGGCUUUUUUUUUUUUUUAAUUUAUAUACCAUUUUGUGCUAUCCAUCUACAUUGACAAGACAUAUUGCACAGUUUAUCCUGAAAAUCAUCCAACACCAAGUUUCAAUAUCUUGGAGGAUAAUCACCUUCUUUUACCUAUAUACUUAGCUUUAAAGAAAAUUAUGUUAUUUCAUUAGAGUUAUUUUCAUGAUUAGCAUUACCAUUUCAAGUCAAAUGUAGCUCAAUAAUCUAUAAUAGUAUAUCGGUUCCUUGUUUAUCAAUUCUCUCUCUCCAUUUCAGGUUUCAUUCGGACCAAGUAUUCCCUUUCUCAUGUGUACGAGAUGUCAAGCUUGGCAAGUUAAAAAGAAAAUGAAUAGUCAUUUUCAAUCAGUCUAGAACUUUCUCUAGGGGCAACUGGACCCCCAACUUCUCAAUCUAUUUUGUGUUUGGUGUGUGUAGAACUUUCUUGGCAUGUUUUAUCAGCCCUUCCUCUGGGUCAUUUUGUAAGACGGGUUACACCAGCUAAACACAUGGGAAGGUCAUGUAGACUGGAUGAAUAAAGCUGCCCUGAGAGACCGUCAUGGCGGCAUGCUUUGCUGCUUGUUUUGUCUUGGGUUGGUCUAUUUUUUCCAUUACUAAAGCACAUUUUUCACCGUUUUCUCACAUGCUUACCAUAAUGUAAAAACCUUAGCUGCUGCGACAUGACAUGAGAGUAUCACACUAGAUGUUUGGGGGAAAAAUAAGAAAGAUAGCAGAACGCCACGUGUCGACGAAUGGAAGAACUUCAGUGCAAUCCGAGGUACCCGACAUGAUUAGAGGUACCCCGCACGAUUAGAGGUACCUGCCAUGAUUUGAGGUACCCGGCACGGUCAGAGGUACCCCACAUAACUCCAGAAUAACUCGAGGUAUCUCGCAUAGACUGGGCUACCCCGUAUAAUUCAAGGUACCCGGAAUAACUCCAGCAUAAUUCAAGGUACCCGACCUGAUUAGAGGUACCCGGCGUGAUUAGAGGUACCCGGCCUGAUUAGAGGUACCCCGCAUGAUUAGAGGUACUCGGCGUAAUUAGAGGUACCCGGCUUGAGUAGAGGUACCCCGCAUAAUUAGAGGUACCCUGCGUGAUUAGAGGUACCCCGCAUGAUUAGAGGUACCCGGUGUAAUUAGAGGUACCCGGCUUGAUUAGAGGUACCCCGCAUGAUUAGAGGUACCCUGCGUGAUUAGAGGUAUCCGACCUGAUUAGAGGUACCCCGCAUGAUUAGAAGUACCCGGCGUGAUUAGAGGUACCCCGCAUGAUUAGAGGUACCCGGCGUAAUUAGAGGUCCCCGGCUUGAUUAGAGGUACCCCGCCCAAUUAGAGGUACCCGGCGUAAUUAGAAGUAUCCUGCUUAAUUAGAGGUACCCCGCGUAAUUAAAGAUACCCCACACAAAUAGAGGUACCCCACACAAAUAGAGGUACCCCGCACAAUUAGAGGUACCCCACAUAAAUUGAGGUACCCCACGUAACUCGAGGUACCUGGCAGAUCAGAUGCAAGAGAAUCCUCCGAAAAUAUCCGCCAUGAGAAACGUCUCCACCUCUUAAAAGAUAUUAUUCGAUUUUGUCAGAAUUAGGAAUCAAGAACGUCGUACAAAAAGGGGGGGACAGCCGACCUGCUACCUCUGCCAAAAGUGAAGGACAUUGUCUCAAGGACAGUGGUCCUCAGCCGCCUACCCGACAGUUACAGCAGAGGUACCCUGGACCACUCUCUAGCGCGCGCCACGUUUCUAAAGGAUGAGAUACACCGCGAACAUGCACAUAACUGCCCAAAAAUCAUAAAAAUGUAAAAAGACGUUAGCCAAAAAGGGUACGCCACGUGGCAGCUGAGGUACUCCAUAUAUAAAGGUGCCUAGGUUUCAUUCUCCACCAUGUUCUCACUCACCAUGAACACUCACACUCUAAAAAAUAGGUUUUCUUCAACCUUAAACCAUAAUUUACAGAGGGCUAGCUAGCUCUCUUUGCCAUAAAAGCUUGAGUUUGCUAACUUGAGCGUCGGAGUGUGAACACCGGGGUACCCCGGCUUCACUUCUAACCUCUAUUUCACUGUUUUGCAGGCGUGAUUUGGAAGGACACCUCUCUUGUUUUUUACCUUCCACCAUUGUUACCACUCUCUCUCCCCUUCUCACCUCCCCCGAAUUUCAGAUACACCGCACCGCACACAACAAACUAGUGAGGUACCCCAUCUCCCCCAAAAACAUAAAUUCAUUGUUUAAGAUAGAUUUUGGAUUUUCCUACCCCAAAAUCAGUUGAAAACAAUUGGCGCCGUCUGUGGGGAGUCGCACAAAAAGCCUCCACCACGGUUACCAAACUAGUUGUUGUGUGUACUCUAAUACAUGGCACCCGACGUACCUCCCGAAGGUUUAAUGGGGGAUCCUAUAAGGAUGAGAGAUGACAGCAGCAGUGAAGGUAGUGAUCCUGCAAGAAGGGUAGCCCGCAUCAGCAAGGGUAAGGGUAUCAAGCAAUCGACGGGUGUUCGCCAAGAAGAAAAACCUAUUUCGCACAAGCGUUUUGAGGAUCUUGCCCACGCAAUACUUAGGGCGGUCGGAUCUCGGGCACCCGAAAGUUCACUAACACCAGUGACGCUAGAAGCUCCACCGCCUCAAACGGACGACCAAGCUAUGGUCAGAAGAGGGGUACCCGAGGCCAGCAAGCCAAAGCAUAGGCCAUCGGGUACCCGUUCUAAGUUUCAAACCGUGGGCUCCCGCGACGAGCGUUCCACCGCCUCUUGCAAUUCCCGCAGCAACCAGGGUAUGAGGCGUGCAAAGCGUACCCACGAGGAUCUCCGUGAGAAGUUAAACGCCAAAAAGGCUUCUCAAAUGGCGGCGACAUCAUCGGGUACCCCGAGGGUACCCCUCGAACUUGUGGAAAAAAUGGAGAACCUGGAAGCCCAAGUGAAGCUCCUCUCCGAGAAGCAAAACAUCACAGCUGCUCCAACGCCAAUGACCUACCAAUCGCCAUUUACUAUGGAGAUUCGGAAGGCAGCUCUCCCCGAGGCGUUCGCCAUGCCUCAGAUACCCCAAUACUCGGGUACCACUGAUCCCUCGGAGCAUACUGAGUUAUACCGCGACCAAAUGCUUAUCAAGGGUGUAGAUGAGAGCGCUAUGUGUAGGAUGUUUACACACACUCACGGGCCCCGCGAAGUCAUGGUUUCGCUCUUUGAAAGCGGGUAGCAUAUCUUUCUUACACCAAUUGCUAUCCAAAUUUACUAAAGAGUUUUCCUACGCCUCCACUCAAGAUAGGGUAGCCUCCAAACUUGCCUUUAUCAAGCAAGGGGAAGCCGAGACUUUGGCGUAGUAUGUGAGUCGUUUCCACCAAGAGGUGCUGCAAACCGGAGCAUUCGGAAACCAAUACACAUUGACCCAUUUUGAGAAAAAUUUACGGUUGGGCAAGUUAUGGCGUUCUUUUCAAAAGAAGCGCCCACUUUCAUAUGGGGAAGCCCGUUCCCGGGCGUUGCAGCAAGUGGAGAUGGAUGAGAAAUGUCAUUUGAAGCGCCAAGAAGAUAAAGUCGAGGUCACAAAGAAUAAGGAGAAGCCAAAGAGGACGGAAGCCCCAAUACCAAGGGUACCCCAAAUGCGGAGCCCUCCACAGGUUGCCUCGCGGGGAUGAGUGUUUAACACUCAGAGUAUCUCACGGGUACCCCAACCUCCAAGAUCGUCACCACAAGAGCAGCAAGAGCCACCACCGAGGCCUCGGUGGUAGGGUACCCCAUAACUAGUUACUCUAGAGUUAUGCGGGGUACCCCAUGGGGACCAGAUUAAGCCCGUUCUCGGGCGUUGCAGCAAGUGGAGAUGGAUGAGAAAUGUCAUUUGAAGCACCAAGAAGAUAAGGUCGAGGUCACAACGAAUAAGAAGAAGCCGAAGAGGACGAAAGCCCCAAUACCAAGGGUAUCCCAAAUGCGGAGCCCUCCACGGGUUGCCCCGCGGGGACGAGUGUUUAACACUUAGGGUAUCUCACGGGUACCCCAACCUCCAAGAUCGCCACCACCAGAGCAACAAGAGCCACUACCGAGGCCUCGGUGGUAGGGUACCCCAUAACUAGUUACUCUAGAGUUAUGCGGGGGUACCCUACGGGGAACAAAUUAAGCCCAAAUGUGAAUUGGAGGCACCUUUGGAUCCUCGAAUACCCAAAGAUGAAAAACGGGGUACCCCGGUUGAAGACUCGGUUUUAGUCUCGAUUUGGGCCACCAAUCCAACAAAGAAAAGUCAUACUACUAGUAAAAGUAUUGUUUAUUAUGAUGCAAGAGGGUAUCCAGAGAUCACCUUACUCCAGGGUACCCGAGGUACCUGACCUAUCUCCAAUUAUGAUAAUCUACUCAACAUCAGAGUUGCCUUUAUCAUUAUUUGUUCGCCAUAUUUGAUUCCAGCGAAUGGUGGAUCAUGAGGUUUUCGACUAUAUCGCAUAAGGGUAGGCGAGUAGCUACCUUUAUCUCAAUCUAUGUUGUCUAUUUGAUUCCAGCGAAUGGUGGAUCAUGAGGUUUUCGACCAUAUCGCAUAAGGGUAGGCGAGCAGCCACCUUCAUAUUUAUUUAUGUUGUUUAUUUUAUUCCAUGCGAAUGGUGGAUCAUGAGUUUUCGACCAUCUCGCAUAAGAGUAGACGAGUAGCUACCUUCAUCUCAAUCUAUAUUGUCUAUUUGAUUCCAGCGAAUGGUGGAUCAUGAGGUUUUCGACCAUCUCGCAUAAGGGUAGGCGAGCAGCUACCUUCAUCUCAAUCUAUGUUGUCUAUUUGAUUCCAGCGAAUGGUGGAUCAUGAGGUUUUCGACCAUAUCGCAUAAGGGUAGGUGAGCAGCCACCUUUAUCUUUAUUUAUGUUGUCUAUUUUAUUCCAUGCGAAUGGUGGAUCAUGAGUUUUCGACCAUCUCGCAUAAGGGUAGGCGAGCAGCUACCUUCAUCUCAAUUUAUAUUGUCUAUUUGAUUCCAUGCGAAUGGUGGAUCAUGAGGUUUUCGACCAUCUUGCAUAAGGGUAGGCGAGCAGCUACCUUCAUCUCAAUCUAUGUUGUCUAUUUGAUUCUAGCGAAUGGUGGAUCAUGAGGUUUUCGACCAUCUUGCAUAAGGGUAGGCGAGCAGCUACCUUCAUCUCAAUCUAUGUUGUCUAUUUGAUUCUAGCGAAGGGUGGAUCAUGAGGUUUUCGACCAUAUCGCAUAAGGGUAGGUGAGCAGCCACCUUUAUCUUUAUUUAUGUUGUCUAUUUUAUUCCAUGCGAAUGGUGGAUCAUGAGUUUUCGACCAUCUCGCAUAAGGGUAGGCGAGCAGCUACCUUCAUCUCAAUUUAUAUUGUCUAUUUGAUUCCAUGCGAAUGGUGGAUCAUGAGGUUUUCGACCAUCUUGCAUAAGGGUAGGCGAGCAGCUACCUUCAUCUCAAUCUAUGUUGUCUAUUUGAUUCUAGCGAAUGGUGGAUCAUGAGGUUUUCGACCAUCUUGCAUAAGGGUAGGCGAGCAGCUACCUUCAUCUCAAUCUAUGUUGUCUAUUUGAUUCUAGCGAAUGGUGGAUCAUGAGGUUUUCGACCAUCUUGCAUAAGGGUAGGCGAGCAGCUACCUUCAUCUCAAUCUAUGUUGUUUAUUUGGUUCUAGCGAAUGAUGGAUCAUGAGGUUUUCGACCAUAUCGCAUAAGGGUAGGCGAGCAGCCACCUUUAUCUCAUGGACCAACAAUUUAUCUAGAAUGUCACAUUCACAUAUUUGAUUGAAAAAGGAAUUAAGGAAUUUCAUGUGGCCCGGAAAGGCAACCAAUUAUACCCGGCAAUGGCAGAAGACAUUAUAGAUUAUCGAUUAUUGAGUUAAAUAUGAAUGGUGGGAUUUCAUGUGGCCUAAAAAGUUAAACAUGAAUGUUCUACAUAAGGUGAUCUGUAACUCGAAGUUCAACAAAAAGUUUUAAAACUAGAUAUUAUAAUGGUGGGAUUUUGUCUUUUAUCUCUUGUUUCUCUUCCCUUAAUCGUUUCUUGGCAUGUUUUAUCAGCUCUUCCUUUGGGUCAUUUUGUAGGACGGGCUACACCAGCUAAACACAUGGAAAGGUUAUGUAGACUGGACUCUGGAGGAAUAAACCUGCCUUGAGAGGCCGUCAUGGUGGCAUGCUUUGCUGCUUGUUUUGUCUUGGGUCAGUCUAUUUUUCAUAUUACUAAGGCAUAUUUCCACCGUUUUCUCACAUGCUUACCAGAAUGUAAAAACCUUAACUGCUGCAAAUGAUUAAACAUUUACACUUUAUAGUAAAAAAAAUUACAUAUUAAGAGAAAUAUUAUAUUUGCAUGUUGAUGUGAAUUAGCACUAGAAACAUGAGGCUUGCUAAUUAGAAUUGUUAUAUUGUCGAACUCAACUGUGGAGGUACUGGAGAAUCCAGUAUAUCUGGCCAAUGCAAGCAACCUUGUGUUGUAUCUUUCAAAGUUUAUGCGUUUUUCACCAUCCAGCUCUGCAAACAUAGUUACCAAUUUCAUGGGUUCCUCUUUGCUCUACUUGGUGGCUUUUUACUCUUUACUCUUUCAUUCGCAAGGAGCUGGAUGAUGGCUGGAAAUAAGGAAAUUCUUUUUUUUUGUUUCACCCCAAUUGUUCUUGUAUUUGUAUAUUGCCAUAUAUCAUAAAAUACAAAUUUAUGUAUGUCAAAAUGAAAUCGAUCUUAAAAAAAGAAAAAAAAAUAUCUCGCGUUACUGCCGCUUACACACCCCCAUGCCGCAGCUGCUAUUAAUUCCGUUUGGCGCACCAGCAUUACAUCUUCUAGCUGUUCUUUCUUCCUUGAGUUGAUUUGGUUCCUCGUUCUAGGCUUCAAGUUAAUGUCGUCUUCAGCCAUUCUAGAGUCGCUUACUUCUGAUCUGGCUGUUGCUGUCUCUAUCUCCUUCUUCAUUAAUUGCCAUCAGCCGCAUAAGGGAAUGAUGUAAGUUUAUGUUUACGAUUCCUAAUGGUGAUGAAUAAGACAUGGCGUAAGAGAUGUUGUUAACUGAAUUUAUUAUGUUUUCUAGGAUCAUAUGCAAUACAAAUAUAUUUCUUGUAUAAUUGUUGUUUGUAUAUUGUAUUUCAAUCGGGCAUGGCUAUCUUUGUCUUACUCUUGUACAUUUCUAUUACUUUAGAUAAUUAUUAAGGCGUAGAUGGCUUUCACGGAUAAAUAAUAAGCCAUUUUAGGAGCUUUUCGUGUAAAAAUAUAGAACCUAUAUUGUUGAAAUGUCGAGUAUAUUUAGUAGUUGAUAUUUGUUUAUAUUUUUACAUUAAUCUGGGAUGAGAUUUGAACUUUAUAACCGAAAUUGAAUCUAAACCAAAAUUAAGAUAAGAAUAUUCAAACUAAAUCGAUCCAAAAUGCAAACCUAAACCAAAUUGAGCUAAAUUAAAUUUGAUUUAGUUUGGUUUGGGUUUACUCUCUAAACCUGAUUGGAUUGACUUCUCCAACCCAAUUAAGUUUUAGCCCAAAUUGAAACCUAAACAACUUGAACCGAAACCCGAUUUUCCCACCCUUAUGAUACAAACCCAUCCAAAAACUAACGCAAGCCUAAUCAAUUUAAUCUCCAAGAUUAAAUAGAAGCGCUACCCAAUGCUCAAUGAAAACAUGAACCUUAGUAUGUGAGGACGCUACAAUCAGUUAUGGAUGAUUUGAUUAUAAGUUAAGAGUUUGAAUGACACGGAAAUUUGAUAAAUUCAAAGAGUUUGUUUAAGAAUAAAAAAGAAUUAACUCUCUCACCAAUUGCAUCAAAAUUUAUUUGUCUUUGUUUAUUAGAUGCGAGUACAUUAUAUAGGAUUGGUUACAAAAAUUUUUAGAAAUAAAUCCUAAACCGAAAUCAAAUCGGAAUCCUAAUCUAAUGCAAAUUAGAAAAGAAUUUUAAUUAAAUCAGAAUCCUAAUCAAAGCAGGUAGGAAAGAAUCUAAAUCGAGUCAAAAUUAUAAUCUAAGUAAAUAGGAAAGAAUCUAAAUAAAAUCAUAAUCCUAAUCGGUUUAAAUAAAUUACACCAAUUAAAAUAAAAACUCAACAAUUAAAAGAGAAAUAACUUAUUGUUUCUCCACCAGCCUCAUCCAGAAACGGGAAAGUAUUCAAAAAGAAAAGUAGUAUAUUUUUCAAAUGGAAAAGUAUCUGAAAAAGAAAAAUAAGAUAUUUUCCCACCGUAAUGUGCAAGCCAACUUCCUAUUUUAUGGAAGUGAUUAUUUGGAAACUUUAAGAGCCGUAAUCAUGCAUUUAUCACGUGCAAUUCCUCCAAUAGGCCUCCAUAAAUUUGAUUGAGCCUCAAUUACUUGAAUAAACCCAUUAAACGCUUCUUUAAAUUUGUUUGUUCGAGCUCUAGUGACAGGUCCGACGAUAACUUGAAUAGGAUCUAAAUAUAUCUCAUCCCACGUGCUUGUGAAAGUUUUGUCCUCAAUCUCAUCAUUUUACUUCCUUAAUCUCGACCCAAUCUUUAACAUUUUUUCAUGCUAGCUUGACUUUACUAUGACUGCCUUGAGAUUUUCAACUGGUUUUUAUCUCCCUUUCUUGAAAUCUCUUUAAGUGCCAAGUUAUCUACGUGGCUUUUUUAGUCGCGAACACAUAAUAGCACCUAACAAUUCUCUAGUGACCCUUUACAACUUUCGCCACACUAUUUACUCAUUCUUUGAGUGCCAUGUAAUGGUUAGACAUCAUGGACUUGCAAAUCCUCAUAAAGGGUCUUCCAAAAAUUAUUUGAUAUGGGCUGUCUUCCUCGACUAUUAUAAAAAAUCCGGCAUGAUGGUCUUAUUAAAUGGUCUGGAGCCGAUCGUUACUAGCAGCUCUAGGCAUUAAAUUUCCUCUUCUAUAUCCUUUCAAAGAACUGUUGGUGUGCUUGUUGGGUAAAAAUUCAAAUUCUAUAGGUGUCAAUGUGUAAGUGUACACAACAAGUAAUAGAAUGAUAAGUAUUCAAGAUCAUCUCCACAGGGGUUGAAGUUACGGAAAUUACUACAACAACCUUAACAAUUCUACUUGAAGUGAAAGUAGAUUGAUCAAUUAAACUAAUAAGCUACCUAAUAAAAUGCAAUAAGUAAAUAUGCAGAAAAGCAAACUCUCAGGUCAAACACAAAAAUAAAAUCAAUAGGAAUGAAGUAGUUGAGUGACUAAACUCUCUUAAUGAAAUUGAUUAUUUCUUGCAAAUUUCGAUUCAGUUGCUGCAGCAUCUGCUACAGCACUGGGCAGAAUCCUCAUGCAUCAUCAGCUGUCGCAUGUUGGAUGUCUUAUAUCUAUAUGUAACCUAACAAUGACCAAUUGUUAUGCCAACAUAAUAUAUAACAUUACACAUUUGGGUUCUAUUUACCCUAUAAGGUGAAUCCCUACAUCUAGUUCAUCACUAAUUUUAGAUUAAGUAUGACCCUUUUUGGAAUCAAGUUGAACUCAAUCUAGGAACUCAAUCUAAAACUAAAUAUUGUUCUGAUAUGUUCUACUAAGAUAUGUCAUUUUGUGGCUCUUUCCUAGCUUGUACUAUUAAAUGGGUGGUCAGCCAAAAUAAUGACUUUAAAUAAAUACUAUCACAACAAAAUGUUAUAGCAAACAUGCAGCCAGGGACGUAGCCAUGAUUUUGAUCAAGUUGGGGCACAUUUAAAAUAAAAAAUGACUUGAAUGCGCGAUUGCUCGUGUGGUAAGUGUGGGCCCCACAAACUCCAAAUGGGAGCUUGCCACAUGUAUAAUCGUGCUCCUUAUAGAGUGUCUCUGCAUGCAUCUAAUUAAAACGCUAUUAAAAUAUAAUACACUUCUAAAAAUUUAGAUGGCAAUAUAUAACAUUACAACUAUAAUAUUCAUUGAUAAUAAAUUUACUUAGUAUAAUUGUUCUCAGUGAAAACUCCUCAAUGAGAUUUUAUGAGUUGAAAAUAAUGCAUUAUCAAUAUAAGCAAAAAUAUAUUUUUCAAUAUACAAGACUAGAUUAUAACUUAAUUUGCUCUUAAAAUCUUUUAAUAAUAACAAAAAAUAUUUAUAUAUUGCAACACACAAAACAAAAUGAAUGCUAGAUAAAAUUCUAGAUUUUAGAACUAGACAAAAGAUUAAUCAGAAAAUUAAAAAUUAGAAUUGAUUAGACUUACAACUUAUGGUUCAAUAUCGAAAGACCAACUAUUUGAUUUUGCUUGAAUAGAAAACAAAACGAUUAAAGACUGGUCCAUUAACCAUUUUACUAACAUUUUGUUGUGAUUGUUUUUCAUUUUAAUAUUUGUUCUUGUGUCUUUAAUCGAGUUUCAUGAAAUGUUAAUAACUAAUUAAAUUAUUUAUAAUUAGAAAUUUAAACUAGGGACAAUAUGAAAUAUUUUAAAAUUACUAGAGCCAGUUUCAAAUUUUACAAUUCAGCUGGGGUAUUUUUCAUAAAUAACAAAUAAAAUAAAAUUUUUUAGUACAAUUAUAAAAAAAAAAUUGAAAAGCCAGCAGGGGCAUGUGCCCCAACUCGUCCCAUGCUGGCUCCGUCUCUACAUGCAGCAACAUAUAAAUUCAGUUAAGGAGCCAUUAAAGUUGUUUAUCACUCAACCACAAGGAAUAUUAGUUCAUGAUUUUCAAAACGAAACUAAACAACAAAGUUUCAGCCGGCAAAUACAUUCUCAUGUCAAAGAAUAAAAAUAAAUCAAAAUAAGAAUAAGAAAGACUGAAUUCCAAUUGAUUCCAGCAAACUUCUCCACUGAUGCAGUCUUGAUUCUUGCUCUUGAAAUCUAUUUUUCCUUGUUUCUUAUCUAUUUAUGAUCUUGGUUGACGGCCUCCUUUUUUCUUUUGUACAUGUGCCUCUGUUAUAGUCCAAAAUUAGGGUAAACGGAAGUUCAGAGCGCGUAUCUUCCCGAUUAGGAAAUUGCAGAUUGCAAUCCGUUAAGUAUCUUGCGCGAAAUCUUCUCCGUUAUUGUUCCCGGAUUGCUACAUCACGGUUUGCUACAGCAAUAGCUACAGUAUAUGCACUGUUCCAAAUUUACUCCAAUUCUUCUAUAGCUGUAUUCUUUUAUCCUUUUUGCAAACCCAUUGCUACAACAUCAUUCCCAUGAAAAUUUAGCUUCGGAUUACCUACAAUUAUGCAUAUGUUUUAAAGACACAAUUAUUAGAAAUCAAGCAAAUUUUAUUAAACUUAAACUAAAAUGAAUGUUAAUGUAAGCUAUCAUUAAAUGCACUAAAACACAUCAAUUACCCUCUAAGUAAUCUUGAUUUAAGUCUAAAAGUAUUAUGAUAAUCUUAUUUCAUAGAGUUAUCAAUGCUCUAACUUCAAGUUGCACAAAUCUAUAAGGAUUCUUAUGAAUUCUUUGCUCAUUAUAUUAGCUUUUAACACUAAAACAUCUUCAUGCAAGUAUAGUAUCCCUUCCACAUCGUAUUAUGUCCAAAUGAUUGGAACUUGCUUGGUUCUUGCUCAUUUUGUCAAUGAAGCAUUGAAGAGAAUAUCAUGACUUGUUAUUGCAUACCUUUUGUAGUACUUCUAGGCUUUGUUAGAGUUAUUUACUAGAGUUGGCCCUCUUACAAUAACUCUAGCUACUGGUUCUUCAAAACUCAUAUCACUAGUAUUCUUUUUUGUUGUAUGCACUGUUGAUCUGUCAUUGGAUAAGAACUGUCAAUAUACUUAUUCAAAUAAUAAUUUCUUACCAGAACUUCUACUUGUUUUUUUAAGUCGUGACACUGUGGUUUGGUGUCGCCAUGGGUGUUAUUCAUCAGCAUUAUCCUAUCUCUUAGGAAAUUUUGGCAAGUAAGGACUAAUGAAGGUAGGUUUUGGUUUUGGUUUAGUUGACCUUGUAUUUUGAGUUGGGUUAACUUGGUUCAUUAUAGUGAGGAUGGCUAUCAACUAGUUAUAUCAUUUCAAGUAGCUCUAUUUAGAGGGGGAUGGGGUUAAUUUCUUUUUACAUAGUAUGAGAGAUAAGAGUGGCCAAAAUCGAAUUUAGAUUGGAUUUGGAUCAAUUUGAUCAGAUAUUAAAUUUUUCGGAUUGACUAAAAAAACUCAUCUGAAUGUACUCGAACUUGAAUCUAAUAUGAAUAUAUUUGGAUCGGAAGAAUAAUUUGGCUUCAGUUAGAUUUGGAUCGGUUUGGUAAAUCUAAAAUUUAAUUUUAAUUUACAGGUCACUAUACUCAAUGGAUAAGACAUAAUUUGUAUAUCUUUGUAAUAAACAUUCAAUUUUGAUAUUCAACUACAUAGAUAGAAGAAAAAUAAGUCAUUUACAUUACAAUUAUGGUGCAUAUCACUGAAAAUUAUCAUGAUAAUUCAUAUUUUUCCAAACAAAAUGAAAAGAAACCAUAAUUUAAACAACAUAAUAAGCAAAUAGAAUUUCUAAAGAAAAGGAAAAAAAGUAGAUGUAAGCUAGAAAAAGAGAAAUCAUGUAUUAGAGAAGAAAAGAGCAUUUUUACACAAAAACAACUAACACCAUAACUAAUAAAAAAAUCUCAUAUUCAUUUUCCAAUUUUCUCAUAAGCUUACGCAACUCUUCCUCUUCUACUCUUCAAAAUCAUUUGCCAAUUUUCUCAUAAGGUGAUCUCUGGUCUUUUGAUGAGAAAAUUACUUGAGUAACUUACGACUGCUUAGGUUUGGGAUUUUGGGGAAAACAAGUUAGGUUUACACAUUACAAACUUCACUAGUCAAAUAGUCGAAUUACAUCCGAAUUAGAUUUGAUCCGAUUAUAAUCUCAUCGGAUUGGGUUGUUUCUAUUUAAUCAAAUUACAACAAUAGUCCAUAUUCAAUUUGAAUAUGUUUGGAUUGAAUCAAAUCCAAUCAAUCUAAAUCCAAUCCGAUGCUGACCCUUAUGGGAAUAAAUAGCCGUCCUUAUUAUGACUGCUCUACUCACUGAUGGUUUGUCAUGAUGCCUAACUAGUCCACUUAUUUUUUAGAUCUCCUUUCAUUUUGUUUUAACUCCUCAAGUUACUCGUCUCUAACUCUUGCUGCUUUUUCCUCUUUGAUUUCAAUAUCCACCUUCACCUAGUCAUCAGCAGCCGAAUAAGAGUUUAUUAUUGGGUUCCUUAAGUUAUACCACAAUUGCCCUAUCUUUACUCCCUCUUUUAAUCCCUUCAAGGCCUGAAGAUGAUUGAAAGCUCCAUGGUCAAGGAUUGCUUUGUGAUAUCUCUUGAAAAAUCUCUUAGAGUUUGAUUUUCUUCUUACUCAAGCCUCAUUGGCUCUAUCAUGUCAUCCUCUGGUGUUAUUGUUCCUAAAAAAUGUUCAGCAAAGUCUCCAUGCAAUUGAUCAGAAGUUCUGAUGCUUCCCUAUGGCAAUUUGCGAUACCAAUCAUGUGCAUGCUAUUCUAAUGUCAAUGGAAACACUCCACACCACUGUAGUGGUGUCAAACCAUGUUUUCUAGUCAUCUCAUUAAAUCGUUCUAUAUGCAUAAAGGGUAACUCUUUCUGGAAUAUUUGAGGUUUAAAACUAAUCCCUUGAUAUUGUUGAGCUCAUGAUUUUUGCUGAGAGCAAGAUUCAUUAUCCAUAAUUAUUCUCCAGCUCAGUGCUCUUUCAAUCCUAUACUUCUUCAAUAAUUCGUGCUAACCUAUGCACCUUAUCUUCUAAUUUCCCAACGCGACUUGGGUUCUACACCCUUAUCUACUUGCAGUCAGCGUUCUGUUUAUUCCAUAGAUUUUCACCGAAGUACGUUUUGGUUGCUCUCCAAAAAAAAAAAAAGAAAGAAAUCACCUAAUACUUUUGGGGCAAGGCAAGCUUCCAAAUAACAUUGCAAAUGAUUUGGUGAAAAAGCUUUCAUCUAUUCCGGUAACUUAGAAGCACUUUAAUUCGAUUCUCUCUUAAGAGUCCUAUCACUUUAGGAUGAUUUUUAAGUAAAAUCCUUGUAUAAAUUAUAUUUUUGUUAAUAUAACAAACACUAAAUAUUUAUGACCUGAAAGAUAGUUGUUGAAUGGAGAUCGUUUCACACAAAAAAGUAUUUAAAAAGGAUGUGGUAUUGUAAUAUUAAAUAAUUUUUUGUAGUGAUAUAAGAGUAUCACACUAGUUUUUUUUUUUUUUUUGCAUUACAAAAAAUUGAAAAUAAGAUCUAAGUAAUUUCAAGAAUAAAUUAGCAAUAUUAGGAACAAGUUUUACAAAAAGCUUCUGGGACAUGUCAUACAAAUUUGUUAUAUAAGAAAGUCUCUACUAGAUCUUCUUUCCACAUUACAAAAAUUAGAAAUGAGAUCUAAAUCGACCAAUUAUAAAUUUUAUAGUGAGUGGGUCCUAUAUGAAAACAAGGUUUUUUUUUUAUUAUAGUGUAGUCAAUUAUCAGCCAUCUACCCUAAGUUUAUUUUAUAUUAAAAAAUACUAGGAAGAUUUAAUUUGUUUAGUUUUUUACUUUAAUUUUAUAAUUUGUAUUAGUUGUCUACUAAAAAGAUAGAAUUAUCCUUACUAAAUGACAAAAUAGAAACAAAUACAAAUAAAAACUAUGGUCAUUUUGUAAGGGUAAUUCUAUCUUUUUAGCAUCAAAUUGCAUAUUAAACUAUUUUAAGUACUUAAAAUAAUAUAAGUUCUUUAUCAAAUAAAUAAAAUUUUAAACUAUGUAUUUACCAAAUAUUUUAAAAUCAUAGCUCCUCUACUACAUCUCCAAAUAAAUUCUUAAAAUCAUAAAUAACUAAAUUAAUGGGGUUUUAAAAGGACUCUCCGGACUUUGCAUGAUUUCUUUAUGUGUAGGUGCUGGGUGAUCAUGUUGGUUCCUAUAGGUACCAUCAGCUGCACUUUUUGUUAUUGGUGAAAAAAAACUUUUUGGGUACAAUUUGUGAAUUUGUAUAACGUGCGGUAUUAAACAUUUGAAACAUGCACAGACAGUAAUCUAAUCAAUAAUUAAAAAAAAAUUGUAUAAAAUACAUAUGUCGUAGGCAACUCGGAUCCUUUUCUUUAUAAUUCCAUAUCAUGUGAUUAUCAAAAAACUUCUUGAGAUUUUUAAAUUUUGUAAUUGCACUAUCCUUGAAUUAUCAAAAGACUCUUGAUAAUGUUCUUCUUCUUAAAGAUGCCCUUAAUCCGUAAAUGGUCCAAUAAUUAGUUCAUAAAAUGAAUUUAUUACUUUAGACAAGUCUCAAAUAUGCAUACCUCUUAUAACUCCGUAUUGCAUAAUUCCCUACUUAAAUACAUUUGUUUCCUUUCUCUAAAUUUUAGAAUGGCCUUGUCUACUAAAUUUCCUCUUUAAAUUUGACUGUGAACUGGGAAUUUCGCCAAAAUUUCCACCCCAUCUUACUCUCUGAAAUAUGUCAUCCACGUUACUAUAGCAAAUUUAACAUCUAGGAUACUGAAACAUUUUUUUUUUUAAUUUUCAAAUCUUUAGCUGUUGAAAAUAGGUCUUUAGCUGCUCACCAAGAGAAAAUUUUCAUCUAAAACUUUUUUUGAUAAGGCAAGCUUCCAAAUAACAUCCAAAUGGUUUGGUGAAGGUUUUUCACCUUUUUCGAUAAUCCAAAAGCACCUUAUUUAUAGUUCUCUCUUAACAGUUUUAUUACCUCAGGUUCUCUCUUUAUUAAGUAGAACGUCAUAUAUAUUAAUUUGUUGUUAAUAUAAAUAAAAACUAAGUAGUUGUUUGUUUUUUCAACUUAACGAAAAAUUUUCAUUCAUUAAAUUAUUAUCCCAAACUUUUUAGCUUUUUACUUAAUCUAAAAAGUAUGAAUAAUAUCAUUAAAAGAUAUUUUCCAAAAUAUCUCUAUCUAAUUAAUUAAUUUUCAUCGUUACCCGAAUAAAAUUUAAUAAUUAGUAUUAUUACUCAUCUCUAUAACUUAUGAUAAUAUAGUGGUAGACUAUUACUAUUUUUACCAUCUUAUUUUCUUCAAAUUAGAAUUAUUUAUCUUCAUAAUUUUUUAAUGACUAUUCUUAGUAUAAAAACAUCAUAAAUUAUAAUAAAAUUGAUUGACAUAUACUAAUUUAGAAUAUUAAAAGGUUGUGUUCAAUUGAAAAUGAUUUAUUUUAUGAUGAUAUAUUAUCUUUUAUAUGUUCUUUGAAAUGUUUAUUAUUUGAUUAACAUUUACAAUAUAUUAGGGCACAAAUGUAGAAAUACUAAUUUUUAGAUUUUUUUAAAGUUAAAAGAUAAACAACUUAAUAGUUAUUUUUAACGAUUCAAAUAAAAAAACAAACAUAGAAUUAAGAUUUAGACAUUCAACUCCACUCAAAAUUCAGACUAAUUCACACAUAUUUAGAUUUUAGACAAGAAACAUAUGCCACCUAAAUGUUUAUGAUUUAAAAUUAUUUAAUAAUCAUGGCACAUUUAACCUAUUUAAACAUGAAAUCUUGUGUAGACUUAUGUUUAAGCAGGAGGAUAACGUGAGAAAAUUGACACAUUAAUUUACAAUUUGUAGGCCAACUGAAUAAUUUUUGUUUGUUUUUUUGUUUUUGAUAAUAAAACAAGCCUCGCAAGAGCUUAGGUUUUUAGCCAACUGAAUAAAUUUCCCCACCCAAAUUAGAAACAAUAAAAUCUAAUAAUUAUGAGCCCAUCAGACAAACGGUGAGACAUCAUAUUGUUAAUACCUACUCGUAAAAUUAACGGGAUUAUCAAGGUAUUGUUAAUACCUUCUGUAUCGGUAAUUCUUUUUUUCACAACUGAAUAAAUUUCACAAUUUAAAUUAGAAAAGGAUAAAAUUUAAUAAUUAACUAUUUUUUGAACUAAUUCAAUCGGGAGCCAUUAUUUGUAGGCGGUAGCGGUCCCAAAAGCAUAACAUUAUUGUGAGUAAUGUAUCCUACUUACAAAGGGUUAUUUUCAGGGACCUCCCCUGAGGUUUAGUGUAUUUACAGUCGGAUAGGAAGUAUGCAUGUAAUUACAGGGACCUCCCCUGACGUUAGUAUUCAAAUACGUAUGGCAUCAGUAUGUAAGGGUAAAUGUGUAAAAAUAUACUUAAAAUUAAAAACAAAUCAAAAGUGAGAUGAUUUUGUUGAUUCGGCCCUUUCACAGCCCUUCAAAUGAGCCAACAUCAUCGGGACCCUCACCGCUCUCGACGCCGAAGUCCGCUGGUGGUCCUGCAAUAUCUUCUCAACCCAAGACCACGUGGCCGCCGCCAUCGCACGUAACUCCGCCUUCGUCUUCGCUUGGAAGGGCGAGACCCUCUAGGAGUACUGGUAGAGUACUGGUGGUGCACGGAGAAAGCUCUAGACUGGGGUCCUGACGGCAGCCCAGAUCUCAUCAUUGACGACGGUGGUACGCCACGUUGUUUAUCCACGAGAGAGUCAAAGCUGAGGAGAUGUAUGAGAAGACCCGGAAGCUACUCGACCUGGCCUCCACCGACAACGCCGAGUUUCAGAUUGGUUGUACCAGAUGCAAGAAAAUGGAACCCUCUUGUUCCCUGCCAUCAAUGUCAAUGACUCUGUCACCAAUAGCAAGGUAAUUUACUUUGAUUUGCUUCAGAUCUCAAAUUUAUUUUAUUUUAUUUUAUACCAUCAAUUCAUUAAAUGUUUGAAAUAUUGGAAGAAAUUAAAUACUAAUGUUUGAUAAUGCAAUGGGGGAAACAGUUUGAUGACUUGUAUGGAUGCCGCCACUCGCUCCCAGAUGGUUUGAUGAGAGCUACUGAUGUUAUGAUUGCCGGAAAGGUUGCUGUUGUUUGCUGUUAUGGUGAUGUUGGCAAUGGUUGUGCUGCUACUUUGAAGCAAGCCGGUGCUUGUGUAAUUGUAACUGAGAUUGAUCUGUACUAGGGUGUUAGGUUUAAAUUUGUAGGAGUGUGUUUGGGUGGUGGGAAAGUUGGAGGAAAGAAACAGAUUGGUUUCAAUUGAUUGAAGACCAUUUGGGAUUUGAAUAUAGUUAUGGAUGGGGCUGUGUGGAUCAUUUUGUAUUUGAUGCAGUUUUUAAGUUUUGCUUGCUUUUUCCUCAUGAGGGCUUCGGCAUCAUCUACGGAUCUUCUGGGUUUCAGAGACUGGAUUGGCAACUUUAUCUCCCGAAAACGCCUCGUGAAAAAUUUCAUGUUCUUGGCAAUCAACACUAUUAUCACUGUCAAUACCGCCUCAGCCAUUUACGAAGAAGAAAAUGGGAUGUUGAUCAAACCCGUCAUCAAGAAUAAGGCAGCAUUAUUCAAGGGUCCUCUGAUUACAUCCAUUUAUGCUCUUCUUUUGAAUUCACUUGCUUUGGUUGGAUUGUUUUACUCUGUCUAUCAACAUCUAUGUAAUACAGUUCAGCUUCUUCAAAAAAAAAAAAAGUUUUGCUUGCUUUGCUGCAUCUUGUUAUCCUAUUGUUUACUGAUGAAUGAUUAAAAAAUGUUUUUGUUUGGAGGUCAAGAAAAAGCGAGAGGAAGCGAGAGAAAAUUUCAAUGAAAACGGUGAACCAGUCUAAAAAAUAACUUAUUAUUUUGAGGGGAAGGGUACUUUUGUAAUUUUAACGGUCCACUAACAGUCAAACUAAUUGGAUACUAACGGCAGGGGAGGUGCUUGUAAUUGCAUGCAUACUUUCUAUCUGACUGUAAAUACACUAAACCUCAGGGGAGGUCCCUGAAAAUAACCCUACUUACAAAAUAAACGGCAGAAUGCGGUUUGGGGACGGAUUAUCGAGGUAUUUGUUAAUAUUCGGAAAUUUCCCAAAGAAAAGGUCAAAUAAAAUUUUAACUUAUUAUUAUUAUUAUUAUUUUUAAAGAUUGUAACUCAGAUGAAUAGACAAAUAAAGGAGCUAAAGGCCACUUGGCGGCUUCACUAGGAGCUGUUUGAGUUUCUAUUGGUAAAAUUCUAUUUUGGUAAUUCUCUUCUUCUUCUUUUUCAACCCCAAAUAAUCAAAAGCUCUCCAAUGGCUUUCGUAUCCACAACUCGUCCAUUUCAUUUUACUUCAAUUUCAGUAUCAGCUCUUAGAUGUAAUUUCUCAUCUUCGUUCCCUCAUACCAGAAAACCCACAUCUUCAAUUUCGGAAAAUGAACCCUCGUGUCCGACUACAACAGCUAAACUGAAGGAGUCGCUACGGCUGACAGUUAAAGACCGAGCCUCACUCGAAAAAUUCCUCAAAGAAAGGUGCAAAUCAUCAGGUCAAGGUGAUAUUAAUCUUAUUACUCCUAAUGAAGCCUUGUGUAUUUUUUAUUACAUGCUCCGUAUGCACCCUUCUCCGCCUCCUGUCUGUUCCUUCAAUAUUUUGUUUGGUUGUCUUGCUAAGAAUAAACAUUAUGAUACUGUACUUUCACUCUUCAAGAGACUCAAUUCAAUUGGGUUGUUUCCAGAUCUUUAUACUUAUAGUAUCUUGAUUAACUGCUUUUGCAAAAUGGGUCGAGUUUCUCCUGGUUUUGUUGUUCUUGGAAAAUCCUCAGGUCUUGUUUUACUCCAAAUGCUGUAACCUUUAAUUCUUUGAUUAAAGGUUUGUGUGCGGAGAGUAGAAUCAUGGAGGCUGCCGCAUUGUUUACGAAACUCAAAGCGUUUGGUUGUGAGCCUAAUGUCAUUACGUACAGUACUUUAAUUAAUGGAUUGUGUCGAACUGGCCAUACAAUUGCUGCUCUAAAUUUAUUUGAAGAGAUGGCUAAUGGAAAUGGGGAAUUUGGUGUCGUUUGUAAGCCAGACACUGUUACAUACAACACUAUCAUUGAUGGUCUUUGUAAGGAAGGUUUCGUGUACAAGGCCAAGGAACUGUUUCUGCAGAUGAAGGAUAACAAUAUUAACCCUAACGUGGUUACCUAUACCUCUGUGAUUCGUGGUUUUUGUUAUGCUAAUGAUUGGAAUGAGACCAAGUGUUUGCUAAUUGAGAUGAUGGACCAAGGGGUACAGCCUAAUGUUGUGACUUUCAAUGUCAUCAUGGAUGAGCUCUGCAAGAAUGGAAAGAUGGAUGAGGCAAGUCGGUUGUUGGACCUGAUGAUUCAGAUUGGUGUGCGUCCAAACACUUUUGUCUAUAACACAUUCAUGGAUGGGUUUUGCUUGACGGGUAGAGUUAAUCGUGCGAAGGAACUAUUUGUUUCUAUGGAGAGUAACGGGUGCAUGCAUGAUGUUGUUAGUUACAACACAUUAAUAAAUGGGUACUGCAAGACUAAGGAUGUAGAGGAAGCUUUAAAUCUUUAUAGGAAAAUGCUGUCUAAAGGAAUUAGGCCAACAGUUGUUACAUAUAGCACCUUGUUUCUUGGCCUUUUUGAAGUACACCAGGUUGAGCAUGCUUUAAAACUGUUUGAUGAGAUGCAGCAUAAUGAUGUGGCAGCCGAUACAUAUAUAUACAAUACCUUUAUUGACGGGCUCUGCAAGAAUGGUUUUGUUCUAGAGGCACUGGAAUUAUUCCGUGCUAUAAGAAAUAGCAAGUAUGAACUUGAUAUCAUAUCCUACAACUGCCUCAUUGAUGGAUUGUGUAAAAUAGGCAAACUGGAAACUGCUUGGGAACUGUUUCAAAGUGUGUCUCGUGUAGGCCUAUUGCCAAAUGUUGUAACAUAUAACAUCAUGAUCCAUGGGCUUUGUAAUGAUGGGCAAAUGGACAAGGCACAUGAUUUGUUUCUUGAUAUGGAAGCAAAAGGUGUGGAACCCGAUUGUGUCAUAUUUAAUACAAUUAUGCUGGGUUUCAUCCGCAAUAAUGAGACAUCAAAAGUUAUUGAACUCCUUCACAGAAUGGAUAAGAGAAAUGUAAUGCCAGACGCAUCUAUACUUUCAAUUGUUGUGGACUUGCUUGUAAAGAAUGAAAUUAGCUUAAACUCGAUUCCACAAUUCAAGAGUCAAUGAGUUUAAUGCUGAUUACUUGCAUGUUUUUUUCUGCCUAAAAUCUGGAUCUGGAGAAUCCUAUUCUUAUUACAACAUGUAAAGGAGUGUUGUCUAAUGUUGGCAUGUUCCUAGGUUCUGUCCAUGGAUUCUGUUUGCAGACAUGGCUAACUUCUUGUUCAACAGAUAAGUUUUAAAGUCUUUCAACUUUACGUUGUAAAAUAACUUUUUUAUUAUUCAAUUCAUGAGUUUUCUUCUAUAGCACAUCCUUCUCAUUAGCUGGAAGUGCAAAUUUUUUAGGCUUUUCCUGUAUGGCCUCUUUUUCUGCUCUAAAUAAAAUGGCAUUUUAUUUCCCUCCUGUGAGGGUACAACGUUUAUGUUUAAACUUUCUGUUAGUUAAAUUGGUUGUCUUUGAUAUAGGGAACUUCCAGUUGAACUGAUUUGUAAUUUGAGUAUAUGAGAUUACCAACUGUAAUGGGAAUUGAUGCCAAAUUAAUUAUGUCAUCAGGUUUUCCAAUCAGUGUUCAUCAUUUAUUUCUGUUAACAAUUAAUAGCACAGCUUGUCUUCGCAGCUUCAUUGGUUCCUCUCAAAAAAGUAAUGCCAGAUGCAUCUAUAGUUUCAAUCGUUGUGGACUUGUAAAGAAUGAAAUUAGUCUGAACUCACUUCAGUCAUUUCCUGUUCAAGAGCAGCAGGGGGAAGUUGAUGAGUCAAAUGUCAAGUUGUUGGAGCAUGUGCUUUCAGCCUAAAACCCUGAUCUGCAGCAUCUCAAUCAUGUUACAAAAGGACAUGUCGCCUGGUGACACCAUGUUCUCUACGGCACUGUUAAUGGAUCCUGAUUGUUCUUGUGAUCUGGAGAGUCUCAUUCAUAAUACAGAUCCUGAUCAGGACGAGCUAGCAUAUGUGAUCACCAACUCUACAUGGUUGUUGAUGCCAAAUUAAAUAUGGUAUCAUGUUUUUCAACUUGUUAUUUUCUAUAAUCCUUCCUUUGAAUGGCCACAAGAAACUGUAAAAUCACCCUUUGUCUUGUUCCCUCUUAAUGAUCGAUCACUUUGGGAGCUAAUGAAUUAGUUGCACCUUGUCACUUUAUUGGUGAUUGAUUGUCAUUUGUGCUUUGAAUUCACAGCAUAUUUUACCCUUGAUGUACUAUUUCCAUAAUCACCUUUGAGGGCUGCUAGUAUGUAUAAUUGAAAAACCUUAUAUAAAUUCUAAGCAUUUUUAUUUAACUUGUUGUAAACCUCCAGUGUGUGUCUCUUCUGUGAAAUGAUUCAUUCUCUGUGCUGCUAGGACCUAGGCUUAUGACUCUUCUGUGAAAUGAUUUACCCUCACCUGCACACAGACAUUUAUCCCAAUCAAGAAAUCUUCAAACAAUGUGAAAAAAAUUGCUUGAAACACGACGCAGACUUAACCGAUUAAAAUGUCCCUACUGUGAGGAAAGAUGCUAUACAACUGACUCGGAAAAUGUAAAAUCGAUAACGUACGUCCAAGAUGAUUAACUAGAAACACAGUUCAAAACUUGGGCUGUUUUUGGCUGCCCGGCCUUCAGAAGUCAAUAUUUAUAUGAACUUUUGAGGAGAAAUUAUACUAAAGGUUCAGAAGUCAAUAUUUAUAUGAACUUCAGAAGUCAAUAUUUUGGCUGCCCGGCCUUCAGAAGUCAAUAUUUAAAAAUUUGGGGAAAUUACCGAUUAAAAUGUCCGUACUGUAAGGAAGGAUGCUAUACAACUGACUCGGAAAAUGUAAAAUGGACAACGUACGCCCAAGAUGAUCAACCAGAAAGUAAGAGAUUAGGAUCACCAGUCAGUCAGAUUUGGAUAGAAAGUGAGAGAUUGCUAUUGCCGUGCCAUUGCUUCAAUCCUAAAUGCUUUCAUCUCCCUGAAAAGUAUACAAAUAUAAGGGUUAAAACAGAAUAGAUGAAACCAUAUUGAGGAACUCAACUGAGAUAGAUGAUAAAUGAAAACUAACCAACCUUCAGCGCAAAACUCGUACAUAUCCCUUUAAGAGCUGACUUUCUCAGAAGUGAUCACCACAAUCGUUCACAUCAAAAGUCUCCACUUGAAAAUUUUAUAACCAUAGUACUCAUUCCAUUCAAACCAGAUCCUUGAGAUCAGUUCCUUCUUCAGGCAAGUGGCAUGAUCUUCCUCUUUAGGAGACUCAGCAGCAACCAGCUAUAUGCAUAAACUUUCUUUGUUUGGCCUGGCCGGAAAGCCCUGCCGAUUGCCUGGCGGCUCACUGAUGGAUUAAAGAGAACAUCCAGAAUAAUAAUUCAAAUUUUUGUGGAAUUACUUGUAAAGAAUGAAAUUGGUUUAAACUCGAUUCCACAAUUCAAGAGACAAAACUAAGCAGACGGGUAGAAUCUUUGAUUUAGUAGCAUGUCUCUUCUGCUUUAAAAGCAGAUCUGGAGAAUCCCAUUCUUAUUACAACGUGUGAAGGAGUGUUGUGUAUUGUUGGCAUGUUCCCAGGUUCUGUUCAUGGAUUCUGUUUGCAGACAUGGCCGACUCUUUGUUUCAUCGGAUAAGUUUCAAAUAAUUCUGGCAACUUUUUGUUGUAAAAUUACUUUUUUAUCAUUUAAUCCAUAUGCCUCUUUCUCAUUACCUGCAAGUGCAAAAUUUUUAGGCUCGUCCUCUUAGACCUCUUUUUCUUCUCUAAAUAGAUAAAAUGGCAUUUCAUUUUUCUCUUGCGAGGGUGCAGGUUUAUGCUGAAACUUUCGGUUAGUUAAAUUGAUUGUCUUUGAAAUUGGAACUUGUACUUGAACUAGUUUGCAUUUUGAGUAUAUGAGAUUACCAACUGUAACGGGAAUUGGUGCCGAAUUGAUUUUGUUAUAAGGUUUUUCAGUCUCUGUUCAUCUUUUAUUUCUGUUAAUAAUUAAUAGCACAGCUUGUCUUCUCUGCUUCUUUGGUUCCUGUCAAUUGUCAAAUAUAAACUGGUAAAGACAUUUUGUUUUGGCAUGGCACAUGCUAGAUUUUGUUUUUGGUUUGAAUGAUACUACACAUCUAAGUGAUUGUCCAGAUAUUUUUUUCAUUCCUAAUGACAUGGCACUCAAUUGAAUGGUGACUCAUGAAUCAUGAUUGUGUGUGUUGGUAUUUGUUAUACUACGUGUUGGCAAGACAAAGUCUGUUGAAAUUGACAAACUUUUCUCUAUGAAUAUUGGAGACAAUAUGAUAAGAUAAAAUUAAUCAAAAACAUCUUAUACUUGACAGGGCUGGAACGUCUGUUAUUAGUCCUCGCCUUCCAUUCUUGUUUCAUAUUCUUCUGCUAACAAAUCUUGAUCAUGAUAGUCUUCUCUGUUAUUAAUCCUUUUUUUAUGUUUUUUUUUUGGCUUUUGGAUUUUGUUUCCUUUAUAUAUACAUAUAUAUAUAUUGUUACAGUUAUUAGCAUCGACAACUUGAGCUUGCGGUCUUGUGAGUUUAGAACCUACCAAAGUAAGCAUACACAUGACAAUGAAGAAUUGAAGAUUGUGAACGGUUUACUUGUGCGGCUAUGUUAGAAAAAUUUGACUGAUCGUGAAGAUAUUUAGAGAUCGUCCAUCUUGGUACUGCUAUUGUUGGAGCCUUGAAGUGUGAACUUAUCAAUCGUUGCCUACAGUUGCCUCAUUGAUGAAUUGUAGGCAAACUAAAAAUUGCUUGGGAAGUGUUUCAAAGUUUGACCCGGCCCCCGUACAGGCCCAAAUGCCAAAUGUUGUAACAUAUAACAUCAUGAUUCAUGGGCUUUGUGACAAUGGGGCAAAUGGAUAAGACACAUGAUUUAUUUCUUGAUAGACCAUUCUCAGGGCACAAAGGGUGUGGUGCCCAAUUGUGCCAUAGUUACAAUGCUUAUGCGAAAGAAUGAGACAUUAAAAGUUUCUUCACUCAAUGGAUAAAAGAAAUGUAAUGCCAGAUGCAUCUAUAGUUUCAAUUGGUGUGCGCUUACUGGUUAAGAAUGAAAUUAGUUUAAACUUGAUUCCAGAAUUCAAGAGACAGUUAAUUAGAUGAGUUGAAUGUUGAUUUAGUAGCCUGAAAGUUUUGCAAAUGUUUCCUGAUGGAUAAAUUGAACUUGAAUGCACACAUGUAAACUAAAAGAAAAAUGAUUUAAGCAUGUCCUUCGGCAUGAGGUAAUACUAUAAAGUUUUUUUUUUAAGUAAUUUUAUAAAUUCUAGCAAUUGAGUCUCAAUUUGAUAUUAUAUUCAUCUGGUAUAGGGUAGAAUAUUAAUUUUAUUAAUUAUAAAAUUUAUUAUCUAAUAGAUGAACAAUACUUAACAGUUGAGAAUGAAAUGGAGACUCAAUUGUUGGGAGUCCAAUCACUUUUUUCUCUUUUAACUUGCUAUUUUUGUUGUCCGAAAUUAUCUAAAGUUCCAUGCUUGCUCCAAUAGAACAAAUAAUAUAGGUUAUGAUCAACUUUUUUUUUCCAAAUAAAGGAACCACCUACAUCGAUACUCCAUAAGCAAGUUUUUUUCUUUUGGCUGCCCCUUAUAUUUGUCACACUCCUUUUACUAGUGCCCAAUGAAACCACAACAGAAGCAAAAAUAUGGCAAUCUCUCAUAUACUACUGUAAUUGGAACAUUAUCUUCACCUUCAAGUUCUAAAUAAAUAAUUUUCUUUAGUGGUUGUGUGAUAUCAAUUGAGAUACUUACUCCGGCAUACUAACCAAUGCACUCUCCUUCCUCGCCCGCAUCAACUUCUUCAACUAUACCAAUUGCCUCUCCCAAUGCUCUGAUUAUUUGCUGGUCUAUACACCCAACUGGGACAUUAUGAAGUUGUACCCAAAGGCAGCAUGAGUAAAUGAUUGUUUUGUUAUUUCCCCAACUCCACUUGCCUCUUUUAGAACUAUUAGAGCUCGUUCAAAAUGCCACAGCCCACUUGAUAAAAUUCUCAUCUUAUCAACUUCAAAGGCAAAUUUAACUUAAAAAUCUUACUCCCCAUAUUUUCAAUUUCACCUAUUCUACUAUUCUGCAUACUUGUUGUAAUGCUCACUUGAGACCCUCUCUAGUAACUCCUCUUAGAUGUAAGACUUUGCCCAGCAGACAGCCCUCAACUACCUCUCUCUCAUUCCCUUUCAUGACAUUACCAACAACUUCUUUACUCUAUUUUCCUUCUUCUAAUAUAAUAACUUUACACUUGCAAAUUAGUUCUUAUGUUUUCAUUAGGCACUAAAAUAUAAAUCCAUUGUGAUAACUCUUGAGUAUCUACCACUUCCUCUGUAAUUAAGACUCAACAACUCAAAUGAAAAACUUAAAAGUAAAAGAGACACCCAACUCGUAAGCGACUUUCGCAAUCUUAUGGGCUACUGCCAUUUCAUUCUAGAUUCUCGCUCAGAGAGGGAGAACUUGUGAAGAAAGACUUCUACAGGUAGGAGACCGCAUACAUAGUAGAUUAUUUAUAUUUCUUUGGACUGACCUUUUACUUUAUCAAAGACAAAAACAACAUAAACAAAGACAGAAGAUUAACCAAAGCAUCAAUUGCCAAAGAGUAGAGAGUAUUAUUAUAUUUUAGGAACAUAGGUUAUGACCAAUUUAAAAGAAGCAGUUAGGGCUUGUUCGGCACUGUUUUAAAAGCCUUAUUUUCAUUUUUGUUUUGGGAGUACAAAUAUAAUACAUAUUUAGUGGGUUGAAUCCAAAAAAUAAAUCAUAAAAAAGAAUUGAUAUUCACUUUUACAGUUAUAAAAUUAAGAACUUAUUGAACAUGUUCUCAAAUAAAUUAAAAAUUAAAUUAAAACAUAAACCCCAAAAUAAAAUCUAAAAAGUUAUCUUCCUCUCCUAAAAUCUUAUCUCCUCUCUCUCGUUAUCUCUUCACAACUCUUCCUUCUUCAUGGUUGAUACUUCUCCUUUAACCACAACCCACCUAAACUGUGCACCGAUCUCUCUCUUCCCGUCCCCUUUAUCUAGGUCUACUUCACAACUCUCUUCCUCUCGGUGGCAGUUACUUGUUCAUCAACCGCAAUCCAUCGUCGCAAGGUACUACGUCGGAAUAUUUUACCAAAAACAUGUCAGGACAGAGUGAUGUCUAUCAUGGUUUAUUACUGCAAGUGCAUUAUUUUCUUUGUACUAAAGUGAAUCUUUGAUGUAUUUAUUAAAUUUGGUGGAGCAAUCUUAGUUAAUUUUGAUGAUUUAUAUAUGCAUUUAAUUUAAUUUUUAAUAAUUCAUGUGCAGGAAAUAUGGAUUCUUGCCUUUGCUUGGACUGAUGGUUUGCGCAAUUUCAUUUGGAAUCAAUCAACUUCGAGGAUAAACACUUGUAGUUCAUCCUUUGUUCUCUAAUUUUGUUCAUGGGACUUGCUUUUCUUCCAUCCAACUUUUUUGUUCUCUAUUUCUAUGGUAGCAGUUUUAUGUUUUGUGUUGGUGGGAAACUUCAUGCUGCAAUUUUGUCAAAUUCCGUUGACAUACCCUAAUCAGUAAUGACUUUGCUACAUGGUGAAAGCAUAAGCUCAUAGUUGACAUUGUUGUCAUUAGAGCUUGUUUCCAUAAAAUAAGUGUAAUUUGAAAGUACAUUGUACACUAUUGAAUUUGAAUUAUCCCCAACAAGUGUUGAUGCAUGAUGUCCAUCAUGUAAUUUUUUUAUAAUUAUUUUGUUUAACUUAUAUGUGUUGUAAUAAAUAGCUUAAUUAUAGUGUAAAAACGAUGGCAAUGUAAUUUUUUUAUUAAUGCUAAUACUAAAACUUUAUCAUCAUGCAAUGUUUUAUAAUUAUUUUCAUUAAAUUAUUUAUGGUAUAUUUGUGUAUUAAUUAAAUAAACAAUUAGUUUUUAUUAAAAAAAACUAUGACUUACAUGUUUAUUAAAAAUUGUUCAUGAAAAUAGUAUUACCGAACACAUUUUCUCUGUUUUUAUCUUUUUCAAUUGUGUUUACCAAACACAUGUUACUGUUUUCAAUUUUAAAAUACAAGAUAUAGAAAAUGAUAUCAAAUGGCUAUUUAAUUCAAAACGCGGCAACUGCAAAACACUAUCUUUAUUCUCAUUCUUCUUUUUAGAAACUACUAAUUCAGAAACAAUACCAAACAAGAACUUAGUUUUAGUACGAAUAAUGUUGUGUUAGUUUUACAGGCUUACAUGCACCCUUAGAUUUAUUAGAAGUAUCAGCCCAACCCCCUAGUUACUGUUGAUUGAUAUCGAACCCCUUGACUGAUGUUGACUCUUGAAAGUAACUAUAACAUCUAUAUUGUAAUCUCACUUUAUUAACUAAUAAAUUUUAAAAAUAUAAACAGAUCAAUAAUAACAAAAUAAUUAAAGUUGAAAUCUAAGAAAUUACCUAAAAAACCAUACCGAAACCAAACCUGAAAACCAAAAUGCAUAAAAUUUCAUUAAUUUAGGUUGUGACAAUGAGUCGUCUACAUUAUAUGAUGAAGGAAUAGCUUCUAUCAUUUUACCAAGUUAUUAAUACUAUUUUUACGUACUGGAGUGGGCCUGAGAAGUAUAGAUUCCUCACACUCUAGAGUUUAUUUAUAUAUUCUAAGAGGUGUGAGAAUCUCACUCCGUUGAUCCCACCCAAUUUUGAAGUAGGGAGUGUGAUUUCCACUCCCAGAAGGGAAGGUCCACUCCCACAACUUUAUUUUUUACCUUUCUUUUAGUAAAUUUAAUACAAUCAUAUUUAGUAAAAUAAAACAAAUAACAUCAUAUUUAUUUAAUAAAUAUUAUUAUAUUAUUUUAUAAAAUUCUAUUUAUUAAAAAGAAUAAUAUUAAUCUUAUUUAGAUAAAAUUAUUAUUAUAUUUAUUUAAAAAUAAUAGCAUUAUAUUUAUUUAAUAUUAAUAAUUAAUAUUAAUAAAUAGUUUAUUCUAAGAAAAUAUUUAUUUUGCACUAUAUUAUUAAUAAGAGAUAUUAUCAUUUUUCCACCAAAAUUAUUCUGACACAUCAUGUUAGUAGCACGGUUUGGUAAAAACAUCAUUUUACCACCAAAUGUUUAAAUUGUUAGUAUUUUUCCACAAUUCUGUUAAAACUCAGUUAAUAUUUAACGGAAAAUGCAUAAAAAGUCAAAUUUACCCCUGGAGCAUAAAAGACAAUUUUACCCUUUAAAAAGGAAGAACAACAAAAGAUGAUUUAAUUAUAAAAUUACCCCCAAAAGACGACAAGACAAUUUUACCCUUUAAAAAGGGAGAACAACAAAAGACGAUUUAAUUACAAAAUUACCCCUAAAAGACGACACAGCUGGGAGAUUGAGAGAGAUAUGGGUCAGUGACAGUAAGCGAGAGAGGGCAGAGAUGGAACAAAAAACGAGAGAGAGGGUGGUUGAUUUCGAUUUCUAGGGCUUCCAUAUCCAAAUUGCUUGUUUUUUUACAAUUGCAAAACGCAACGUUUUGCCUUCGCAUGAGAUGUCCAAAAUGCCCUUAUGAUGUCAACAUUAUUUUUAUUUAGUUAACGGAAUGGUGGGAAAAUGCUAACAGUAUAAAUGUUUGGUGGUAAAAUAAUGUUUUUAUGAAAUCGUGGUACUGACAUGAUGUGUCGGAAUAACUUUAGUGGGAAAAUGAUAAUAUCCCUAUUAAUAAUAAUGUUUUAUUUGUGUUGCUCUUAUCAAUAAUUUUUAAUUUAAAUAAUUAAAAUUAAAACUAAUAAAAAAUUAUAAUUUACAUAAUUAAUAAUAUUAAUAAUUAUUGUUAAUUUACAAAUACAGUGAAAUAAAUAUUUUAUUUCAAAUAUAUUUUUUAUUAAUUUUGUAAUUAAAAGGUACAAUUCUUUAAAUAAGGGUAAAACUAUAAUUUGAAACCAUUUACUCCGCUUCUCAUUCUAGUAAGAGGAAACAACUUGCUCCCACUCCACACUCUCAAUCACAAGAUUCUCACUUCUCAAGAUUUCCACUAUAAUUUAAAAUGUAAACACCGUUUAGAAUGUCAAAUAAAAUUCUCAAUUAAGUAAACCAUAAGGUGAUUGCAUAUAAAAAAAUUAAUAAUAUUAAUUUUCAUAAGAAUUUAUGCUCGUAGUAUUACUUUACUUUUUAUUAACCGUUGCUUCAACUUAUGGUAGAUUGUAACAUAUGCACUUUAAUUUUCUUAAUUAAGUGUAUUAUUUAAUUUUUCCCAUUCGAUGUUAAUUUUAAAUUUUUCAUGACAUAAAAUUGAGAAAAUUCGAAUACGAUUCAAUGGCCGUGUAGUUGGAUUUUAUUCAACACAGGUCCGACAUUAACUUAGAUAGUAGUAAUCUUUAAAAAAAAAGCUAGUUUCUAUAAAUGGAAUUGGGGGAGCUGAUUUCCAAAAGAGGAAAGAAAGAGGGGCACACGAGAGAGAAGGGGGGAGAGAGAGAGAGAAGUUGACCCGUUUAGCCCGACCCGACUCCAACUCCCGUUUCUGGCCACCAUUCCGAUCAAGCUUGGUACCAAUCUGAAGCUUGAGCGACGCUGGCCAUAUCCCUGUUGUCAUCGUCACCGGAAAACAGCCACAAUGCCGGUGAACACCGGUGAUCGCUGUCAAUCUCGUUGGAAUUAGGUUGCACCAUCAGCUGGGUUCGACUCCUCACGUCACCAGCUUUCAUUUCCGACUAACCCCGCCACCUGAAACCUCUGUUUUGGCCAUGAACGACCGCCGGAAAGCUCACGGCUUUGGGAGCACGAUCUGCCACCAUCGCAGCGUGUGGGAGGUCAUCGUCGACGCCAUUAGGCUCACCGAGGUCAGAACUAUCAGACUUGAGCUUUCCGUCGUCAUUGACUGAAGUCCGGUCACCGUUGAGCAGUGGGGGCAAUUUGGUAAUUUCACAAGACUUUAAGGUGGAUUUGUAAUUUGGUAAUUUUAGGUUAGGGCAGUGAGGUAAUUUAAGACUUUGAGGGUAAUUUGGUAAUUUAAGUUAUUAAGAGCAUUUUGGUAAUUUCGCACUUCGAGGGUAAUUUCUUAAAUUCAAAACUUGUGAUUAAUUUUGUUAUCCAAAUUGAGGACAAUUUGGUAGUUUAAGAUAUUGAAGAUGAUUUGAUAAAUUAUGAUUCCGAUGGUACUUCGGUAAAUUUCGGUGUCAGGGGCCUUUUGGUAAUUUUUUGACAUAAGGGUAAUUUUGAAAUUUUAUGUAUCCAGGAGUUUGGUUUUGAGCUUUAUUUCAUACUGUUAGUCAUAUUUCAUGAUACAGAUAAUAAUUAUAUCGUUUAUUUAAUUAGGAGGACUCGCGAGCAAAAAUCAACCUGCAGAUGUUGGUGAUACCGAGUCUAGACAUUGUCACUGUGAGUGGAAUAUACAAAACAUAUUUUCAUAGUAUAUUUUGAUUUUACCAUAUAGUACAACAUGUUUUGAUAAUAAGUAUUUGAUGCUUUGAUUUAAUGAUUUUCUAGAAAUUUGAUUUUCAUUCUACAUGCUGAUAUUUAUUAUUAUUGAAAAUUAGUUUGAUUAAUGAUUUUAUUGUCAUUUUUUUUAGUAAAUGCAUGAUAUUAGAAUUGAGUGGGUUUGAGAUAUGUUGAAUAAAAAGGAAAUGGGAUUUUAUAUGUGAUUAUAUGUUUACGUGCAUGUGUAUAAAAGAUUGUUUGGAAAAUCAUUGGAAGUACCUUUCCCCUUUCAGAUACAGAGAUACAAAUAAUAUGAGAUGAAUAUAGUGAUACAGAUGAUAUGAGAUGAGAGGUUUUUAGGGUUCGUCUGAACACGCACAAAGACUUUGGGCCGUGUGUUUGGAUGAUUUUGCCUUUUAGGGGCUUAUGCAUACAAUAUGAUGAUUACAUAGAUACAGAUGUUGAGAUACAUGAGAUAUAAGAUGACAUUUUCCUAUAUAUCCGUUGUAGCUCCAAGGCAUGAUGGUUCCCUGAUUGCCCGUUCGUCGAGGUCCGAAUAUGAUGAGAUUAUUCCGUCUGGGUACUUGUUUGAUGAUAGUUUUUUGUAUCUAGUAUUUGAUAUUAUAAGUAUUAUGAUUUCAUUGAUUUUAUGCAGAUUUAUGUAAUAUUAUUAUUUCAGUGCAUGAAUUGAAUUAAAUAAGUUUAUGUAAGUUCUUAUAAAAUUUUGAUGAAAUUAACUUGGAAAAGAUUAAAUCAUUUUAAAUAAAUUUAUUUUUCCAAAAACUACUAUCCACUCACUAAGCUCGCUGAGUUUUAUACUCACCUCAUUUUUAUUGUAUUUUUCCUCCCACAGGAGAUUUGCAGGUACAUCAGUCGACCCGGCAACGAUAGUUAGAUUGAAAUUAUGGCCACGUGAUGGUGUUAGAAAUCAUAGAUGUUUUGUUGGGACAUGUUGAAUUGUAUAAUUUAUUACUUAUUUGUGAUUAAGGAUAAAUCAUUAUAUUCUUGACAUUAUAUGAUUGAAGGAUACUGAUAUUUAAAUUGAGGAAGUUGGUUGUGGAUGUUGAUUAAAUAUUGUAUUAUUUUUGGGAGUAUUAAUUGUAUAAAUUGUAGGUUUGGGGAUGUCAUAAUUAUAUAGGAGACUGUCGAAUUUUUGGUAAAAUUCUUAGAUAUCAAAAUUCUUAUUAGUUCGAUUAGGCAAGAUUAGAUAGAUUCAUCCUGGGGAUUCGGGGCGGGUCCUUUCAUAGAUAUUAAGAGAACAAUAAUAAUAUAGCUAUAAAUGGUUGCAUACUAUCAAUCAACUUAACACUAUAAUUACCAACAAAUCCUUAAUACUGUAAAUAAUUAAAUUAUUGGGGUUUUAAAAUGACUCUCCAGACUUUGCAUGAUUUCUUUAUAUGUAAGUGCCAUGGUUCGUAUAAGUAAUAUCAGCCACGCUUUGUGUUAUUGUUAAAACAAAUUUAUAAGUACAAUUUGUGAAUUUGUACAAAAUGUGGUAUUAUAAAUUUGAAGCAUGAACCGAGAAGACAAUGUUGUGUCAAUAAUAAAGAAACAAAAAAAAAUUAUAUAAAAUACAGAUGUUGUAGUGUAACUUGUAUUCUUUUUAUUUAUAAUUUUACCUAUCAUGUGAUUAUAAAAAAAAAAUUGAGAUUUUAAAAUUUUGUAAUUGCACUAUUUUUGGAUUAUCAGAAGGCUUCCUCUCCUUAAAGAUGCCCUUAAUCCAUAAAUGGUCCAAAAAAUAAUUCAUGAAAUGAAUUUAUUAUUUUAGAUAAGUUUCAAGUACGCAUACCUUUACUAGCUCCAUAUUGCAUAACUCCUCGUUUCAAUCAAUGGAUACAUUUGUUUACUUUUUCUUUCUUGUAAAUUUUUGAAUGGCCAUAAUUCUAUAGAUAAUUAAUUAAGUGUUAUUGUUAUCAUUAUUUUGUAGAUUUUGUAGAUUUACUAGCUCCAUAAUUCUAUAGAUAAGUUUCAAGUACGCAUACCUUUACUAGCUCCAUAUUGCAUAACUCCUCGUUUCAAUCAAUGGAUACAUUUGUUUACUUUUUCUUUCUUGUAAAUUUUUGAAUGGCCAUAAUUCUAUAGAUAAUUAAUUAAGUGUUAUUGUUAUCAUUAUUUUGUAGAUUUAUAUGUGAGGUGGGGACGUUGGGGGGCAUGGAUCUCAAUAUAGCAGAGGGCCAUAAUAUUUAUUCUUUAAGAGGAACCACAACCAACAUCAAUGCUUUAAGUUCCAUUCCAUGUUCCUUCUAUGCACCAAAUUGCAUAAACAACAUUGAUUAUCCAAGGUCAAAGUCUCUUAAAGACUCUAGUUACAAUACAAAGCAUGGGUUAGCGGCCAAAAUUUUCUUGCAAUGAAAGGCUCGUAAACUGAUGACAGCUGCUGGAUUGUUUUGGGCCCCAAUAGUUUUAAUAUUAUUCUCUUAAAAACAUAUAUGUUGAUUAGAGACGAGAGGACAAAGAUAAUCUGAUUCAGCCAGCUGCAGAAGAAAGAGCACGCAGUGGAGUUCAGAUUUUGAAUUCUCUUGUUAAAUUGUUUUUAAUUUACUACAAGAUAGAAUACGUUGCAGUGUUAAAAAAUACUUUGAACAUCCUAUUUUUGUAUUACAAAUAUACCAAGAUUUAAAUUAUUAUUUUUCUUUAUUAGUAUAAACUAAAUUUUGCCUGAAUUCUCAUCCUUGUAAGUGGAAUUUUAUUGUGAAACUAAUAGUCCUUCCUAGUUGAACUAACUAUACGCAUUGGCUUUCAACCAGCCAUAAUUAGGAGGAGGGCAAACUUCCAAAUAACAUUCCAAAUGGUAUUGCGAAAAUUUUUUUACCCUUUUGGUAAUAAAAAAGAACCUUAUUUCUAGCUCUCUAUUAACAAUCUUACCACAAAGUUCUCUCUUAAGUAGAAACAUUAUAUAUAUUAAUUUAUUGUUAAUAAAAACAAAACCAGUAGCGGAUCUACAGCUGGGCUAGGUCUAGAAAAAAUCAUUUAAACCCCUUGUCUUUUGAUUCAUUUUACAUAAGGAUAGACUUUUAUUUUAUUUUUAUAUAAGUCUCCAAUUCAGUUACAAUUAUGUUUUUGUCAAAUUUCAUAGAAUAAUAGAGUUUUUACUUUAUUUUCAAAUAUGUCCUUAACUCAAUUAUAUUUUUUCCCAACUGGAAUUAAUGACUUAUUUUAUAAAAUAAUUAAAUUAUAUAUUUAUUGAAUAGAUUGAAAACAUUAGGGGUUUAAAAUGUUAUUACAACUUUAAUUUGUUUUUAAAAUUUUAAUUUAACAAAGUAUGUGAAUGUAAUAUAACAUCGUCACUAUUAUUAAAAAUACUAAACACAUAUAUAAUAAAAAUUAUUAAUAAUUUCAUAAAUUUUUUAUGUAAAUGUUGACAUUUUAUUUAUUAUUUACAUUAACUUAGAGGAUAGGUUAGAAAGUAAAAUUUGAGUAUUUUAAUUUGAUUUUUUAAAGAGGGUUAGAGUGUCUGGCAAAGAAAUAACGGCACACAAGUACCUUUUUGCUAGGUUAGAAUUUAGUUUAUUAUUGAAACUCUUGACGACUAAUAUUUUUUUAAUUUAAAAAGAUGAAUAGAUUUUAAUUGUUUAAUUUAUUUAAGCUUGGUAACUAAGGUGGCAUUUGUUUUUUAACUUAAUGACUUAAAGUGACUUAACUUAAUUAAUUAAGUUAAUUAGAAGUAUUUGUUUUUAUAACUUAAUGAGACUUUUUAGAUAAUUUUGACUUAAUAAAAUAAGUCAAUUUUUUUUGACUUUUUACUUAAUGGAGAAAUUUGAAUUAAGUCAAUUAUUUACUAAUGUAAAAAAAUAUCCAUAUUUUAUAAUCUAUUUUUCAUGUCUAUCACAAAACUCACCCAUAGACAUUUAAACCACAUAAAAAUAUCCCUAUUUUUUUAUUUCUUAUAUUAUAUACGAUAAAAUUUGAAAUUUAUGGAAUAUAAUUUUACUUAUAAAUGUUAAAAUAUUAUGGUAUUUAAUAUAUUAUUUAUUUGACAUUCAAAUUUAAUAAGGAUACAAAUGUAAAAGUACAUAUUUUCAGCCUUUUCAGUUGAAAAAAACAAACAACUUAAUACUUAUUUUCUGAGAUUCAGACGAAAAAACAAACAUAUUAUUUAGAUUCAAACAUUCAAAUCUAUUUAGAAUUUAGACUAAUUCAGGUCUAUUCAGAUUUCAGACAAAAAAAAAACGCCACCUAAGUAUUUUUCAAACAUAAAGUUCUACUUGCACUUUUUAAAUAAUUAUAAUUACAUUUAUUGAUUUAUUCUAAUUUAAAAUUCUUUAUAGAUUUAUUAAUUCUUAUAUAAUUAGAUGUUAUUAUAGGUUGCAAUGUUAGAUUUCAUAAUUAAAAAAUAGUAUUUUUAUAUUUGAAUUAUCUUUUGUUUUUUAGUAUUUUUGUACAAUUAUUUUUGUUUAGAGUACAUAUUCGUAGAGUUUUUCGUGUCCCCAUUAUUUGAUGUACUUCUUUUUACUUAUGAAUAUUUAUGUUCACUUCAAAAUAUAAAAUUUUAAAUUUAGCCCGGGGUAAUAUAAAAUUUUAGGUCCGCCCCUGAGCAAAACUAAAUAUUUAUGACUUAAAAGAUAGGUGUUGAACAGAGGCAGUCUCACAGAAAAAAAAAAAAAAGUAUUUGAAAGCAGUGGUGAUAUCAUAAUUUUUUGUACUGAUACAAGAGUAUCACACUAGAUUUUUUCCCGCAUUACAAAAAGUUUGUAUUCAAGAAUAAAUAAGCAAUAUCAUGAACAAAUUUUACAGAAAGCCUCGAGGCCAUGUCGUAUGAAUUUUUGAUACCAAAAAUAGUAUACUAGUCAGUAUAUCUUCUUUCCACAUUACAAAAAAUUAGAAAUGCAAUGUAAAUCGAUAUCAAUUACUAAUUUUAUAGUACACAAAAUCAAGGUAUUUUUUCAUAAUGUAAGAAAUUAUUAGUUAUUUACCCUAAAUUUACUUUGUGUCCAAAAAUACUACGAAAACUUUAACAUGUUUAGUUUUUUACCUUAAUUUAUAAUUUAUAUCAAUCGCUCACUAAAAAAAUAAAAUUAGCUCAUAAAAUGACAAAAUAAAAACAAACACAAAUGACAAUACCAGUAAUUUUAUAAGGAUAAUCAAGUCCUUUUGGCACCAAAUUACGUGUUAAAUUAAUUUAAAUAUUAUAAAUUAUUUUUAGAUUGAGUGAGGAACCCUGGUCAUUUUAACAAUUAUGGUCAUUUAAUCUAUCUAAACAUGAUAUUUCCAGUAGACUUAUGUUUGUGUGGGAGGAUAAUGUAAAAAAAAGUGGCACUUUUAUUCAACUGAAUAAAUUUCACAAUUUAAAUUAGAAAACGAUAAAAUUUAAUAAUUAACUAUUUUUUGAACUAAUUCAAUCGGGAGCCAUUAUUUGUAGGCGGUAGCGGUCCCAAAAGCAUAACAUUAUUGUGAGUAAUGUAUCCUACUUACAAAAUAAACGGCAGAAUGCGGUUUGGGGACGGAUUAUCGAGGUAUUUGUUAAUAUUCGGAAAUUUCCCAAAGAAAAGGUCAAAUAAAAUUUUAACUUAUUAUUAUUAUUAUUAUUUUUAAAGAUUGUAACUCAGAUGAAUAGACAAAUAAAGGAGCUAAAGGCCACUUGGCGGCUUCACUAGGAGCUGUUUGAGUUUCUAUUGGUAAAAUUCUAUUUUGGUAAUUCUCUUCUUCUUCUUUUUCAACCCCAAAUAAUCAAAAGCUCUCCAAUGGCUUUCGUAUCCACAACUCGUCCAUUUCAUUUUACUUCAAUUUCAGUAUCAGCUCUUAGAUGUAAUUUCUCAUCUUCGUUCCCUCAUACCAGAAAACCCACAUCUUCAAUUUCGGAAAAUGAACCCUCGUGUCCGACUACAACAGCUAAACUGAAGGAGUCGCUACGGCUGACAGUUAAAGACCGAGCCUCACUCGAAAAAUUCCUCAAAGAAAGGUGCAAAUCAUCAGGUCAAGGUGAUAUUAAUCUUAUUACUCCUAAUGAAGCCUUGUGUAUUUUUUAUUACAUGCUCCGUAUGCACCCUUCUCCGCCUCCUGUCUGUUCCUUCAAUAUUUUGUUUGGUUGUCUUGCUAAGAAUAAACAUUAUGAUACUGUACUUUCACUCUUCAGAGACUCAAUUCAAUUGGUUGUUUCCAGAUCUUUAUACUUAUAGUAUCUUGAUUACUGCUUUGCAAAUGGGNNNNNNNNNNNNNNNNNNNNNNNNNNNNNNNNNNNNNNNNNNNNNNNNNNNNNNNNNNNNNNNNNNNNNNNNNNNNNNNNNNNNNNNNNNNNNNNNNNNNNNNNNNNNNNNNNNNNNNNNNNNNNNNNNNUUUACGAAACUCAAAGCGUUUGGUUGUGAGCCUAAUGUCAUUACGUACAGUACUUUAAUUAAUGGAUUGUGUCGAACUGGCCAUACAAUUGUUGCUCUAAAUUUAUUUGAAGAGAUGAUUAAUGGAAACGGGGAAUUUGGUGUCGUUUGUAAGCCAGACGCUGUUAUAUACACUACUAUUAUCGAUGGUCUUUGUAAGGAAGGUUUUGUGGACAAGGCCAAGGAACUGCUUCUGCAGAUGAAGGAUAAGAAUAUUAACCCUGAUGUGGUUACUUAUAACUCUGUGAUUCGUGGUUUUUGUUACGCUAAUGAUUCGAACGAGGCGAAGCGUUUGUUUAUUGAGAUGAUGGAUCAAGGGGUACAGCCUAAUGUUGUGACUUUCAGUGUGAUCAUGGAUGAGCUCUGCAAGAAUGGGAAGAUGGAAGAAGCAAGUCAGUUGUUGGAACUGAUGAUUCAGAUUGGUGUGCGUCCAAAUGCUUUUGUCUAUAACACAUUAAUGGACGGGUUUUGUUUGACAGGUAGAGUUAAUCGUGCGAAGGAACUAUUUGUUUCUAUGGAGAGUAUGGGUUGCAAACAUAAUGUUU